rnacentral:lncRNA from 1 species
AAGGCAACACGUGGCAAAUGGGAAGUGAAAGGGAGUGGAGACGGGUUGGAAGUGGACCGGAUCCAAUGUGGAAAAGAAAAGAUAUAGUAGGGCCCAUUAACUGAGUGGGCCCAAGAAAAGCAGGCCCAGACAGUAAACGUGACCGGCAUGUUAUUUAUUUAUUUAAUGAAUUUAAUAAGAAAGUAAGUGAAGAAGUGAAGGGAAGGGAAAAUGGAGAAUCAACGGUUUUGAAGGCGCCGCAAGCGCCAAAGACAGCUAUGUCGGCUUCUAGCCGGCUCGGGGCGCCAAAUUAACUAAUUACAUUUAUAAUUUUUUAUUUCAUUUAUUUAAAAUGAUGCCAUGUCACCUGUAAAACACACAAAAAGGACACCCACAAAACUCCUUCAUUUACGCUUUUUUUUUAAAUUUUUUUUUCCCUUCCAAUUACAUCUCUCUCUCUUUCCUUUCUCUCUCUCUCUCUCUCUCUCUCGCGCGCGCUCGAAAGAGCUAUGGAAUUUUUGCAGGAUGCCGGGAUCCGCGUUUCUCGAUCGAAGAAAUCAAUUCGAUUGAUGCAAUUUUUUCCAAUUUUGGUGUAGUUAUUCAUUAUUCAAUCGCCUCACUUUUCCUCUCCUCUUGCCUGUAAAUCCUCUUUCUAAUUCUUUUCCUUUUCCCGUUCUUGUUUUCUUUUAUUUUGGCGUUGGGGUUGGGGUUGGGGUUUCGAAGAUUUUGGAAUGUUACUAAGGUAUGAUAAUCGUUUGAUCCUCGGGUGAACUGCAUCGAAUUUAUUUAUGUUGUCGUUGCGUUUUUCUUUUCUCUCUGAAUAAUUUGUUUAGGAUCAAACUAGAGGCUUAAGUUGUUUCCGAUGAUGAAUUCGUGGUAAAUUAUGAAUGGAUUCGUUUGUGUAAUGUUGUUAUUUUUGUUUUUUUAUUUUUUGUACAUAUGGUUUUGUUUUUGUGAGACUUUUUUAUCUUCCUGUUGGAGAUCUCGAAAGUUUGGCAGUAAUGAUGGUGUGAUUUGUAUCCUUGAAGCGUAUGAUUAGAUGUGUGAUUUCUUGUACGAAAUUUGUUUUUGGUUUUUGUUUCCACAAUGUUGGUGUAUGUGCAUGUGAAGUGUCUGGUUCUUCCGGUUUUUGAUGAUCUAUCUUGCAGGAUUUGUUCGAUUAGAUAUGACGAUUUAGAGUUGGACGGUGCCUAUUUUCUGCGGAAGGCCGUUUUGAAAUUUUGAGGACGCGAAAUACAAUGUCCACGAGGAGUGAACAUCAUACAGUCCCGCUUUCCGUGCUCCUGAAGCGUGAAUUGGCGAUUGAGAAGAUUGAGAGACCGGAAAUCGUACAUGGUCAGGCGAGUCAGAGUAAGAAAGGCGAGGAUUUUACAUUACUAAAGACGGAAUGCGAGAGAGUGGUCGGAGAUGGAGUUUCAACCUAUUCGGUUUUUGGGGUAGGUUCUCUUUGUUUGCUUGAAAAAGUUGAUGUACUCUAUUUGAUCGGCGGUUUACUUUUAACAUCUAUGCUGUAUAUCAUGUCCACUUCUGAGAAUGUGAAAUUUUGCUGCAUUAGAUUGGACUUCUGUUUGUAAAUUAAAAUUGAAUUCUCAUUUUUGCAGCUUUUUGAUGGACAUAAUGGAUCUGCAGCUGCUAUUUAUUCUAAGGAGAAUUUAUUGAACAAUGUUUUAGCUGCUAUUCCAUCGGAUCUCAACCGAGACGAAUGGGUUGCAGCAUUGCCAAGGGCCUUGGUUGCAGGUUUUGUGAAGACAGACAAAGAUUUUCAAGCAAAAGGUGAGACUAUCUCCAUGUAACUAAAUUUUUGGUCUUAGUUGUUCUUGGUUACCUCCUCUAGGGGUAAUCCACUGUCACCCACCUGAGAAAGAGAAGAUUGUGGAAUGGAGUUCAUUUUAUUUUGUAUGGUGAUGAAAGGGUUGGGGAAACUUUUGUUUACCAUUAUGGUGCUUUCAAGAUUGCAAAUUUGCAACUUCAUUUGGAGGAAAAAAGAAAAAGUAUGCGUGACCUUAUGAUUUUUGUUUGCUCAGAAUUAGUCUUGAAAGUAUUUGACAUAGCCAAUUCUGCUCGAUAACCAAAAGUCUAUGGGCUGCACGUCUGUGGCCUUAUCUUUUUUACAACUUCUCUUAAAAGUUCCCCACCCAGAAAUUGCAAUUCUGGUAUGGACAUUUUAAAACCUUGAGAUAAUGAUGCCUUGCUAUUUGUUGUUAUUUCAGCACAAACAUCAGGAACCACAGUCACCUUCAUGAUCAUUGAGGGAUGGGUUCUCACUGUUGCCUCUGUUGGUGAUUCCCGUUGCACUUUAGAAUCAUCUGAAGGUGGCAUAUACUACUUAUCUGCAGAUCAUAGACUAGAAAGCAACGAAGAAGAGUAUGUGGUCCUUUUAUUGCAAUAUGAUUUUUACCACCCACUUUAGUUAUUAUUAUUGUGCUUAAGAUUCUUGAAUGCUUUUGAAUAGGAGAGAACGUAUAAUUGCUAGUGGUGGUGAGGUGGGCCGGCUGAAUACUGGUGGUGGUGCAGAGGUACAGUUGUUUGACUGAUUUUUUAUGAGCUAUUCUUACCUUUUCAACUUUAAUUUUCCAAGACUGACUUUUGUAUGCUUAACUUGCUUGCCCUUUGUUUUUCUUAGAUUGGUCCGUUGAGAUGCUGGCCUGGUGGCUUGUGUCUAUCACGAUCAAUUGGUGAUAUGGAUGUUGGCGAGUUUAUAGUGCCUGUUCCCCACGUGAAGCAAGUUAAGGUAGCUUUCUGUCCAGCAAUGUUUUCUUUCUACGUGUUAUAUAUUUAAAAGUUAUAGUCAUCCUUGCUCGCUACAAACCAAUUCUCUUUCUAUGUAAUAGUUUUGCCAUUGAAAUUUAGCAUAAGGCUGUUGCCUAUAGAAACUCCUUUUUCCAAAUGUGAAUAUAAGCUAAUAUAACUGCUUCUGGCUGGGCACAGAUGGCGACUCAUUAAUUUAUUAUUAUAAUUUCUUUCCCCAUGUUUUGGCAUGUGAUCUGCAUGUGAACCUUGUUUUGGAUCUUCAAUAUCCUUUGAUAUCCAUAAUAGUCAAACGUAUUAUAUCCUUGUAUGAGGAUAAGAUUGGAGCUUUAUUUUACUGGAUUGUAGGUCUCAUAGGUGAUUAUGGAAAAAUCUUAAUACUCUUGCACUGAUUUUCGUUGAAUGUUAAAUUAAUAUGUUUUACAGUUAUGGGAACUGUAUCUUACUAACCGAGCUAGGUAAUAUGUGGUCCAAUUGAAUUGCAGAUGAAUUUUAUAUAUAAGACUCAUGGGAGUUGUGUAGCAGGAGAUGUCAGAGGAAACCAAUACAUCCUGUUUUAAGCAGUUUAGACUUUAGAGUUGGUUUAAAGAUGAGAAAGUACUAUUAGUCUUCGAUGGUUACACAGCUGUGUAUGAGCGAGUAAAUGGCCAAUGUAACCGUUGAAGGAUAGAGAGUUUAUAAAUAGGAAAAGCUAAAGAGACAGGAUAAACGUAGACAUUGUCUUUUUUGUGGUUAAGGAUAUAUUAAAUGGAGGAGAGGCCAGAUUCUUGACUUCUGGUCUUAUUUUCAGCUAUCAGUAAACUAUUUAUGUUUUUUUAGUUCAUUGUUGUCAGGGAACCAUUUGCUUUCUUGGUUUUAGUUUUUGAUAUUUAAUUGAACUGCAACAUAUUUGUGUAAUCUGCAUCUGAAACGACAUUCUUUUUAUCAAGUAAAUUCAUGCUCUUAUUUAAUCUUGCAGCUAUCUUCUACUGGUGGUAGGGUUAUUAUUUCAAGUGAUGGUGUUUGGGAUGCUUUAUCAGCUGAAACGGCCUAUGAUUGUUGUCGGGGGAUGCCAGUGGAAACUGCUGCCGCACAGAUUGUGAAAGUAUGGAUUGUUACAAAUUGAUUAUCUUAGUCCUUGUUUUUGUACUGCUACAAGAACUUUCUUUAAUGUUAUGUUGAUUUUCUACUAAUUGAAUGCAUUUCUUUCCAGGAAGCAGUUCAGUCAAAGGGACUUCGAGAUGAUACUACAUGUAUUGUGAUUGACGUAUUACCAAGGGAGAAACCAUCUACUGCUUUGCCACCACCAAAGAAGCAGGUAAAAGGAAUGUUUAAAUCAAUGUUCCGCAAAAGGUCUUCUGAAUCAUCUUCUCAUUUUGAGAGGGAAUAUAAUGAGCCAGAUGUUGUCGAGGAAUUAUUUGAGGAAGGAUCGGCUAUGCUGUCAGAAAGGUUUGUGCAUUAACAGCAGAGAAGUUAAAUUAAUUCAGCUAACAUUUUAAUGAUCAACUCAGAUGGGGAAUUCUGGUUUACUGUUACUUUUCUAGUAAUGGUGCUAAGUUAUGGUAAAUAUGCUCUUGACUUCAACUUCUGAAAUGCAGGUUAGAUUCCAAGUAUCCAGUCUGCAACAUGUUUAAGCUGUUUGUAUGUGCAAUAUGCCAAAUUGAGAUCCAACCACGGGAGGGUGUCUCCAUAUAUGCCGGCUCAUCUAACCGAGGGAAAUUGCGUGCUUGGGAUGGACCUUUUCUAUGCUCAAGUUGCACAGAGAAGAAAGAAGCUAUGGAAGGAAAAAGAUCAUCUGGAGGUCUGUGGAUCUUGUGUUUGUGUAUGGUUGAGUAUGCGUGUUUGUCUUUUCAAAUUGUUUGUACAGAUUUGGUCCUUAAUUGCUUAAAGAUUAUCCUUAUGCGUCUGCACAGAUAGACACAGCAGCGGAAGUGACUAGCAUACUCUUCAAUUACACUUCAUUGUGGGUGCACUGAGCAGCGUUGAUUGCGAUCUUGAAAAUGGCCAGUCUUAGAAAUUGUUCAGAGUUGACCUUCAUCUCGGAAAUGGACCCCUCUCGGAGGUUUUCCUCAAUUCUCAUUGCUUUCAUUGAGAAUUUGGAUCACUUUUUGGAUUCCACGACAAUUCCAUUGGGAAAUAUAGCUCUCUAGUGUUACUAUUCAAGGCAGGAGAUUGCUAGUUAGAGUUGAUUGCUUUUGGAUACUGUUUUCUGACACCAGUUUAUGAUUGACGUGCUUGCCUCACAUCUUGGGAAAGCUUUCGAUAAAGUCGCCUGUAUAUGACACUGAAGAGUGAAGGUAAAUCAUUUUAGUUUCUCCAUUCAUCUCAUUAUCUGCUUGUCCUUCCAACUUACAAUACCACUGAAUGAACAUAUUAGUCAUUGUAAUUUAAUAUAUAGGGGGAUUCAAUUAGAUAUUUUUAGCUCACUGUUGGUUAGGAGGAAAUCCCUUGCAACACAGCUGCCUAGAUGAAUUGUUCAUACAGAUUUGAUUACAUUCUCUGACAUGUUCAAGAUGAUGAACCAUAUCAAUAGAAAAUAUUGGCAGGCCCCUUUUUCCGAGGAAAAGAAAAUCGUCCAAUACCCAUUACUUUAGUUUGUAUGUACGAAUUGAACUCUUUUAUGUUUUUCUGUUAUUCUUACCUGAAUGGAUUCAAGAAUUCGAUCCAAAUUCGGUUAUUUAGACAUUGACAUCUCCUACGUUUUGACCAGUCUUUAUUUUGCCAACUCUUUGAACCAAUAUGUACCCUUGAAUCUGGCCUUUCUGUUCACUUAUCCUCCCUCUUACUGAUUUUCUUCUCUUAUUGUGCGAUAGGAAAGCGAAACCAUAGAUAUAGACGACCCGAGGUUAGUGCGUGUUGUGGUCACAAGCCACAAGGCAAGAAGUAGACACUGUUUUGGUUGUAUUUGGCAGUAGAAGCCAACCCACACGUGAACUGCAAGCUAGCUAAUAGGGACUUGUUAUUGUCUUGUGUUUUAGAUUUUAUUCCUUUUGAGCGUAGAGACGUGAGAAAUCUAAAAGUUUCUUUUUCUUUCUUUGACUAUUCCUCCAUUACCCCCAUUAUUACGAGCAAUGUCGAGUAGAGUCUGGUCGUUUUAUUGAUCAGAUGAAGUGUGUGUGUGUGAGAGAGAGAGAGAGAGUGAAAGAGAAAUAGAAACAUAAGAGAUUUGCAUAUUUUGAUCUCAAAAACAGAUUUGUAGGAAGUUUGACCUUAAGAUUCAUUCAAUUAUCAUUUUAGAUAGAAAAAAUUGAAAGGUGCAUUAAUAACCUGUAAAUGCAAGUCGUGACAAAGAUUCUAAGGACCCAUUUUCACAAGUCCUGUGCUUUUCUUUUCCUUUUAUUUCUCUUGUUAUGAUUUGAGAUACUCAUAUCCACUCAUCUUCUUCAUUUACUCUCACCCACAGAUCCUUUCGAUACUUAUCUUAAUCAAAGCCUUUCCUUCUUAGCUAACUUGCCCAAUACCGCUCUUUUCCGUUAACAAUGUUUGUCUUUUGACAUAACAACAGUAAUAAUUUUCUUUGCAAACUCAUAAGUUCAAUCAAUUCUGGUCAUUUUCAUAUGAAUUAAUUUUCUACGUAUUUUCUUAAUUCUUAAAUGUUGUAAAAUCUAUUGGGUUGUUAGAUCAGUCGAGAUGUGCAUAAACGGACUUUAACACUCGUAGAUAUAAAAAUAAAUAAAAAUAGAAAACAAACCCACAAGCUUCAGAGGUCCAAAACACUUCACAUUCAAUCCUCUCUCUAACAUUUCGAGUGAUAUUGAGAUAUGAAAUUUAUGAAAUGUCCUCUCUCUCUCUUUCUCUUUCUCUUUCUCUCUCUCUCUCUCUGAUGGAUGGCUCUUACAUUAUCUCUCUCUGAUGGAUGGCUCUUACAUUAUUUCUCUAUGAUUUUGUUGUUGACCUGAGAGCUAAUUCAAAAAACCUCAAAAGUAACCCUCUGCUGCUUCUGUAUUGGAUUGGACCACCCUUCACACGUGUGUGGGUCUACUAUUCCACCAAACUGCUUGAAAAUUCUUAUCUUCCUUUUUUUUCCAUCUCAUAUUGUAAUUUCUCUCCUUUUUUUCUCCCAUCACGUGUGCUGUCGAAUCUUAGUCUAGAAAUGAUUUUUUUUUUCCUUUUAGAAAUCAAGAACAAUAUGUGAUUUUUUUCAAAGAAAAACUAUUUUGAAAUAUGUUAAAUGAAACUACUGACUUUACCUUAAUAGAACCUGUUCUAUAGGUUGCACUUCUAUGUCCGAGACACUGCCCUAAAACUAGAGCGUGAUUAACAGUUGAACGGACCUAGAGGAUCGUUCUUAUUAGUAGGGUUUGCCCUGAUGGGAUGGUGUGAUAAACCAUAUUGAAAAAAUGAAAAAUAGGAUGUGAAUUGAUAAAAUGGAGGAUUGAAAUUGAUAUAAGAAAAACUGUGUCGGUACAACUUUUUGAAAUGAUAUGUUGGUUUAGGAGGGGGAGGCACGUGCUGUAAACAGUUGAUAUACAUCAUUUUCUAAAUCUUAACAAAGUUAAUAAUUUGGGCUCCAAACACGACAAAAUUUUCUUCAUCACCCUUAAUUACAUUAAGUUCUAUUUUUCUCUUUCAAUAAAUUAAAAUGAAAAUACGAUAAAUAAUUAGAGAACAGAAAUGUCUGGAUUGAUUAGCUGUGAAAAGUGUCUUCCCCAUACUUCCCCACAAAUCAAAUAUUAUGUUGUGCUUGGAUCUCCAUUCUAAAUAUUUAAUAAUUUAAUGUGAUUAAAAUAUAUUUAUUUUUAUUUUUUUAAAAAUAAAAAUAGGAAGAAAAUUCGAAACACCACUAAUGUCUAAUAAUGAUAUUAAUAAUAGUAGCUAAGAAGAUAAGAAAUUAAGGUUGUAUUUGUUGUUUGAAUUAAUAUUUCUGGAGCAGAAGAAAAUGUCAAAAGAUUGAGUGACUUUUUCAUGAUUGUUAGGUAAUUUGCUAUGGUUUUAGUGACCAACUUAAGACAGUUUUGAUUGCUGAAUUAAAAGGACAACAUGGAAAGAAAGUUAAAAAGACAUUACACUCAUUAAUUUUCAAAUUGAUUGACUGACAUUACAUAUUCUUCAUUUGUCAUUUUCAAUCUAAUUUGUCAUAUUGGCCACUUUCUCAAAUAAAAAUAUUAUCUCCAAAAAUGGGUUUUCUUCUACUACUGUAAUAAUAAACAAUUGAGUUUCUAUUUUCUCAAAAAAAAUCAUAUUAUCUGAGAGAGAGAGUGUGUGUGUUUUUUGUUUAUUUAAUUCUUGAGUUCAAUAAUGGUAAGAGCGAGAGAUUAGAGCAUUGAUCUUCCGAAGUAUUUUUCUAAUUUAUUGAAGAUAUAAUAAUGUCAGAAAAAAAGCUAUUUCUGAAGGGGAUCCCUAUGAUCAAAGUACUUAGUACUUUAAUAGCUGUUGGAUUGAAUUGGGGACCCAUAUUUCUGUACAUGAAGAGGAAAAAUGUACUUAAACCAAACCUAAAUUCAAUGGGUUGCUAUUUCCACAAAAGACAUUCCAUUCUCAGCUUUCAGGCAAGUCAAUAGACAAGAUCCUUUCUCUCUCUCUCUCUCUCUCUUUCUAUCUCUCCACUACUUCAUAAUCUCCUUAUCUUUCUCCAAAAGUUGAAUUUAGAGACACAGUAUCUAAGAAUCUGAAUUAUGAACUCCAAUCGGAACCACAAUACCACAGCAGAGAAUUUUGCAGAGUACAAGAAGCAAGAAACAGAGAAGUUUAAGGUUGAAGAAAAAGAAACCCAACAACCAAUUCAAGACUCAUCAUCAACAACUUCCCCUCUUCUUCCUUCAGCUUCUUCUUCUCCUUCACAUGAAUUUUCCUUCACAAUUUCUCUCCAUUCUUCCUCUUCUGACAGAAACAAACCAACUCCACCUUCCUUUGCCAUUGAUUUGUCUCCUGCAGAUGAUAUCUUCUUCCAUGGCCACUUGCUUCCCCUCCAUCUCCUGUCCCAUCUUCCUUCUUCGCCUCGUUCCUCCACCAAUUCCAUGGACAGUUUCACCAUCCCAAUCAAAGAGAUAUGGGACAAUGAAGAGCCCCUCAAGGACAGCUCAAGUUGUAGCACCAGCAGCGUCAAGAAUCUGGAAACUGAACCUACUGAAACAGGUGGGAGAACCAAAUCCAAGCCUUUCUCGUUGUUUGGAUUUUCGAGAUGGCGAAAAGGAUGCGAGAUUACCGAGCAAGACGAUAAAGCAAAGCACAAGAGGAAGUUGGGGUUUGAUGUUAGUCAGGUUCUAAAACGAUAUGCAAGAGUGGUUAGGCCAUUGUUGUUCUUCAGAUGGAGGAAAGAGAACCUGCAUAUUCGUCGUCAAGCUUAUUCAUUUUCGGGCAAUUUGAAUCCUCGAAACAAGCAAGAAUUGAGAGGAAGAAGAGGAGAAUUCUCAGCACCAGCAUCCAUGAGAACAUCCCCGACAAAUAGCGGCCUUCUCGUUGCGACUCCAUCUAUGAGUUAUGCUACAAGUGAUAGCACCAUGGAAGAGUUGCAAUCUGCAAUUCAAGCUGCGAUUGCUCACUGUAAGAACUCCAUUGCUAAAGAAGAUAAAACCAAUGUCAAGAGUUGAGAUUAACAGUAAAUCUUCUUUUGCUUGCAAACACGGAUUUCUGUAAAAUAUCCACACACAGAGGUGUCAAUCAUUUAAACUGCUUGCAUGGCUUCCAAAAUCUCAGAGAAAUGAAGUUGGUAUUUAAUGUAAAAAGGCCAAUGAUUAAUUGUUCUUAUACACUAUUCUUGAUCGUGAAUUAUAAUAAUUUUAAAAACCUCCUUGGCUUGUGCAUAGACUACGCUUUUUCAUGUGUUAUUAAUGCAAAGAAUUGAAUGAAUCAAUAAAUGAAGAACAUCAUAGAACAGAAUUUUUUUUUCAGUCGCUUUGCUGACAAUGCUAUGAAAAAGUUCAUUCAUCAAAGACAGAUAGGUUUCACUGUUUAAUUAAACCUUAACAUAAAUAUUUCAGAAAAUCAAUUGAAAAAGGUUCAAAUUUUUCCAUAAAGUUGAGGCUAGAAAUUGGCAUAUUUCCAUAACCGAACUUGUCCUAGAAUUGACAUACCACAGAACUCUUUCCCCACCUCUCUCUCUAUCUCUCUAUCUCUCAUCAUCAUCAUCUUACUCUUAACAUUAUGAAUUCCAACCACAAGAUUGCUGAGUAAAACUGAAAGUGAAGCUUCAUAAGAACUUCACAAGGGAAAAUGAAAAAGCUCAUAAGAACUUUAAUUCAGAGCCGGGCCAACCCCACGAGAAAAGAGACUGAUAUCUCAAACAAAUUUCGGGUUUGUGGAAAAAGAGCUUGAAUCAGAUUUCAGAGUAGGGACGCGUUGGAAUGGGUUAUGCAAGUGAGUCCAACAAAACCAUAGCCACAGAUUUAAAAAAAGACUACCCCCCAAAACCAAAAGUACCAUAAUACAAAGGGAUAACAAUAAUUCAAAAGCCCACUCAAAACUCUAAUCAUCUUUGAACCAUCAAAAGAAUCCAGAGUCCUACGGAAUCAACAAUCAACAAUCAAGGAAAAACAAAAACAUAGAGAAUCUGCAUAGAGAUUUAGUACUUCUCUAAACUCUAGAAUCAAAAUCAUAAACAAUGUAAAUAACAUAAAUAUGAAUACAAUUUAUAACAUAGAGUAAGACCCUAAAUGCUUGGAUAUUUGGAGAAACAAAUAACGAAUUCAAGGUAUUCCAUCAUAGACAAUCAUGACGAUGAUGAUGAGAUAUAGGUGCCUUGAUUGGCCAUAUUCGUAGUAUAUAAAGUACCCCACAUGAUCAUAUCACUACCCAGUAAUCAGUAGUCCCACACAAAAAGGGAUCUCAGUCUUUUCAACAAUCAUAGAGAAAAUGGAAUUGCAGAAACGGAUAAAAGUGCAUAAAAAGAGAGAUAGAUAUAAAGAGAGAUCCAAAAACAUAAAAGGGUUUUUGAAUUUACAUCAAGAGCGCACGAGUGGGUGGUGGAAGAGGGCUUUCAGCCGCCCGUGCGACGGCAUUGGCAAGCGAUUGAGGACCAUUUUUGGAGCUGAGAUCGAGGUAAUGGGGGUUCAUAAUUAAAGUGGCUCACCAAUCAUGUGAAUGGUUUCAAAAAGAUCACAAAACCCUUUUGAACAGAGAAGAUUAGGAUUGCUUUUUCACAAGUUAGACAAAAAAUUUAGCAAGCCAAGUUUCUUCACUUUUUGCUUUUUGCUUUUUGCCUUUUCAUUCAUCUAAUUUGAAAUUGGUUGAUCCUAACAAAGAUGGCGACUCCAAGCAUUAUGAAAAAUUCCAGAUUGGUCAUACCUCUCUAUGGCUUUUCAAAUAAUGACUUUACCAUUAUAGAUUAAAAGCUAUUGUGGUCACUAAUAAUUUAAAAUUCAAUUUAUAAAUAAUUUACUUCUUAAACUUUUUAAUUACGUACUGUUUAUUUUUUAAUUUGUAAUCAUACAACUUUCUUGUGAUCUUUAUAGUUUAUAGAAUAUAUUGAUUAUGAUCAACUUACCCAUUUAUAUGCGUAAGAAAUUGCAUAAGUUUUCAUAAUAUUUUUCUACAAUAAGAAUUAAAUGGCUAUAAAUUGUAAAUGACGAAAGCUAAAUUUACCUUAUCAAUACUCAAUCAUUAGGGACUAAGUUAUGGCUUUAUAAGAGUUCAAUAACUAAAAUUAUUAUUUUAACCGUAACUUUUUUAAACAAAUAUUUUAGAUUGAAAAUUACGAAAUUGAUCUUUAAUAAAAGUUGUUUUUACUCCCCCUCUCGUUUGUUGUUAGGUAAAGACUUCUUAUUGUCUUAGAAAAGUUGAUUUGUAACGAUGUUUGAAUCUAUAAUCUAAAGUGCAUUUGGAUUAACUUUUUAAAUAUUUAUAAAUAUUUAUUUUACAUUUAUAAAUACUUUUUUAAACAAUUAAAAAGUCAAUAAAAAAAUACACUUUUUAAGUUGAUUGGGAGGAAUUUGUUUCUAUUAGAUCUUAUCAUGAAAUUAAAAAAAAAAACUAUCUUGAAACAAAUAAAAGCAACCAAACUUUUAAUUCUGAUGUUACUGAUUCUUACCCUUUAAUCUUUGUACAGUUUAGUCUAUGAUCUUUUUAUUCCUAAAAAAAAACCCUCAAUUCUAUAUAUAAACAUUUUAAAACAAUCAUUCUUUGGCGUUAUAUGAUAUCUCAUUCACAUAGUAUAUAUAAUUAAAAAGGAAAAGAAAGAAAAAACUCUUCUAAUAUAUUGAGAUCAAAGAUGUGAUUUAUUUGGCCCAAAGAGGCAAGUUUGGGCCUAUUUUCCAUGCAUUGUCUAAUAAAAUGGUCUAUACACAGUUUGGAUAAACAACUAAAUCUACUAAUCUAGAAUGUAGAAAUGGACAAAUAUAUCAUUGUUAUCAAAUCCCUCCAAUAAUUAUGGUUAGCAAAUGAACAAAUAUAUCCCUCUUAUCAAAUCCCUGCAGUUAUGGAGGUUUAAGGAGGAAAGAAAUUGCAAGAAACCCUAAACUGAGGAGGGAAGAAGUGGUAGAAAGCAAACUAUGAGAUUAUGAGGUAGCAAAAGCAGUAUUAAAGGGAGAGGAAGGUGGGUUAGCAAAAGUUGCCUUCGAAUGAUCGACCGGAAGGUGAUCAAAAAACGCUAGUAAAAACUAAUGCGAUGAAAAUAUUGAAGAACGUAUUUUCUGAGCUAAAAAACUAGUGUGUGAUUUUUUUUUGUAGUGGCAUGAACAUCAAGACCCUAACUUUUCUUAGUCCGUGUAUCCAUGAAGAAUGAAGAUAGGAAAAAAACUUUAUCCUAAUAAUGGUUUGAGGAUUGAUAUCUAAAAAAGUUUGUUAUAGAAAAUAUAUAGGAAAAAAUUGAUUUUGGCAAAAGCAUUACAAUUUCUCUUAUUUUUUUCUAAAAUGUGUAUUUGAAUGGAUAAGCUUAGGGGCAAUGUAACGUAGGAAUAUAUGUUUAAAACUAUUGGGUAAAGUGUUUUCCAUAUUUCUCUUUCCAAAUCUUUGAUUCUUAAAUUUAUCUUUCCAAAUAUCUCAAUUUGACUUCAACUUAUUCCUCAAAAUUAAGGUUGGUAUCCCCAUAACUUAGCGUUAAUUUCUAUAUGUAUUUCUUUUUCUUGGAAAGUUAUUUCAAUUGGUUGAAAUUAUUUAUGAAAGAAAAAAAAAAUAUCUCUUUAGUUCUUAAAUCUCGAACCAUAGAUACAUUUAAUUGGCGUGGUCCAUAAAGUUUAAAGAGUUCGAUCUCUUGAAAAUCUAUUAAAUUUUAAUAUAAAAAAAAUUAUAAAUGUUAACAUAGCAAGAUGAUAUGGAAAAAACAUUAAAUUUAAACUUUUUAUAUUGAAUUUAACCAUUAAAUUUAAUAUAAUAUAAAAAAUUAUCAAUUCUUUUUUUUUCUUUAAUAAAAACAAGGCUAAUUUUUUUUAAAACAAUGUGGAUGCUUGUGUUAAAAACAAUUGUAAACUUCCAAAAUGUUUAAAAAAUGUCUUUAAACUUUCUAAAUUAGUUCAGAAAUAUAAUUACCGUUAGUUUUGAAUGAAAAUUGUUAAAGUUUUGUUUCAAAAAUACUCGUGAACGAUUAAAAUGUUUCAUAAAUAUCACUAAACUUAUAAAAAUUCAAAAAUGUUUUCAUUAAUUCAAAUUUUACAUCAAAUUUCUUAACGCUCAAAAUAAAAAUAAAAAUUUUAAGUUAAAACUAUAGAAAAUUCUCAUUGAUGUGGAUAUUUUUAUUGAUAUUUUGAUAUUUUCAUAGGUUCGAUAUCGAUAGAGGAGGUGAAUAUAUAUUUCCAUUACAUCGUAGAAAAAUUCACGAAUCACAAAAGUAAAUAUGAAAAUGACACAAUAUAAAUAUAAAAUAAAUAAUAUACAUGUUUACUUAUUUAAAAAUAAUAUUACUAAAUUAAAAUUAUUUUUUGAAUUUGUUUUUAUAAUUUUAAAAAAAUGUUCAUUAAAAUCAAAAUUUUGUAAAUUAAGAUUUUGAUAUAUCAAUCAAGAUUGAAAACAUAAAAUUAGACAAAUCUCACGGAGUUUCAAAAUAGAUCUUCCUUAAAAUAUAAUAAAAUAAUAACUAGUCAAAUAAAAAAAAUCUCACACUUAUAGAUGUGUGAAACUAUCACACUGUGUUAAUAGUCAAAUACAUUUUUCUAUUUAUCAAUUAAUUAUAUGUUAAUUAUAAUAAUAAACAUUAUUAAGAUUAGUUGUGUUUGUAUGAUAUAUCAACGUGUGUUAGUAGUUAAAUAAAUUUAAAACAAUUAUCUUAACUUAAAAUUUUUAUUUUGAUUUUAAUUGGUGAGAGUUUUGGAUAAAUAAGAGAAUUUAUUAACUUUUCUUAAGUUCAAAUGUAUUUUUGAAACUUUCCAAAUUUAACCGUUUCAAUUCAAAAACUAAUGUUAAGAGUAUUUUUGAGUUAUUUUUAAAGUGUAAAAGUGUAUUUUUGAAACUUUUAAAAGAUUACGGAUAUUUUUGACACAAAUAUCGAUAUCAAAGUUGAGGAGCAUUUUCUUUGCAAUAACGAAGUUUGCCUCCUCGAUCCAUGGAUUUAAGACGUGGGUUUUGCUUUAAUACGAAUAAAAAUAGAAAUGCAUUAGUUUAAAAUUGAAUUCUAGUUUACUACGAAUGGGUGAUACUUAGGGUGUAUCUUGAAAUGUUUUAUAUUUUAUGCAUCUCUUUUUCAUCAUUCACGUUAAACAAAUAAUUAAAAUAUUCCAUAGAAGUAAUAAAAGACUUGCCACAUAACAAAUUGUUGGGAUGUACGAAGGUAGGCGAUGUUCGGGAUGCGCCUAAGUUUUAUUCUUUCAAAAGGAUCUUUUUUUAUUGUCGUGCCAAUAUUAAAUUAAAUUUUUUUAUAUAGAAAGAUUUUUUUAAACUUAUUUUUCAAAACUGACUGAUUCAAAAACUUUUUUAUUUAUUUAUAUAAAUAUAACAAAAUGUACCUGUAGAUAUUCUAGCUCAUUUUAUUAUAUUUAAAAACAUUUUUUUACUUUGAAACAAACAGAUAAUUUUUGAAAAUGAGUGGGUAAUGACUAUGGAAGAACUGUUAAAAUUAUAAGAUUUAACAAAAUAUUUAGACAAAAUGACAUGUAAUAAAUUUUGUGUUUUAGGGGUUUGAGAGUAAAAUAGUUUAUCAUUUUUUUUAAUUUUUGAAGAAACCCCAUCUAUUUAUUUAUCUAUUUUUCCUUCUUUCUUAGAGCUAAUUUAUGGUUUAAUUAAGACCCAAACUCUAUUUUUGACCUUCUUAAUUAAAAAGAAUAUAUAAGACCCUAUGAUAUGUAUUAUUACUUUCAACAUAUUUAAUUUCUUGUUUGGCUCUUUUAAAAAUUAUUAACUCAAUUUUUUAAAAUCUGAAAAAUAGUUUUAGAAACUAAUUUUUGCUCUUGAUUUUGGUUAAAAUUUUGAGUGUUGCUGAAUUAAACAAUAUGAAUUAAAAUUACAGUACAAGAAGCUGUAAGAAACUCAUUCUUAUAAACUAAAAACUGAAACCAAAUAAUUUCUAAAUUGAUUCCUUCCAAUAUAUAUUUUGUACCAACGCAACUUAAAAUUUCAAAUAAAAAAGUAAUUUAAAUUGUUUUUAGAAUUUGAAAAGAGGGAAAUCAAUUGACAAUUUGAGAAAAAAACAGACGUAAUUUUUUUUUAAAAAAAAUGCAAUAUUUAUUUAUUUUGAAAGAGAAUAUCGAACACGUUCAUCUUUUUCUUAAAAAAAAUUCUGAUUCUUUUGGAAAAUGAUCUAAUAAACACACACACUUAUAUUAUACCACUUGUAAACUAGGCUUAACUAAGAUCAGCAUCUACUCCCUAAUUAACAUUUUUCUAUGUUUUCUAAUAUACUUUACAAUUGGUAGACAGUAAUAAUAUAUUUUCAAUUACAAUUUUAAGAGUUUUCGGACAUUAAACCAUUCUUUUUUGGAAAGAAAAAUGUAGUUAAAAUUAGAUUACUCGAGUAAGAAAUGUAGUUGGUAUGUGAAGGAGUUUUGUAUAUUUCUAAUAUCACUCAGCUCGUCUUUCAAUCAAACUCAAAACUUAACGUUUAACAUUUUAAAACUUAAAUAUUAAAUAGGAACUAAAUUCAAAACUAAAGAAUGAAAAAGAUAUUCUUCGUCCUAGUUAUAUAUUAGCACUCAUGUCAUCUCUCCUAUGUUUUCGUAAAUUUCGAGAGUAAUUAAACUUUGUGAGAAGAGGGAAUAAUAUAAAGCAAAAAAGUAAGUUACAUGAAUCUAAACUUUAAUUACUACAACCACUAUUCUCAAUCUUGAACAAUAUAACACAUGUGAUACCACAUCACUUUAUAUAAACACAUUUAGAAGAUUCUUUAAAAAAAAUUAUUCCUUUUUUCAAUUUUAGGGGCAACCAACAGCAUAAUUAAUUUCAAAACAGCCUUUGAAAUGUUGGAUGGAACAAUCAAACCUAAACCUAACCUCAAAAUUGAUAUAGUACAAAUAUUAAAUUAUUUUAUUAUUAUUAUUUAUCCAAGCGAAUUUUAAAGAGUUAAUUAGUGGGAAACUUUAAUUUUAUUCUUUGUUAUGGAUUCUUAUUGAUUCCCUUAUAAGUUUAUAGCAUAUUGUGUUUAACAAAAGAGUUUGUCCUAACAUUUACAAAUUCAUGAAAACAGAAAAUAAAGGUUGGUUUUAUUUAAAGCAUGGCAUAGGAACCUUUUCCUUAAGCCAAAAAGUAACACUGACAGUUGAAAUAUGCAACUAAUCAAAGGCAUCAAAUAGCCAAAUUUAAAUUAAUACCCUAAAAAAUAAUGUUAUGAUUGAAUCUCUUAAUCUAUUAAUUAGUUCAUUAUUUUGAUUUCUUAUGAUUUUUAAUUCAUCUCAAUCCAAAAUUACAUUUUGAAAAAGGUAAUAUAUACAUAGUUGCACUCUAGGCGACACUUAAUUAACUUCAUGCAUCUCUCUUUUUUCUUCUAGGAAAAAAUGUUCAAAUAUAUCUACUGCAAUAAUAACCAAACUUUAGAUAAUGUCAAACGUUAUCAAUUAUAUUAAAAUUAAAAAACUUAAUAUAUCAUAACAAAUUAAUAAAAUGAGGGGAAAAAAUACAAAAUCAUCAAAAUUAUUAAAUAAAAUACAAAACAAUAAUGUGUUAUCCUAAAGGACAGCAUGCCAUUCUAUAUUUGGACCUUAGUAAGUAGAAAAAUGAUAAAGGAAUUUCCAUAUGCACAACUAAUUAAUUAAUCACUGACUUUCUCUUUUUUUUUUUUUUAGCUCAAAUAGAAUUCAAAUAUAGGAAUUGAAGUGUAGAGUCUGUAGACCAUCGAUCUUUUAAACUAUGAUACUAAAUUUGUUGAUUUAAUAUACUUAAAAAAUUAUAUAUUGACGAACAUAAUUCAAUAAAUAAUAUAUUAAUUAUCAUUUCGUACAUAUACACAAUAAGAAAGUAUCUCUUUAUUCAAAGAUAUUUCUUAGAAGCAGUUUACAACAAGAGAGAGUAUCCUUUAUUUAAAAAAAGAAAAAAGAAAAAGAAGAGUUACUAUAAGCAGUUUUUGAUUAGAACAAAUGGAAAUAAAGAUUUGAACUUGACCCUAAACACUCACAAACAGUUAUUUAGUAAUAGUUUCACGAUCUCGAGUAUAAUUUGUUGAUGGAUCGUAAAGUAAAAUAUGAAAAAUCAUAUAUAAUCUUGAUCACACAUGAUUUUUCAUCUUUUUUUAUAGUACGUCCCACAGAUUAUACACUGAAAUCAUUUAAACCAUAUAUAGUAAAGGGAAAAAGAAACUCAAAAAAGAAAAGAAUAGAAAAUAAAAGGUAAAAGAAUAUAUCAAAUGAUGGUAUAUUGGCGUUGCUCAGCAUAAUUAACAAGUGACUCGAAAUCCUUCUCGCCGAUGAAUCCAUCUCUGUCAGAGUCGGCAUGAAGAAGAGCGUGGCGAGCUCGGUAGGUCGGGAGAAAGGCGCCGAUAUAUCGGAAGGCUUCAGUGAGCUCGGUGGUGCUGAGACGGCCGUCCUUGUCGCUGUCAUGGUUUCUGAAGAUCAGAAGUAACUGUUCUCUUGAUAGCUUUGCCCUUGGGUAGUAGUUUUUGCUUUUUCUCGACAUUUUUAUCCCUACAAUUCUUCUUCCUUCCUCUCUUUUGCUCUCACUAUUUGCUUGUAAAGAGCUUUUGAAGUGUAGUUGUGUUUUGGGUUCUGCAUAUGUUGUCUUUAUAUAUAGGAGUUUUAUUAGUCAUGUGGGGGAUAUUAAAUUAAUUAUUAUUUAUAUAUUUUUCUAACAUUUCCUUUCUUUUAGUUUAGGGUUUAGAUUCUUGAACGUCAGAAUUGUUCUGUCAAAGUCAGAAAUAUUUUGGGUGAGGGAGAGGAAAAAUAAAGUUUGCUUCUUUUUUUUUUUUUUUUUUUGAAUAUGUGGGUGAAGGCAUCAAAUUUUGACAAAGAUUGAUAGUAUGUCCAUGAUGUAAUGCUUAUUGUGACUAUUCAGAUAGAGAUCAUGUUAAUAUAGUUUACUUUAUACUUAUUCUAUUUUACCAUUGGAUGCUUAAAUCUCAACUACAUAUUGUUAACUGUUAUUGUUUAUAAAGCUAAUAGAUAAAAGUAAAUUACUACACGAAAUAAAUAGUAAAUAAAUAAGUUGUGCUAUAUAAUUGUGUAAGAAUAGAUAAAAUGAAAGGGGUUAACAUAAAAAAUAACAAAUGAUAUGUUUAUUUUCUGUAUAUCUUUUCCAAUUUUGAAUAAUAAUUUUUUGGUUUAAUGAACGAGAGUAGAUGAAUUAGCCUUCCCCAUUUCCAUUCCCAUUUUUGUUUGUUUCUUUUUACUAAUUAUUGAUUAAUUUCAACCAAAUAAUUCUUUAUUUUCUUAAAUGCUUAAUUAAAUGACACAUUUUCAAAAAAAAAUAUUAUUUAAAUACAAGAUUAUAAAAUCAACAAUAAUAUUCUACAUGUAAUAUGCAAAGAUUUUUAAAGCGCUAAAUUCCACUAUUUCUAAAUAUUAAUACAUUAUUUAUUUAUAAAUAAAUUAAUAUAAUAGAACAUUCAAGGUCAUAAAGCAAGAAAAAGUCUUAAACAAGUUUUCAAUUACACAGAUAACGAUAAAGUUUUUUUAUUAAAGAAAAUAAAACCAUACAACAACAUAUCCAUCAUAGAUUAAUCAAACUUUGUAAGAGAUGACAUUAAUGAAUGGUGAAUCGGGUAAGAUGAGAGAGGGAAAGCGUUGUUUCAAGACUUCUUAAAAUUUUAUAUAAUUAUUGUUCAAUAAAAUACGUUAAUAUUAAUCCUUCAAACAAAUCGUUCGAGAUUUACCACUCUUAAAAUAAAAUAAAAAAUUUCACUUUAUUGAUUGUUUUCGACCUUCUCAACAAUCAAACUAAGAUUCUAGUAAUUUUUUCAAAUUUGGUAUAUUUUAAAAGAAAUUCAAAAUUCAACUAUUUUACUCAAUAUUAUACCUAAGUCUUAUGUCCAUCUAAAAACGGAUUUAAAGGUUUAAAAAAUUACUAAGAUUUUGAUAUAUAAUUAGUUUUGAUUUUGAUAUCAUACAGGGUGAAGGUAACUAUUUUGGAAAAGUAUGGGAAAUAUUUGAAAAAAAUUACUCCCGACAAGAUUCAAAAUAAUUGAUAAGUUGAAAAAAUAAAUAAAUCUUAGUGUGGAUUGAAAAAAAUUGUUUGAACAUAUCUUUAAAAAGUGCUAAUUUUGUAUGACAAAAACUCAAUUAUUCAAUUAUUGAAUUUCCAAUUUUUCUCUCCGUUUAGUAACGAGUCCUCGUAGGACCGAUGAAUUAAAUGAAUAUAUAUAGUGUUAAUCAACUUAAGGAAGGUAGCGAGUCUCUAAAAUUAACUUAUUUGGUAAGCCUCGUAAUUUCAAAAACUUAGACUUCUUUAAGACAUGUGGAUUAACUCUCAUUUCGUUUCUGUUUUUUUGUUUUAGAAGAUUAAUUUUUUUAAAAUAGAUAUGGUUGGUACUUCUAAUUUUUUUAAUAAAAUAAGUUAUUUAAACAUAUAUAAUUUUUUAUUUUAAUAAACAAAAAAUUUAAAACAGAAAAAAACAAUUAAAAAAUUGAAGUACAAUUAAAAAGAAAAAUCAAAACUUAUGAUAAAUGUACUUCAUGGUAAUUUCACAAGCAUAUAGUAUAUGUUAACUCUUUUGCUUUUUAUCCAACACAGUAAGUUAAUGUUACUCGUGGUAAAACAUUUAAAUCAAGUCAAUUUGUUUUCUAAACUAAUUAAAGCUUUAACUUUUAAAAGUUUCAACUCCUGUAAUAAAUUAACAUACAUUGUCAAAGUUUCUUUUAAUACAUGUUUAAUAAUAAUAAUAAAAAGAUUAAUUAAGAAGCAACGUUUUGGAUUAAAAAAUGAAAAUAUUUAAAACGAGAGAAGAGGGAAAAAGAAAACAUGUUUUCAUUGAUAAUAAUUUUCAUUUCACAUUUAUAUUUACUGUACUUGAAAAUCUUCAUCUUUAAUUUUUUUACUAAAACAAUUCAAUUUCUUCAAACUACUUUUAGAUUUAAUGUCAUUAUUUAAUUCAUUAUCGUAUAAUUAGUUUAAUUUGGAGGGUUUGACAGUCAAAAAGAACAAAAAAAAAAUUAACUAUUGAAGUAUUUAUAAAGUUUAUUUUAAAUUGAUUUUAAUAAAAAUAAAUCAUUUUUUUAAGUUAAUCUAAACGUGCUUUUAACAAUAACAUUUUUAAAAUUAUAAAAUAAAUUAACGACAAUUUUGGAUUCUAUCCAUCUCUAUUAAUAUUUAUUAUCAAUAUAAUUUAAAAAUUUGGGUGUAUGUUUGAUAACUUUUAAAAAUUAUUAAAAAAUAGAUGUUUCCAUUUUCAAAUUUUAGAAAAGCUUAGGAACAAAAUCAGAUUUAAAGCAAUGAAUUCAAAUUCUGGAGGUUGGAAAUUUUCAAUUAAUUAUGUGUAUAGUUGGAGUUAUCUUUAAGUUUAUGCUUUUGUUAAUUUUUUUUUGGGAACAUGAACUUGAAAUUUAAAAUUAGAUUGUGAUAUGGAAAGAUAUUGGAAUCCAAUAAUUCAUUGUAUUUAGAAAUAAUUCUCUGCCUGUUCUUUUUAUUAGAAAAAAGAAACAGAAGAAUAUGAUCCAGAAGAAAUAUAAAUGUUAAACGAUAAAAAUAGGGUUAAGAUUAAUGUCAUCAUUUGGCACUUUGAAGAAAGUAAAAUUGUAAAGAAUCUUUUUUCAAUGUAGACUCCCACUUCCACUUCCACCCACCUUCAUAAAUUUAUAUUCCUUCUACAUUUUAUUAGUAUUUUAUUUUAUUUUUCCAUGUGUAAUUAAUGAAAAAAAAACCAUUUAAAAAUUUAAGACAAGACUCAAUCGAGCAUUGGAUACGAUCAAAAAUAUUAGAGUUUUUGCAUGUCACAUAAUAGGACGAUAUGAUUAUGUAUCUUAUGUUCUUGUAGUUGAGUUCUCCUUAGUUAUUAGUUUGAAUGGAGAGAUAUUAUUACGUGUGCUUAAUCAAUCUAAAUACAUCGUGUGCUUAAUCAAUCUAAAUACAUGUAUGGUAAUCUUAUAGUUUUGAGAUAUAUUUGACUCGAAUUUAUACCAAUAGAGUUCUUUUUUAGCUUAAUUUGGACUAAGAAUAAAACAAGAUAGAGCGACAUGACAAGAUCUGUAAAGUUUGUUUCCGUUUAUGGUAAUUAAAAAAAUAUAGACAGAGCAUCAAUUCAUUGAUAUAAAAUUUAACGCAAAAAUUGAAAUUAAAAUUUUUGAAAAAUGACCGUGAAUAUUUAAAGAUAGUUAACGGUUUGAGAUGUUAAAAAAGAGAAUAGUAAUAUUUGGUCAUACUAUGACAUUUCAUUUUUCUAAUUAAUGGAGCUUUUAACUUAGUAAUUGAUAUGACAUUUGAUUUGAGAUAGAAGAGGUUUGAUUCUAAAUAUGUGAACAAAAUAAUUUUUUAAAAAUAUAAAAUAAAACGUAAAUUGGGGAAACAUUACAUUUUAAUAUUUUAAUAAUAUUCAUCGGUCGUAGUUGGUUUUUUUUUUUAUUUCUAGUUUUGUUUUUUUUAAAUGAUAGGUUUAAAUCUUAUUUUGGUUUCUAAACUUUAUGUCUUAUUAUAUAAAAUAUCGUUAACUCUAACGAAAUGAUGAGAUGACUUCUAUAUCUCGAUGAUAAUGCUACUAAAUAAUAUAAUUAACUCUUACCAAUCUAGGGUUUUAAUUUUUAAUCAAAGACUGUAUGGUAAAUAGAUGUUUCAUCGGAGAACUAAAAAAGUUACUUUGUCUUCAAGAAUUUUGUUCAUCAUCAUUUUGAUGCAUUGUCGUUCAACUGUCACUUUCUCAACUCACAUGCUAAGAUGCAAUUCUCAUCCACAUACACAGUUUUUAGUGUCUCAAGUUUGACGUUUUUUGUGAUUCAUUGGGGUGUUUUUUUUUUCUUCUUCCUCUCGGGGGGGGUUGUGAAUCUUUGUGAAAAUAUUUACCUGCAAUUUUGUGAGUUUAUUUUAUAUACAUGUGUUAUAUAUAUUUUAUUUUUCUAGUUUACCUUGUCAUUAUAUUUAUUUUUUUAUUCUACUCAAUGUCAUCCUUUUGAUCAUUUGUUUCCACAUUUCAAUUUGAAAUAAAAAUAAAAAAGGAGGAGGAGCGAUGAGAGGAUGUGAGAGAUUUAAGUUUUUUUUAAACAAGAUUAGUUUUUAAUUUAGGUUUUAUUUGAUUCAAAUGUAGUGUUGACGUAAAAGAUUAUAGAAUAAAUUAGUAAGAUUUUCUAAAUAUUUAUCAAUUUGAUUAAUACGAUGAAUCUAAAGUCUAAUCAUUCAAAUAUAGAAUAAAUUAGUAAGACUCAAUGAAAUUCUAAUAACAUGGAUCAAAGUAAGUUUUUUUCUUCUUAAAAAUUAAAAACUUCUGGGACGAAAAAGGACAUUUUCUAAAAUUUAUAAACCAAAAUAGAACUCGAUACAGAGUUUAUGAACUAAAAUAAGAUUUUAACCUAAAAAACAAUAUAUUAUUUGUCUAUGCAAAAUGUUUUGUAUUUAUUUGUUAGUAAUUCAAUAUUUUUUUUAAUUGAAAUAACUAUUUGAAUUAUCAUGUUUAUUUUGCUUCAUAUAAGAUGAAUAUGUGGAUUGUCAUCACUUAGAUGUAUAUGAAUUUAAACACUCUUAUGGAAAGCAUCCAAAAAUACAACUUUUCAACAUUCUUAGAUUGAGCUUAUCAUUUUUAUUUCUCACUUGUUUCCUUCUCCACCGUGACUUCUAAUUUACUCCAAUUUAAAUUUAAACUAAUCCUUAUUUUAUAAGAAAAAUGUUAAAUAUAUAUAAAAACAAUAUCAAUGAUAAUCAUUUUCUUUUAAAAAUCAAAUUAAUAAAAAGAUAUACGUUGUAUAAAUUCAAAAUAUAUUAAAGUAAUUAUAAAUAAAUGAAGAAUUAAGGCUAAAAUAUUAUUGGAAAAUGAUCUGAGUAGAAUAUAUUUAGUAGUAAAAAUCCUAUUAAUUGAUUGUGAUUGUUUCAUGUUCGUGUAGAUAAAAGUAAACAAACCUAAAGUAGAAGGGAUAAGAAAAAAAAAGAGAGACUAAAAAGAUAAAUAGAAGUAAGUAGUUUUUUUAUGUGUACUCUCUUACUUUUCUUACAAUUACAUUAAACUGGCAUAUGAAUAAUUGGUGAUGCUCGACUCUUUUAUUUGUGAGGUUUUGGUUCGUAGUUGUUUCUUAAGAUAUUUAUUUACUUAAAUGUUUUAUGUAAUUUUCUUUUCUAGUUGAGGUGUGACAAGGGUUGGUUUCUUCUUUCUAACAAGUAUGGUAUGUUGAACAAUUUAAUUUAUGAUUUUUUAUUUUGUUAUUAUAGUUUUAGAAGAAAAAAAAUGAAAACAUUUGUAUAUAAUACGUCUUAUGUUUGUCUUGGUAUCUUUUUCUAUGGACACAAAUAAAUGCUACUUUAUAGCUUUUGACAUUUUCACUAGCACGACACGUGUUCAUUAUUAAAACACAAAAGAAUUUUUAAUUGUUUCUUUUCUUAUCUUUUGUCACUUUUUAUACAUAUAUACUUGUCUCAUCGUCAAAAGGCAAAAGAUAAAUUAAGAUAACUUUUUGAAAAGUUGCAUUAUAUGACAAAAACAUUUAGAGAAAAACAACUCAUCACAUCUCUUUUUUUGCAUAUUGUUGAAUAUGCAUGGCAAAUAUAACAAGUGAUUAAUAAUAUCAGACGACUAUCGACUUUUAAAUUUAUUACUUUUACAAUUUAGAAAAUAUAAUAACAUCAGUAUUUUUUGUUUUUUUUUUUUUUUUUUUUGCUAUUUUUCAAGUAUUCUUAACUUUUUUUUAUAUUUUUAAAGCAAGAUAUUUAAAGACAAACUCAUGUCAAUUUUUUAAUCCAUCCUAGUUGCUUUGGCCAUAAUACUAAAUCAAAGUAUAAAAGAAUAAUAAACAAUAAAAAAAAAUGUUACUAAUAUAAAUAUAAUAUAAGUCGUAUACAUGUUAAUUCGUUUAAAAAUGUUAAAAUGUUUAUUUUUAUUUUUUCAAAAAAUAAAUCGAUUAAAAAAUAUAUUGAUCUCAAUGCUAAUAAACUGGAGUUAAUAUAUUUUUAAUUUAUAAUCAUUUAACCUUUAAAUUUUAUUUUAUAGUAUGAACAAUAUUAUUAAAGAUAUUGUUAAGGGAAGUUUAAUUCAUUGAUAGGUAGAUGAACAAAAUUGGAUGUGUUUAUAAACUACAACUGUUACAUUGUUACCAUGGUAGAAUUAAUUAUACUAUUAAAUUUUGAUGAAUGAUUGAUGUAUUAUUUGAAGCUCUAUUUUAAUAACCGAUUUUUUGUUUCUACUUUUCUAAAUUUAAGUUUAUAACCCUUAUUACUAUCUCUAAUAUCUCUAAUGUAAGUAUUUAUGCUUUUGUAUUAAGUUUCUAUGUACAUUUUCAAAAUCAAUCCAAGUUUUGAAAAUGUACUUAAAGAAGUUCGUUAGCAUUUUCAAGUGUUGUUUCAUCUGUAGUGAAAUUCAUAAUUAUUAGAGAAAUAAUUAAGAGUUGAAGUAUUUAAUUAAAGAAAAUCUAUAAAUUGUGAUGAAAAAAAUGGUUUAAUUUAUAAGGUUGAGAUAUAUUAUUCCUUCUUAGAACUGACAAUUCACAAACUUUAGCAUAAAGCUGUUGUAUUGAUAUAUUUCUUUUGUACCUUGUUUUCUUCUUUUCAUUUUAUGAUAGAGGAUUAUCUUUGGUUAUGAAUUUUAUUAUAAUGUUUUAUUGAAUUUAUAAAUUUUAGAAUGAAAAAUUACGAAAGAUGACGAUUAAAUUCAAAAUAUUAAUAAAAUUUGAUCUAUACCAAUAUCACUUAUAGAUUAUAAGAAUUUAUCAAACAUAUAAAUCUAUUAGUUAUAUUUAUAAUUUUCUAAAAAGUAUAUACUUAACAAUUAUUCAUAAAAUCGUUUCCUGUUAGACUCACGUGUAUCAAUUUACAUUCUUAUUUGUCAAAGUUCAUUAUUAAAAAAAAUUAUUGAGUUAAAUUUAUAAUUAUCUCAAUUAAAUUUCAUAAUUUUUCCAAUGUAAAUCGAGCUAGACAUUUUAAUAAAGAUUAUCUUAAAAUCAAUGCAAAUUAUUUUUAAAGAAACCAUAAGUGAAAAUUUUAAAAUUUAGCUAAUGAAUAUAACUAAAAUUCUGUAUUUAAAGUGAAUUUGCCUUUUUUAUUCUUUUGAUUCGACCUUUUACUUAUUUUGUAUGAAAAAAAUAAAAUGAAAGUUUAACACCAUAUUUAUCAACCGAAAGUUGAUUUUGAGGAAUAAAUUGACAUUGAUAUUUUUCUAAAAAUAAAUUAUAUGGAUCUUUAAGCUUAACUUAUGUAAUUUAAAAAAUCAUUAUUGGAUGAAAAACAGAACAUUCAAUUGAAAGAAAAAUAAUAGGUGUCUUCAGAAUGAAAUUAUGCUUUAAUGUACAAUUAAUGAAAUUAUUGUACAAUUUUCUUUUAAAAAAUGGGGGAAAUUAAAGAAAAGAAAAGCAUAAUUCAAAGAAAAAUAAGGAGUGAGCUUAUAAUGGAAUUAUUGUAAAUAGACACAAUUAUUGGAAUUAAUGUAUAAAUAAACUUUAAAAAGACCAAAAUUUAAAUAAAAUAAUAAAAGAAAGAUAUUGAUGUACAAAAAAGAAAAAAAAAAAAAAGGGACAAAAGGAAUAUGAUAAUAUGUUGAAGACAGGAUGGGUAAUACAUUCUUUGUGUCUAUUCCCCAAAUUAUAUUAAACAAAAAUUCUCCAUUCUCCAUUUUCUAUAUUCUAUUUAAUUUAUUCCAAGAAUAAUCACUCACACUCUCAAAUAAAAAGAGUUUAAAUAUCAUUUUAUAUUUUAAAAUCUUAAUAUAAAUGACCAAAUAUUAAAACUAAUUAUAAAAUAUAGUAAAAAAAAUUAAUUACAGCUGUUCUUUAUAAAUAUUUUUAAUAUUUUACUAUUUUUGAAAACGUCUCUUUUUUAUCUUUUAAAUUUUAUUUUAAUAUUAUCAAUAUGUGAAAUUUCAGUAGAUAAAUCUUCUCGAAAAUUCCCAAGUAUCGUCUCCAACCAUCAUAAUAUUUAUUUAUAGCAACCUCAUAUUAAUAAAAGAAAAAGAACAUUGUUAUGAUAGAUAAGAUUUUAAAGAAUAUAUUUUAUUGUAAUGAUUAAUUAAAUUAAUUAAUGUGGUUAUUAUAAUGUAGAAAUUAGAUUUGGUUCCAUCAGUUAGAAAAGGAAGAAGAAGAAAAUUAAAGUGUAAUUAUAAUUAACAAAUAAAUAAAGUGUGUGAAGUAUGAGCCGGUGCAGGCGAUAUAUAUGUGUAAAAAUUGGUGUGGCACAUGUUUAUUUAUAAAGCUUAAAAAGCAUAUAGUAUAAUAAAAAUAUUAUUCUUCAAUUAAUUAAUGUAACAACGACCAUUUGUCUAAAAGAAACAGAGCCCUAAGUGGAGUAUUCCAUUUUGAUUUUAUUUAUUUAUUUGUAUGUAUAAGUUUUUCAUUUAUGAAAUUAAAAAUAAGACACAUACAACUGUUAUACAGCUACCUCAAUCCACUCAUUUCCUAAUACAAUACAAAUAUAAUCAUCUAAUACUUAUAUUGGUCACCAAAAAUUCAUUAGAUUAUAAAAAAACUAGGGGUAUUGCCAAUAUAUAACAUAUCUAUUAUUAUAAAGGUUAGAUGCCAAAUUUUUUAUUCAUAAAAAAUGCAAUUGAUCCUUCAUCGAUAAAUUUGUAAUUUUGGAGAGGAAAAACUUACCAAACAAAAGAAAAGAAAAAAACUAGGUGUUACAAUAAUUAGAAGUUUUUAAAAUAACGCAUGGAGUUAUAAUAGUGUAUUUUUAGAGGAUUUGAGAUUUAACUGUCUAAGAUCAAUAUAUGACUUUUCCUAAUCCUACCCAAGUUAGAUUAAAUCUUAUUUUAUUUUAUAUUAUUUUAAUUCUCAGCUUUAUUUCGUUAAUUCGUUAAGUUAAAAAUUCUUCCUAAACAAAAAAAAACUAAAACAACUCAUUUUCAAUAUAUAUAUAUAUAAAAGGACAUAGUAAGAUUGAAUUAUAAAUAUUAAAAUUAUAAUAAGCAUACUCUGUACUGAUUGUUUUGAAUUUAUGUGUAAAUGAUAUAUAUAUAUAUAUAUAUAUUUAUGUGUAAAUGAAGAUAUAGCGUAAAAAUAUGAAUAUAACACUAAAAGGCUUAAAGGCUUAUAUAGAAGAAUAUAUCAACAUAAGCAAAAUGGCUAUAAAUUAAAAAAUAAUGAAGACAUUUUGUUUGAAUGAUUUUCUUGAUUGAAUUUUCAGAUUACACGAUUUCAUUCGUGCAAUUUUGGUAUAUACAAUUAAAUGUAUGGUUUGAGUUUAACGAUAAUUAAAGAUUUCAUAUAAUUACAUUGUCACGAUAUAGUUUUUUUUAAAAAAAAAUGGUAGAAAAUAUAAUUUUAGUUGGAUGAUUAGUUUGAACUAUAGUGGUUUUAGUUAGAAUAUUGUUUGUUUUUAAUAAGUAGAACUAUAGUCGGUUAAGUAAGAAGAUGGUUUGUGAGUAGAAAAUAGUAUUAUCUAAUAAGAGAUAAUUUCAUACAAAUUAUUAUCCAAGAAGCAAAUACCUGAGCCCUCCCUAUGAGGCAAUAAAUUGGGCGAUGCAAUCAGGUGGAGAAGAGGCCCACGAAAUACAACAAUAUUCUUCUGAAAUAAAUAAGCCAAAGCCCAUGGGCUUUUCUAUUACAACCACCAAAUUCUACAGCCUCUAGUUUUUAUAUCCAUACCCAUUCAACCAUAUGCUAUUUCUUUCUUUCCUUCCUUCUUCUUUAUUUAAAAUAUGAUAGUAAUACUUUAAAAAAUUUGUAAAUACACUAAAAUCUGUCAAACUAGAAAUCUUAUCGCCCAUAGAUAAUAUUGUAAAUAUUGGUCAAUUAAAGAUAGAAGUCUAUGACUAUAUAUUUUAGUGUAUUUACAAUUUUUUUAAAUUUUGUUAUAUACUUAAUUAUUAUUUCUAAAAUUGCAACUAAUUAUAAUUGCUCUACAAAAUAAUUAACGUGUUCCUUUUUGCGAUGAUUGUUAGAGCAAAUUCAAAAUCGAGUAACUUGCCAACCUAAUAUAUACUCAAUAAUUGAAAGAAAUAUCAAUUAUCUAGAGGCCGAGUUUAAUUGAAAGAAAUUGAAACUGUUUUCAUGGGAGUUUAAUUUGAGAAUAAGAAGUUUUUUUUUUUUUUCCACAUUUUGCAUUACUAAUGAAAUUUGCUUACUAUUUUAUUCCAUUAAACACAGAAAUACACAUUGUACCUUUUUAGUACCACAACAAAUAUGGAAUAUAAAAAUAAUAUGGAAACCUAGAGUUUGAUAAAUUUUAGUUUGGCUUCAUCCCAAAAGGUUGCAUUUGAUCUAGAUAGUGAUGAUAGUUAUUCUUAUUUACCAUGUUUACCCAACCAUAAAGAAAAGUAGUUUGAUCUUAAUAAAAUUUCAUUAAUGAAUCUAUGUUCGUUGUUUGAUUUUAGAAUUAUCAAGUUAAGUUGUUACGAUAUUGUUACCAUGGAUAUAAUCUAUCAUAUUUUUGGUUAAGCAUUGCUAGAACCUAUUGGUUAGUUUAUAAUUCUAAUAAUGUUAACAAGUAAGUGGGUUCCACAUAAAAUUCAAACAGCGAUCCUUUAAUCAAACCACUACAAGAAAAGGGGCUCUCCGUACAAAAUCGUCGGGAGAUAUAUGAAAAACGUUGAAAAAGCCUUUUCCGACGCAUAAAUAUACGCCCAAGUUGGAAAAAAUGUGUUGGGAGUUUCUAGACAUCUCCCGACGUUGUAUGAACGUCGAAGACGAUGUAAAUAUAGUGUCAGAAGAUGUCUCGAAACUCCCAACACACAAUGAUGUGCGUCGGGAGUUCCUCUAUUUUCUUUAAAAAAAAUCCUUCAAUUUUAAAUGGAAGGUAUAUACAUUUAUUUCUUGUAUUCACCCCCUCCCAUUAAUUUUUUAUUCACCCAUCUUUAAUUAUUAAUUCAACACCCCCUCCUUAAAAAUUCUAAUCCAAUCCUAAACCCCUUUAAUUUUUAAUCAACCAUUCUAAUCAUCCCCUCAUAAAACAUAAUAUUAUUCCUAAAACAUAAUUCAAAAUCCUAUUCCUCACACAAAAACUAAUUCAAAAACCAAAUUUCUAAUUCAAAACAUAAUUUCUAAUCUAAAUAAAAAUAAAUUACAUCAAACUAAUAUAAAAAAACCCUACAGUAGAGGUGAGAUCUCCUCUUCUUCUUCUCGGUCUCCCUCUCUCUCAUUUUUUCUUUCUCUUUUCUCUUUCAAUUAUGUAAAACUAAAGGAUUUAAUAGAAGGAUAACUCCCGACGUUGGAUGAAUACGUCGGGAUAUACACCAUUAGGUACUCUUUUUUCCGACAUUUCCAAACAAGUUUUUGUGCAUCGGAAAAAUUCCAAUUUCUUGCAGUGAACUAUAAGUUCUUUAAUUUGAUAAUACAAAAUUGAAAAUGAUUACAAAACACAAACGUAAUCAUCCAUCCGUUUAAAGUAGUAAUUUUAUUGUUAAUCAGCUCAAUUAGGGCAUGUAAAUUGCCCCAUCGAAUAUAAAAGAUAAAAAAGUUGGUCUCAUCUAAGAUCAAGCAAAAAGCUUGAAAGUAUAAAAGAUAAAAAAAGGAAAUAAUAGAAGGUGAAGGGCAGUUAUUGAAAUUUAUUUUGAGUAUAUAAUACAUGUAGACUUCAAACUACAACAAGUGGCGAACUCGCGGCGGGGGGAACGGAAAGAUUUGAAACUCCGAUCUCGAGAAGAAAUAAGAAGCAUAGACUUCACUUAGUUGUGGUAAUACAAAUAGUUUACAAUAUGACAAAACAAAGAACUAAGACGAAGGAUUCAAAUAAUAGCGUAUUCGCAUCUUACAGCGUAAUCAAGAAGGCGAUCAAGUUCAUCGAGAGUAACGUAACCAUCGCCGUCGGCAUCCGCGGCUUUGAGUGACUGGCGAGCUCUGAAACGGCUCCAAUUAGACCCUAAGGAUUCAAAGGCCGAUUUCAACUCCAGACGUGAAAGACGGCCAUCGCCGUCGCCGUCGUGCUUGAGGAAAAUAUCACGAAGCUGAUCUCUGGAGAAAGGAACAGGACAUCGCUUGUAGUCGCUAACGCCGUUGCUGAAGACGAAACUCAAAGCCAUGGAAUUUUCUUUUUAUUAUUAUUAUUAUUAUUAUUAUUAUUAUAAGUUUACGGGAUGAUGAUGAGGAGGAGGUUGAAGAAAUAUGUUGUUUGAGUUGAAGAAAGUGUUGAAGGGCAAAACUGCUAUUUAUUGCUCAUUUCCUUCGGCUUUGACGCUGCCUUUUCAAUAUUUGGCCCUAAAAAGUUAGGGGAGCAUUUUGGUAUUUGGAUUGGCAUUGAAUUUGAAUUUUCUUCUAUCUCUUUCGAAUAUUUGUUGGACUUGGUUUUCUCUCUCUCUUUUCAAACAGAGAAAAUAAAACUAUAAAUAUACCUAUUAGAUUCAUAAUAUUAAUAUAAAAUUAUUAAAAUUUAAUGAAAUAUAUUAAUAUAUUUGAUAAACUAUACUCCAAAUAUUAACUUAUUAUUAAUACACGAUAAGAUAAGAGUCUAAUAACAAUGAUAGAAAAUUUAGUGAUUUUGAUUUAGUUUGUCAAUAGUUUCAAUUUUUUUUGUUGGAGGUAAAUUAAGAGUUUGAUCCCAAACCCUCCCCAUAACUCCACACCAUAAUCUCAAAAUAGAUUCAAAAGCAUAAUCUCAAAAUAGAUUCAAAAGCUUUCCAUCUCUCGAUUAUCAAAGUUACGUACUCCACCAAUAUAAAGAAACUUAAAUAAGAAAAAUCGACGAUCACUAAUCUAAGAGUGAGAUUGUAUGUCAAUUGGUAAUAUUACACAAAAAACGACAUGCAUGCAUGCAUCAAGAAUUUGAAGAUACAAACUAAAAAAGUUUGUUAAAAUAUAAGAAGUGGUGCUAUCAUUGAUCUUUUGAGGUUGAUCGUUGGUAAUGACAAGAAAUUAUGAACUAUGAAUUAAUCCUAUAUAUUUCAAAGUUUAAAACAAAAUAAACACUCUAAAUUAAUAUAAGAAGAAUUUGUUAAAAGAAGAAAAACCAAAUGUAUCCAUAUACUUCACGUUUAAAACGGUAGUUAAGAUUAAUGUUAAAAAGAUUUAGUUAUAAUCAAUUAGAAAAGUAUAUAGAUUUGAAAAUUUCAAAUUGCUGACAUUUGAAUAUAAAUUAUUCUUUGGAUAUAAAUUUAGAAAAUUUUCGAAUUAAAAAUAUGUCAAAAUAGAAUUUGUGAAAUGAAAUAGAUACUCCAAAUAAUGAUGAAUUUGAUUGAUAUUAAAUUAAUUAAUCACAUUGCAAUGUCAAGAAUAAGGUUUUUUUUAUAAAAAAAUUGGGUAAAGAUAUCUAAUCAUUCAUUUAAAAGAUUCUUGAAUGUAAAUUUAAAAUAAAAUUAUAUAUAUAUAUUCUUUUGGGGUGCCAUGGGGAUGGAGGUUGGGGAAUAUAUUUCCCAUCCCCGGGCCAUCUGAACUAUGAAUUAGAAAAAUAAUUCUCACUUCGAUCAUUAUCUGUUCGAGUAUUUCUGUUUCGCGACAGAUUCUCAUGGGACCCUUACUCCACGGGUUAAAUGAACGUCUCUAAUUUCAAAAAUGUUUUAAUAUUUUCUUCUAUCAAUCAUUUGACCAUUUUAGUUUGAGAUUUACUCUAUUACGAAUUGAGUUAGGUCUAGCGAAUUUUAUGAUCUUAUAUAUCGAUCAAGUUGUAGUUGAAAAGAUAAAGUAUUGAUUCUAAUUUCUUCAAAUUUUUGUAAUCCAUUAAGCUAGCUAGAGAAAUAAUUGAUAAAAAUCAUAAAACUAAAAUAAAAUUAAAAAGUUAUCCAAUGAAUUAAAAUAGAAUCAACAAAGGUACAGAAAACGAGAAUUAAAAAUAAGAGAGGUUUGUUAGGAAGGAAAAGCUAAGCGAUGGAAUCUUCAAAAGUAAUGUAUGGCUUACAAACAAAGCUAUAUAUAUAAUUCGAUUUAUAUAUAUAUAUAUAUAUAUAUCUGUGUGGGCAAUUUUAAUUCUGAUAAAAAUUAAAAUUUAAAUAUCAUACUAUUUUUCUACCUAAACGAAUAUAAUUCGAUAAUUUUAAACAUGUGUAUGAAAUUAACAACAUGUUUUUUUAAAUAUAAUUUAAAUUUACCAAUCCAAAUAUUAUACUCUUACAAAUAUGUUAUUGAUUUUGGACAAGAAUAUCAAAUUUGUAAAAACUAUUUUAUCAAACAAACUGCUGUAGGAAUAAUUUUCUAGUAAGGUGAUUACAACCUGGGGUAAUAAUUAACGAAAUGUAUAACUUGUAAAUAGCAAAUUCUAUCGUUGAUGAUAGACUUGUCUUUGGUCAAUUAAUGAUAAAUCAUUAAUGAUAUAGUCUAUAACGAAUAGACCAUGAGAGUACUAUAUCGUUGCUAUAUAUUUGCUUUUGUCAAUUUUAAGUAUGUGAAAAUGUAAAAAGUUAAAAACAAUUUUGAUCUGUGAAAUUUCAAAAUAAUUUGAGUUUGGUAUUUGGCUUUUUGAUUUUUUAAUUUAAAAAUUAAGUUUAUUCUCCUUUUUCAUUUCUUACUACCAUUUGCAUAUUUUUCUAGUCAAAUUUGAAAAACAAAAACAAAUUUUUAAAAACUGCAUUUUUUAGUUUAAAAUUAUGGCUUGGGCUUUUAAAUCGUAAAAUGUAGAAAGUUGAAAGUAUAGGCUAAAUAUUAAAAAAUAAAAAUAAAUAACCAAAUGAGAUCUAAAUUAUUGUCAUUUGUUUAAGUCGUCAUCUUUUUCAAUUUCUGUUCGCAUUCAACUUACAUCAUGAGUUGAUUUUGACAUCGAUCGUUUUCAUCUUUUUAGAAAAUUCUCAUCUUUCACAUAAAAGGUAUGGUGCAAAACAUUCAAACAAGCUAAUGGACGCUACAAAGAAAGAGAAUAUAUAUCGAUAGUGCGUAAUUAAAAAGAGUUGUUAGACAUGAGAAUAUAUAGUAGUUAAGACAUCCAACUUUAGCUAUAAUAUUUGAACUUAAAGAGAUAGGCUAAUUAACAUUAACCAACAUGAACUCAGCUCAACUAAACGAGUGGACCAAAGGUCAGACUAUAUCAACAAAAAUUUAGUACGUUUUAAUAGUAAUAAUAAUUAACCAUAAAAGAUCGAUUUUUGUUACUCUAAAAACGUUUUGAAUAUCAUAUGUUGAAGACAAACAUACAUGCAAAUUCUUCAUUCCUUAUUUUCCAAAGAUAUAAAGAAUAUGUUAGUUAAGUGGUAAAAGUGAGAAUUUUGAAAUGAAUUAUGCUUUCUUUUUUUUGUUUGGUAUAUAGUCACCAACAAGAGAAUUUUAGGUAGUGAUAUAUUAUCACACACUGUAGUAAUAAUGGCCAUAUAUAUAUAUAUAUAUAUAUAUAUAAUUCUAGCUGCCCCACUCCCAAGUAAAAAAAAAAACUCUUUUCAAAAAAAUUGUUAGAUGCUGAUCCAUUUUUUCUUACCAUUUUCAUAUAUAGCAAAAUAAAUAUAUACAUCAUAAACUUGACAGAUUGUAUCAAUCAAAUUUUAAAUGUAUAAUAUUUGUUAAGAAUUUGAACAUAUAACUGUUUCAAAUUACAUAUUGAUCCAUCUUCAAGCAAAUGAUGAUGGCUAUAAAAUGACUAUAAAAUAAAAAUGACUAUCGUCUACCUCAAUCAAAACCUUGAACGUCGUUAUUGUGAUCUUUCUCUCUAUGGAAUACAUGAAAGUAGGCUCGAAGUCUUUUUAUAUACUAGUUUAAUUAUGAUCCUUACACCAUUUUACCCCUUCAAUCCAUACUCAAUUAGGAAUUUUUGGUCUUAAUUAAAUAGAUCAUGUAAUAGACCCAAUUUAAUAAAAUAAUCCAAUGUGAUAAAUUAUUAAUUUACAUACAUAACUCAUGUAUCUCAUCCUAUUGUUUAAUCAUGUAUUGUUAUCUAAUAAACUCUCUUUACUGUUUUCUUUUAUUUUGUAGGAUGAGGAUUGAACCUUGGAGAUACCGAUUCCAGUAAAGUAAGAUAAAAAGUAGAAUUGGAUUCCAAUUUUUCCAAUUUUCGGGUUGAAAAAAGUUGGCAUAGUAGUUGUAAGAAAAUUGCUUAUCAUCUAUAUCAUUGCUUGCCAUGGUGCUAUCAAUUUUUGAAAGUGUGAUGAACACAAAAUGAGUAAUUAGCUAAACAUAACAACACAUACGAACUGAAGAUAUAUACAAUUAAAAUACAACUGAUUGAGAUAUAUAUUGUCAAUAAAUUAAAGGCAACAGAGGUUCGAAAGUAAAAUAAAAGAAAAAUACACAUAAGAAGCAGCCGCCAUUUAUUGGACAAGUUUAUAGAAACCGACGAUAUGAUCAACAAGCCGUCGUGGGAGGCGGCGGGGCAGUAAAUAAAAAUCAGACAACAUAACCUUUGCUCAUCAUGUACUUUACGAACUGAUCGAUCUCUUCCUCGCCAAGCUUUCCAUCUCUGUUUCGAUCUGCGUGACACAGAGCACUGUAAGCGAGAUGAACUGGCAUUUCAGCGUCCAGUUUCUUCAAUGCGUUCUUGAUCUCGAACAAUCCUAAUCCUCCGUCUUCAUUCGUAUCCAUUUGGUUAAAGAUCUGUCUCAGUUCUUUGGCAGAGUAGGCGCUUUCCGACGAGACGGGCGGUGAAUUCGAUUUCGUUUUUGGACGGAACAUCGACGACAUGGUUCUGUAGUUGAUUGUGGUUUGGGAAAUUGGGGAGUUGGAUUUGAUUUGAUUUGUUGUUGAAAAUGGAAAGUGGGGGAAUAGGGGAAUUUAUAGAGAAAAAUGGAAAUUAAUGGCGGUGAUUAGAGAAUUGAGAUGCGGAGUUAUCUUUGUGUUCUGUAUUGGGAUUGGUGCGGCUACAAAAUUGGAAUCCAAUUCGGCUUUAGAGUGUCGUACAAUUUAGGAACUGUGCUUUGUGAUGGAUUUCAACGGCUGACUCUGUUUUUAGUUUGAAGUUUAAACAUUCAAAAACACGUUAGAAUGUUGAUGAAAUGUCAUCGGAUUUUGACGUCUAGAGUAAGACGGUGAUUAUUUAAGUAUAUGAUUUAAAAGAAUUUAUACAAUACUUUUGAUUUUGAAAUUUUAAUUAUUCUCGAUUAAAAUAAUUCAUUUUUCUAAAGUAAAGUAGGUUCCUUGGGUCUCAAGGUAAAGAGUAAUAUAUUUUAUUAAUGAAUGUCGAGGUGCUCUCUCUAAUCUUUUUUCACAACAUAUAUAAUUAAAAAGGCAAAUUAAUAUACUUUUUAAUCAUAAGAUCAAAUUAGUUUGAAAUAUUUUGAUUAUUCAACUAUUUUUAAUUAUUAUAUUCAAGAAACACUCGUAAAAAUAUCAAAUUUUCUUCUUUUUAAUGAUAAUAAAAACUCAUGUCACUAUAUUUUUUAAAUUACAAAAAAAGUAAAUUUAAAAGAAGAUAACUCUCUAGUCUUUUAAUAGUCGCAUUUGCUAUAUUAACAAUAUGCAGAAGAGAUUCGUGAGAAGUGGUUUUUUUCUUAAAAAAAUUAUGUAACUUUUUUAUAUUUUAGUAUAUAGUUUUCUUAAAAGGUUUUAGAAGCAACAACAAAAAAAUGUUUUUCUUUAAAAUUCCAUAAAAGCUUGGAGGGAAUGAAGGAAAGCAUGUAAGAAAUUUCCCCUUUCCUUUUUUUAUAUUAAUUUUCUCCCGCAAAGUUUAAUCAUUUAACUUCAAGGAUAGGUCCAAUAAUAUUCGGAAAAAAGAAAGCAUAUAUUAAUAAUUAUAAUAUAUUGCACUCAUCAAUCUUUGGUUGAAUUAUUCAACAUUUGACCACAUUGUAACAAAGGAAUCUCACUUGUCUUUAAUAUUACAAUUGAAUUGCACCUUUCAUUGGAACUAAUGGAAAUAAAUGUUGUUUUUGUUUUGUUAUAUAUAUAGUCACAUCCCAAAUCACACUGCACCAAAAUAACGAUGCUGUAGGAAUAGGAUGUGAGUUAGUUAUAAUCUUGGAAUUUCUUAUUGCAAAUCUUAUUAUUAAUAACAGAUGUUUCAUACAUAAUUACGAUACUUUGACCAAAUAACUAAUGCUUAACCAUUUCCAAAACACCUUGAAUCACAUUGCUGCAAAUCCUUCAGCCUUCUUCUUUACUUGACCCAAAUGCCUGAUCCUGAAAGAUAGAUUUUUAAAACGUAAAUCUAAAAAACUUAGCGAGGUCUUAUGAAAAUCCUUCGCAAUACCAUUUCAUAAUCAUCUCACAAAAAUAAUAUCAAAUCAUUUAAACAUACCGACAAAUCAUUUCAUUUCACAUAAACCUUUCUUUAUACUUAACAAAUCAUUUCAUUUCGCCAAGCAUUCUGAAUCGUUAUCUACGCUUUGUCUCAUUAUCUCGCGUUUAAACUAUUGUAUUAACAACAUCUGAGAACAUACAAAUUCGUCAUUGUUGCUCAGGCUGCUAAGCUUUAUACGCUCAUUUCAACGCAUAAGCCAACUUCUUAUCACCAUGUAGUCCAUACACUUCAUGGUGGCUUUGACUCUAUAUGCUCACAUAAAAGUUAACAUCAUCUCAAAGAAAUAACUGUUGGUUUGAAAACCAUUUUAUAGUAUUGAAAUCAUAAUAUCAAAUCAAGCUUUAACGUUAUAAAUCAUGCUUGAAAACAUAACUUUUUAUAGGAAUAUCUUUUAAACAUUCUCAUUUGAAUUUUUAUUUCAAAUCAGUAAAGAGAAAUCUUAAUAAAGUUUUUAACAUAAAUUCAUUUGAGAGAAAACAUUCACAAAACUUUACUAAACACUCUCAUUUGAAUUUUUCUUUCAAAUCAGUAAAGAGAAAUCUUAAUAAAGUUUUUAACAUAAAUUCAUUUGAGAGAAAACAUUCACAGAACUUUACUAAACAUUCUCAUUUGAAUUUUUCUUUCAAAUCAGUAAAGAGAAAUCUUAAUAAAGUUUUUAACAUAAAUUCAUUUGAGAGAAAACAUUCACAAAACUUUACUAAAGAAGUCCUUAUUCUUCUUCUCGUAUGGUUAAUCUAACACUUCAACAUUUCAACAAAACUCUCAUCAUCCUCUCCUUAGUUAAUAAAAUUCUCUUAUUUAUAGGAUCCUUAAACUAACUUAGUCAUGCAUAAACUUUUCUUAGUUUACCAACUUCUGCUUAAAACUUUACAUGUGUAAAUUUAAUAUUAAAUCUAGUCAUGCUUAAAUCCUUAAUCUUACACGUCUCUGUCAAAUCAGAUUUGAUAUUUUCUUCGCCAGACCUUGCUUAUCGCCUAACCCAAACUGCGAAUAACUUCAACCACUUAACAUUUCUCAUCAAUAAUCUUAGCAGAUGGUUAUAUUUUUACUAUAAGAAACAUUAAUCACAAACUAACCAACUUUUACUCGCAUAGAACUCUUAUCGCGAACUUAAACUUCAAAGCUUUUCUUGCAGACUUCUUCCCCGCGAAACACUUGGUUCUUCUCGCGAAGACUACCCAAAACACUUAGUCAAAUACAAUUAAAUUUUUCACUUCUUAACUUAUGCGGAGACUUUUUCUUUUCUUAUCGCACAAUUUCUUGAACUACCCACUUAAUUGCAAAAACGUAUAUUAAACCAUAAAUUUUUUUAUCGUUUAAUCAUUUUCGCAGAUUUAUUCAAAUGUUAACUUCUUAAUCAAAUUUUACUUUUUUUUACUCAAAUUAAAAGUGAAUCUUACAUAUAUCUUAAGAGUCUAUUGACAAUUAAAUGUUUUUUUUAGAUUGAACAUGUAUAUUUUCACUCUCCCCAAUAAUUUUUAGUAUAACAAUAAGAUUUGAACCUUUCAUUUUAAGAUAGAAAGUCAUAUUAAAUAUUGUUGAGUUGAGUUCAUUUUUUACUUAUACCCCAUAUUUGUUGUGUCGGAAAAGAGUUGGGUUUUAAUUUUUAGUUAAAUUAUAAGUUUAUAGUAACUUCUAUAUAAAAAAUAAGUUGAUUAGUUUAAAAAAAUUAGAAGUACAGUCAUGCAUUCAUAUUUUAAUUAAAAAUGCAUCUUUCUUUAAAAAUGAAAUUACAUUUUUUUGGGAAUUAUAUGUGAUUUAAAUAUUGUUUGGGAUUGAAAGUGUUAAUUAUUCUUAUUUCUCAAUUAAGAAUAUUUCUUUUUCUAAAGUAGCUAUAUCUCCCUCAUCAAUCUCUCCUUUUGCCAUGUCAAGAAUAUAUAUUUCUUUUGUGGUGAUGGUCGAGAAAACACUACCGACCUAAGUUAAAUUUGCCUAACUCAAUCUAUAACGAAGAGAAAAACUAGAUGGUAUUUGAAUUGUAUUUAUGUUUGCACGUCUAUCAAAAAAUUAUCACGUGGAUGCAUAUAACUUUAUUAAAAAGGUAAAAUAAGAUUAUAAUUAUCGUCCUAUUUAAAAUUAAUUAAUAUGCAUGUAGUAUCUUACAUUUUAGAAUUAAGGUUGCUAAAAAAAAUUGAUUGCUCAAUUACUUAUUAUUUCUUAAAUCAAUCAACUUUAUUUGUUUGGUUGCAAUUUCAAUUAAGUGAUCAAUUUCAUAGGUGGUCAAGUUUGGGACAAAAGCUUCGAGGGAAUAAAGCAAAAAAAAGUAGGAUAUUUCAAUUUCUUUUAAUCAUUCAACUUCAUCCAUAAAUCCAUUAAUAAUAUUCGGACAAAUGAAAAGAUAUUAUAUUCCACUCAUUAAUGGUUGGUUGAAUUGUAAUGAACAUUUGACCAUAAUGUAACAAAGUAACCACUAAAUUAGAGAUGCACAAGUAAAAUUACUCAAAAUUGUGUGUUAAAUUUUCCAAUUGAAAGGCAAUUUGAUGGGAACAAGCUUUGCCAAAUUUGAUAUCUGUCUCUUACAAACAAAAGGAAGAGAAGGCAUAGGUUGACUCUCUUUAGUAACUUUGAAUAUGAUUCUUGAUAACUUUGGAUCGGCUAUGCUGAUUUUAUUAUAUAGAUUCAUCAUUCUUGUGAGCAAGCAAUUGUAGAAGAAAAGUAUUUGGAUACAUCACGAAUCAUACUAAUCUUUAUGCAACACACUCGGAUCUUUUGGUGAGAUAUGAGAAUUCUGUGUCUCUCUCUUUCAAAUUCCGUCAUAACUUGACCAAUAGGAAAACGACGAAGGUGACCUCUCUUCUUUCCUUACUUGAGGGGUGGAUGCUCUCAUAAAGAGGGGAGAAGGGAUGCUUGUGUUUGGAAUCUUAAUCUCAGUCAGGGUGUCACUUGUAGGAUCUUGUUUCCUUUAAGGAGCCGAUUUUUGAUGUGGUGUGGAGGACUAAGGUUCUUUAUAUGACAAGUUUUGCUUGGUCGGGUUAAUACUGUUGAUAGGGCUUGUUAAGAGGAGGACUUCACUUGUUGAACCUUUUGUUGUAUGUUGUGUCGGAUAUGGGCGGAGUAAAAUCUUGAUCAUCUCUUUUGAGAUUGCUAGUUGUAAGGGUUGUGUGGUGCUCCUUCCUUCAAGAGUUUGGUGUUAGCUUUGCUUGUUUGAGGAGUAUUAUAGCGAUGAUCGAGAAGUUUCUUCUCCAUUCACCUUUCAGAGAUAAAUGAAUUUUUUUAUGGCUUGUUGGGAUGUGCACGGUUAUUUGAGACAUUUGGAGCGAAAAGAAUGAUGCGGUGUUUAGGGGUAGAGAGAGGGGACAUAGUGAGAUUUGUUUUUUUUUGGAGUAGUUGCAAAUUUAGCAAUUAAAUUCAAAAUAAUUAAGUAUACAGCAACAUUUUAAAAAAAUUACAAAUAUAGCAAAAUUUGUCAAAUUCUAUCAAUGAUAGAGUUUAUCACUGAUAGAUCAUGUUGUAAAAAUUGGUCUAUCACCGAUAUAUCAUACGAGUCUAUCAGUGAUACAUGUCUAUCAACGAUAGUUUUGUUAUAUUUGUAAUUUUUUUUAAAUGUUGUUAUAUCCUUAAUAAUUCAUCAAAUGACCAUCCAUUACAAUUACCUUUGUUUUUUUGGUUAGAUUUCACAUGUCUCUUUGGGCUUCAGUUUUGAAGAACUUUUGUAAUUAUGCCAUAGGCAACUUUUUAUUUCAUCCGUCCCCCUCCUUUUAAUGGAGUGAUUUUGUGAGGCUUUUUUUUUUUUUGUAUAUCCUUGUAUUCUUUCAUUCUUUCUCAAUGAAAGUUGUUCUUAUUAAAAAAAAAACCCACUCAAUUGUCCAAUCACACUUUAUCUUGUAGUAAAUCCAGAAUUUGAGAACAAAAUGAAUUAUUUCUAAACCUAACUUUAGAAGUCAAAAUCGUAUACUACAACCAAAAUAUUCAAAAUUGAAAGAUUAAAAAAACAUCAGCGAACCUAGUAGCAUACUAGGCUAUCAAGUGAGUUGCUCUAUUAUAAACACGGUGAUAGAAGGAGAAGGAGACAAAGACCCAACUUACUUGCCAAAUUUCUUCAAUGACAUCCAUGAUCUGAGUAAAAUUGACCAAGCAGUUGUUAAUCUAGUUCACCACUCCUAGCACCCAAUUCAACUACAAUAGUUAGGGAAAGUUGAGAGAUAAAUUGAAAGAAUAAAUCAUCGAUAAUUUCUUUAAAAUCCAUCCCGUUUAGAGAUCUGGAAGAGUCAUGCACCACAACAUAGUCUCGUUCUAAAAGGUAUCGUCGUAAACAUUUCUCUUUCACUCAUUUUUUACAAAAGAGUUUUAUAAAACAUGAUUAGGUGUUGUAAAUAUUUUUCAAUAUCAAAUUGGAAUGAAAACGUUGAAAGAGGAAAAAAACGCACAAACAAAACAAGAUGAAAAACUCAAAUUUUGGAAGAGGGCAGAGAGUCUGAAAAGGCUAAUUUAAUUUAUAGAUUUUAGGUAAAAUUUUGUGCAAAAACCAUAAAUAUUGGACAUAAUAAAAGCGCAUAUCCACGCGAGAAUCGGGGGUUUCUCGUGGCCAUGGAGAUCCCAAAACCCUACCCGCAUUCGAAUCCUCUCAUAUCCGUUUCUUCUUUCAUCCACCAUCACUGUACCAAACUUGGAGCCGAGCUUUCCAAUCGUCUCGAAGACACCAAACGCUUCGCCGGAACUCUCGCCAGAAGAUGGCCGGCCCAGGCGAAUUGGCGAUCAUUUCCUACACCUGCUUUCGCAUCCCUUGCGCGCCACACGCAUGCCUUGGCUGCCACUCUUAGCCCCGACCAAGUGGCGAAGUCCCUCGUCGGCACGGCGGUAUACACUGUUAGCAAUUCAAAUAAUGAGUUUGUGCUCAUUUCUGAUCCCAAUGGUGCCAAGUCAAUUGGGUUGCUGUGCUUUCGCAAGGAAGAUGCCGAGACCUUUUUGGCUCAGGUUUGUUUUGCCCCUGGUUUUCCUCCCAUUUGUGUAGAGUGAAAUGAUAAUGAAGAAGUGAGGAAAACUUGUCGCAAUCUAUUUUGUGCUUCCCCUAUUUAGUGGAAUUUGUGUUUGAUGUUUUCGAUAAUUUAAUGAACUAGAAGUAGGUUUACCAUUCUAAUUCUUUUGUUCAAAUCUGAUGUUUUUAUUGCAAUAUGAUAUCUGAUUAUAGUGAAUUUCAGGUCCGAUCGAGGAAAAGAGAACUAAGAAGUAAUGCCAAGGUUGUACCUAUUACCCUUGACCAGGUACCUUACUUGUAUUAUCAAAUUUUUACUUCUUGAGUACCGAACUUUUUCCCUGCUGCAGUUAUUUUGUUUUCCCCACUUAACGUUCAACCGUUUAGUGGAAUUCCAUAGUGAAGGUUAGUGUGGCUGGUAGGUAACUGCAUUUAUAGGCUUGUGCUAGUACUCCUGAUCAAUGAUAUGACAAUGAGAGCCGAGAGGAGCAUUUACCUGGUGAGAUAACUCCGUUUUAUUUUUAGUCAUCUGGCUGGUGAAAAUUUUCAAAUCUAAGGCCUAUUAAUUUGAAUGUAUCUAAAUUUGUUGGGUUGGAAGAUUUCAAAUAAAUAGGUUGAACUUAUAAAACACAGAAUUUAAAUAUGAUGGUGAAGUGAAGUAUCUGUUUUGCCUUUUCUUUUUCUUCCUUUAUUAGGGGGCGUGGGGCAGGGUUUGAAAUUUAAUAAUUUUGUGAGAAGGUACUCAAUUAGAAUUCAACCUGAUUUUUCUAUUGCCCGUGUAUUAUCUAUUGCCAAUAACCGGGGUGUCCUCCUUCAGUUUCUCUCUUUCUUCUGUACUUCAGUAGAUUUAUUUGUUUCUGUUCGUUUUUUAUGAUUCACAGGUAUAUUUGUUGAAAGUUGAAGGUAUUGCAUUCCGCUUUUUGCCAGAUCCUAUUCAGCUUAAGAAUGCGUUAGAGGCAAGUUUCAUUUGAUCUUGUCAUUCUCUUGGUGUUAAGACAUAGGGUUGUGUCGAUCUUAUGCUAUAUUUUAUAUUCUUUCACUCCGUAUCUAAAUUUUAAAUUCUAUAACAAUACCAAUACUAGUAAGCUAGGAAGCAUAGAUACCAACACGACACACACCAUUUUUCAAAAAGUAGGACACGACAUGUCGAGACACAUUUAAGUAUAUGUCAUGCAUACAAACCUAUUAUGAAAUAUUCCAAUUAGAAACAUCAAAAUAACAAGUUAAGAAGCAAAUAAUUUACAUAAAUAUAACAAAACCCAGAAAUAUUUACGGCUUGUGUAACAAAAAAAGAAAAGUUCAUGAUGCCGGUAAUAUAUUUUCAUAAUUUCCAGAUUUGACCUUGAAUAUUGUAGAUGACUCGUCACUUGUAUUUCUUCUUUUUCUUUCUUUGUGAUUUCUUCUCUUUCAAAUUUAUUUCUUUCUAUUUUUAAACAAUUUAUUCUUUUGUUUAAAUCUCCUAUUUCAUCUUCAUCAUUUUCGUCAAGAUUCUUUGAAGUUAUUUCACGAUUGUUUCAAUAUUCUUCUUCGUCAUCCUUAUAUUCAAGAAUAUCAAGAUCGUUUGAAUAUCAUUUUAAAUGAUCAACACGAUCGUUUACCACUGUCAAGAUGAUGGUUUAAUUUGAAAUCUUUUUCUCAUCGUUUAAAAUAAACUACAUGAUCAUUUACCAUGUAUCGGAGAAGUUGAGAGUUACACAUUGAAAAAACCAAGAGGACUCAUACUCCAUAUAAUAUAGAUGGACUACUCCUCACAUUGCCAAUUGAUUUUGAGAUGGAACCCCAUACGGGUAUUCGAUCCAAUAUAGGUGAACCCAAAAAGACACCAUCUUGAGGGGGCAUAUCGGAGAAGUUGAGAGUCUCAUAUUGGAAAAACCAAAGGGAGUCAUACUCCAUAUAAUAUAUAUGAGCUACUCCUCACAUUGCUAAUUGGUUUUGAGAUGGAACCCCAUAAUAUCAAAUUUAACACUACGAUCAACACUAUCGUUUAAAUUUGAUGCUUUUUUCCAUCGUUUACCAUAGUCAACACAGUUGUUAGAUUUGAAGUUUUUAACGAUCAUUUACGUUGGACUGCACGUUCGUUUGAUCGUUUAAAUUUAAAGCAUUUUUCUCCAUUAUUAAUAAGAAAUACAUGAUCGUGUAUCAUGACCUAAAUGAUUAUAGGUCAUUUGUUUAGACUUUAGUAUACGAUCGUUUAGAAUAAGAUUACUCGUUCGCGUGUGUGGCCGAUUAAUCGCAUGUUGAUUGGGGUAUUUUCUGUUUCUCAUUGUGAGCUUGUGGGCUUUUUGGUUUUCAAAAUUGUUCUAUGUAGUGUAAAUACCGAUUUGUUACAUUUUAAAAAGAAACCCUUAAGAACCAUAUAAUUCAUGAACAUGAAAAAUAUGAUAAUUGAUACCAUACUGUCUGGCCACCAAAGCAUGAAAAAAGAAAAGAAGAAAGAUAAAAUGAAACUGACAACGAGUUUGGGUGGUGAGAAACAGGGGAGCACGAACACAACACUCGACACGUAGGUGGAGAAGAGAAAUGCAUAAAAACAAAAUGGUUGAAAAGAUAAAAUUAAGAAGAAAAAAAUAACCCGUCUUCUUUGUUUUUUUGUUUUUCCAGUCAUGUCUCAUCCGUGUCUUGGUGUGUUGGCACCAUGUUGGAAAUUAGAAGAAAAUAAUAAAAUAAUCCGAAACAGUCUAUUCAUACCUUUACAGUUGAUUCUAUUGGGUGUGUCUAACCUUCCCUUCCCCCCAAGCCCGAUUGUUUUCCCUAACAUCUGCUUCUAACUUAGCCUCAUAAACAAAGUCUGCUACCUGGGCCCGGAUCUGCUUCUUGUUUGACUUGCCAUGAUAACAAACUAAGAAAGCAGUUAAGCAAGGUUGUGGCAUGAUUGAACAAGACCUCUGCAAACAAUGGCUGUAGGUCAUACAAGAUAGAGGUAUAUAAGCCAAUGAGAGGUUAUUGCGUGGAGCAGCACCAGAGGAUGGGUUGGUUCGUUCCUUUCUAUGAAAAGAACCAGGAAAACCAUUCAAUAAAGAGAUUCCCACUAAUCAAUGGAGGGCGGAUUUGAGCUUUGGGUUCAUUCUCAUGAACUAGAGAAAAACAUGGUUGCCACGCAUAAGCAAGCUGCUGUUCUGUCAUUCUCAAGGCUAGGCUAUGGCUAGGUAGGGUUGACAUGCCAACUGGUGUGUUGAAGUGUGUCAGUGUUGGAAAUGUGUCUGACACUGACACUUGGCCAUCUUAGGUGUGUCGGUGCUUCUUAGCUUGUAAGAGAUGCUAAGUUGAUAUUGGCUAGAUAUCAACUACAAUUGGUUGGCCUAGAGGUUGAGGGGAAAGUUGAAAAAGGUAAAAUGAUUAUGGAGCCAUAAGUUCAAAUCUUGUGGUGGUCACGUACUGGAGAGUGGAGACAUUAAUAUCCUUAGUCUAUUUUUUCUCUUUUUACAAUCAAACCAAAAUUUUAAGCUUCAUAUUGUCUCAACAUUAACGUGUGUCACUAACAAUACACACAAGUGCACACUUAUUAUUAGUUGGAUACCUUUGGGGUUUAAGAAAUCGACAAUCAAAGAAACCUAGUAAACGUAAACCAUAGAGAAAACAACAUUGAGAUUUACUUGGUUUGCUAAUGAUAUGUUAGCUACGUUCAUAGGCAAACAGGGAGAAACAUUUUAUUAAUAGAGAAAAUAUCAAAUAUUACAGGUUCAAGGCGCCAGGGAGACCCCUUGCUUAGUUGUUUGGAGUGCCAAAUAACCGAUUUGCUUCAUUCCAAUAUGUUAGAACUUUCUCAUGCAAUAGAGUUGAACUUUCUUAUGACCAUCUUGUAAUUGAUAUUUAAGAUGCCUUGACAUUUCAAUUCGAUAUAUAAGAUGUUACUUACAUUUGACUAGUAAUAAAACAUUUACAAACUCAAACAUUUCAAAUAUACUAUAUUUUUGUUGACCUGAAAAUUGACCCAUAAUUGUAUCUUUGUAUUUGUAGCUUAAAGCAUCAGAGACUGGAAGCAGUUUUGAUGGAGUUCCUGUUUUUCAGGUACGUUUCUGCACUUAAUCAACUGGUUUUAACAUAAACUUGAAUGAAGGAAUCAGAGUUGUGAAAACUCUAGAAGGACCAAUGAAUUGGAUCAUUGGACAUGUUCCAAGUUUCUAAUGAUAAACAGUUCUCAAUCAUGAUUUUUGGUGUGCAUAAUUCAUAAUACAUUGUUAUAUUUGGUUGACAGUUAUCAUAGUUUGUAUUGUUUGGUUGACAUGUCCUAUAUCCUGUUCAUUUUUCAUAAUAACAAAUUUUGAUUUCUUUUUACAGUCUGACCUUCUGAUCGUGAAAAAGAAAAACAAGCGUUAUUGUCCUAUAUACUUUACCAAGGUCUGUAUGCAUAUAAUUUCUGAGGAACUAUGGAUCGUAGAUGCAUCUAACCAUUUACUGGAAAUAUAGGAAGAUAUAGAAAAGGAACUGUUGAAGGUCCCGAAGGCAAGAAGAUUUGGAACUUCUCAACAUAUUAUGGUAUGAUUUGUAUAUUUUUUCUUUGUAUAUUUGAUGUUCCUUUCUUGUGAAAAAGAUUAUCUGUUCUGUUAGUCCACGAUUAUAUUGACUUAAACAUUCAACAGGUUGGAAGUUUGGAAGAUGUUCUAAAGAAAAUGGAGGUGAGGUUUCUUGAUCUCAAGUAGUAGUAUCUUUUAGAAUAUAGAAAUUUUACUCCAUCUUAGUUUUCUUGAUCAAUUGCAGUUGAAUGAAAAUAAUUCAGCCUGGGAAGAUCUGAUUUUCAUUCCACCUGGCAAAAGCCACUCCCAACACUUUCAAGAAGUGGGCAAAGCAUGACAGAGGCCUGUGAAUUCAGCCAACAGACUAAAACAAGAAGAAUGAAAGAGCAUGGAUAGAACUGAUUCAGCAAACUGAGGUUAGAAAAAACUGGAAUUCUGUUAUAGUUGGCUUCAUGGGAGAGGAAUAAUGAAAACUAAUGGCCUUUUUCUCCCUCAUUAGACAUCACAACGGAUCUGAUUCAGACAUUAUUUUGUGAGGUUGAAGAAGAUAAUGCCUUCUGUUUUACGUCAAGGAGGUUAGUGAAAACAUUGCGGCUGGAUUUCUCAGAUGUGUUGAGUUUGAUUUUAUUUAUGUAUAGUAUAGUCUUUAUGAUUGACGCCGUUUUCAACUGUAGAUUAGAAUCAAUGUAAUUUUAGCUUCUGAAAUGGUUACUGAUUCCUAAGGCGACUUGUCCCAUUUUGCUCAGCCGUGCGUUGCCUAAGUACUAAAGGGCCGUUAUUUACGUGGGAAGGGAAUCUGACAGUAUUUGAUUUUCACAAUAAAUUAAUGAACCAUCAAAUAUCUUUUUUUUUUUUUUUUUUUUUUGAAGUUCACAAUUUUACAGGUUGAGAUCAGAACUUUUGACUUUAAAAUGAUGAUUGAUUAUUUCAUCCAUCGAACUACGUUUGGAUACAUACACUAUCUUAUUGUCUAUUGAGGAACGCUGUUGUUUACCGGUUAGAUUUUUGGAAAUGGAGAAUUGUGUAGGUGGGGGAGAACGUAUUAGGUUGUUAGAUCUUAUUUUCAUUUGUAUAAAUAUACUCCUUAAUUAUAUGCGUAAUUCAAAUCUGUUGGUAUUUCUUUUUCAAGAAAGAAGAAAAAUAUUCAUUGCUUUGUAAUAAUAAAACCUUGCUUUUUGUAGAUGGGGUGAUGGGGUGAUGGGUAGGUAACUUCAAUUAACAAAAGUUUAUCUCAAUUUAAUUUUACAUUAGGAAAAUUGUAUUGAGUGGCAAAUUAGUUUGGAUAUUCUGCAAAAAUGUGUUUAAGAUUUGUGAUUUUGCAAAAAUAGCAAAAAUAAUCCAAUCCUAUGUAUGUGUGGGUAGGGUCUUAUUCUUAUAAAUAAUAAAGUAUAAAUAAUAAUAAAGUAUAAAUAAUAAUAAAGUAUAAAUAAUAAGGUAUACUUGUGUUAGUUAUUAUUACUUGUUUUUGCUAUUCUUGUAGUUGUCAUUUUACAUCAUGUCAUAUUUUUUUAAUUAUUAAAGCUGGCAUUUAUUGAAGGUCAUUUAUUGGCAAACAUUUCAACUUCAUAACCUACCUUUUUGUAUUAUAAAUAGUUGGUCGGAUUAUUUGUAGGAUUUAUUGUCCAUAGAUAGGGUCUUCUCUUUUCAAACUUUCUUUUCAUCCGUAACAAUUAAAUGCUGAGUAAACAUUUUUUUAUUUUAAAAUCUUGUUUGUUAAAAACAACCGCGAUAUAUAUAUACAAAAAGAGAAAAAGAAAAUCUUUUCAUUUUUAGUUUUCCUUCAUUAUUGAAAAAAAUGUUGUAUAAAAAAAUGUAAAUUAGUUACAUAACAUUCAAUUUUUUUCAAAAUUUAAAAUGAAAAUCAGAAACAUACAAAUGUUACUUAAGGAAGAAGUCGCAUUGCAAAAAUUUGCCCACUUUGUAGAAAGGAAGGCAAAAGCAGUGGCUGAAGUGGAGAAAAUCCAUUCUUGUGGAAGGAAAUGGAUAUAAGGGGUUUUUGGAUUGAGAUUAAUGUUGCUAGUGAGGUCCAUUCCAUUCUCUCUCUCGUUUUCUUUUUCUUCCUAUGGGAUCUUUAUGCUGAGGUUGAUGCUCUUAUUAGUCGUUUAAAUGUUAGGGGUGACAUAUGCUCCAUAUUUGUAAUGGUGUGGACGUGUGGUCCAUUCUUUUGGCUAAUUUUGCAUUGUCGUCUUGUGAUUCUUUUAGAUUGACUCAUUAUUGUCUUAAUUAAUUAGUUAAGAUCGUUUAUGAAUGAUUUUCUUUAAAAAUAAAAAGCAAAAAGAACCAUUAGUAUGAUAUAAGCUACGUCAAAUCAAAUAAUACCCUCUUACUUUAAACAAAGAGGCCUCACAGUUGAAGCAACUGCAAUGAUUGGCUGUUUUGGUGCAAUAAUGUGGACCAAUGUGUCUGUCUGCUAUACAACAGAGGGAUUUAAAAGGAAUGUCUUUGUAUUGAACUGUUGAGUAAGAAGAUGGGUUAUUAAUUAUGAUGACAAAAAUGGGGAAAAUUUGUGUCAGAAAGUUUGAACAUCAUUUUGAAAUGUAUUUAGUGUAGUUGAGGGACCAAUCUUGAGUGCUCCCUCUGCAUUCCCAAGUACGAUAUGUUGCAUUACAACCCAUUUUGUUGUCUUUGAUUUAUAUUGCUUUAGAAAACUGUGUUCAACCUCAUAUUUCAUUUUUUGUUUUAUUCUUCAUCAAUGCAAUGCAACUACCAUAGAUAAUAAAAGAAAAGUAGACAUUAAAAAAAAAAAAAAAGUCCAUAAGAGAUUGAAUUAGUUAUAACCCAUAAACUAUCUCAUAGACUAUAAUAAACACACAUUAUAAUAACUCACUCUACGACUCAAAUGCCUCCUUAAGAGUUAAGACUAUAAUAACCCACUUCUUGUUCUAAAGCCAUCUUUCGAAUUGGUGCCUUAUCGUUCAUAAAAGGUAUUAGAAAAGGUGGGUGAUUAUGGUAAUAUAUUUGUUUAGUCUUACUUUUAUUUUUCUUUUCCAAUUCAUUAGGUAGCAUUAACAACUCUAUUAUUAUUCAAAUUUAAAGAAUUUCCAAUUGGAAAAGCAAGUUUUAAAAAAAAUAUAAAAGCGUGAAAGUUAGAAUCAAUAAACAGUGAAUGAAAGUAGAAAAAGAAGAAAAUAAUGAUUUUGCACUUCAAGAUGGGCAUCAUUAAUUCCUUAGCCAAUAAGAGUAAGAGUGUGGCAGACUAAAAAAUAAACGCGCCAGGUAGGGGUCGAACCUACGACUUUCUGCUUAGGAAACAGACGCUCUAUCCACUGAGCUACAGGCGCUUCUUGUUAAUUAAAAUGCAUCUAUUCAUAUAUUGUUUGAAAUACAUAACACCAGGUGUCCAUUCCUCUAUUUUGACGUCACACUACACGUGUCAUACCCCUACUCGUCGCAUAAUAUCCUUCGAAUUUAUUGUUUUUUUAAAAAAUGGAUUUGAAACGAUUUUAAAUUGAUUAUUUUGUUUGAAUAUAGAAAAGAUUUAAAACGUGGAUAUUUUAAAUUUUGAAUUUGAAUUGCAAGGGAAAAAGAAAAAAAAAGUUUAAAAAUGUUAAAAUAUAUAGCAAUAAUAAGUAGAAUGUUGUUGGAAUAUUAAAUAAAUAGAUUAAUUCCAUGUCAUCAUCCAUCUGAGUCAAUCCAAUCCCACCGCUGGGUGCAGUGUCGACGGUGACUAUUAAUGGAAAACACAAGCGGCGCGUCUGUUUUAUUCUGUUUCAAUUAAUGAACAAAUCACAUAACCCCAAAUUAAACACACUUCUUAUUAAUUAUUAGUAUCCACUUCUACCCAAAUUAAUAAUAAUAAUCAUAGUAAUAUAAUUUUGUAAAACUCAUUUUCAUUUUAUAUUUUUAAAUAUAAAUAAUAAUAAUAAUAAUAAGUCAAAUCCCUCACCAUCUGUGUUGGAUUCCUUAAGAAUUUUACACAAAAUCACUUCCACAAAUUCAAAAAGUUAAAAUGUAAUUAAAAAGAAAUGAAGGGAGAGAGAGAGAUGGACGUUGGUGUAUGAGAAGGAGUAGGCUCCACUGACGCGUACCGGCCCCCCAUUUUUCUCAUCUCUAAUUUUAGCUCUCCCUUUCCUUUCUCGACCCUUUCCUUUCUUCAUAAUCCUUUUUCUUUCUUUUUUUUUCCUUUUUCUCUUUAAUUAUUCAUUUUUUUUAUUUUUAUUUUUAUUUAUUUAUUUUCAUUCUUUUCUAUUUUUCCUUUUCCCAUUUUCCGGUGAUCAUUAUUUUUCAUUUCCGCUUUCCUUUGACUUCUUCAUCAUCUUCACCAUCUUCAUCAUCUUCUUCCUCCUCCUCCUUUGCUGCUUCUUCACGGUAUGCUUCUUCUUUUAAUUCUAUGCACUUUCUUACCUUCAUCAUUAAUUUGCUUCCUUUCUUUCUAUUACUGUGACUCCAUUCCACCUUUUACUGCCUUUUGAUUUCUCUUCAUUUUUUUUUAUGUUUCCCAUUUGAUAUCUUUGAUGCGCUUUAUCAUUUGUAUCUCCUCUUCUGUUCUGUAAGAGCUGUGUGAUUUCGCCUUUUUAAUUCCUUUUCCUAUUUUUCUUUCCUUAAUUGCUCUCAUUUAAUUCCACUAUGUAUGUUGUUGUUGAAUUUUGCCUGUUUAUGUUCUCUCAUUUAAUUAGACUGUGAGUUGUUUCGUGCUUCUUUAUUUUGCUUUCCUUUCUGGAAUCUGGCGGCUGUAGGCGGGAUGGAGGGCGGAUGCGCUUAAUUACUAUCUCUGUUUUUCUCGUUUUUGGAACCAGAGGAGGUUUUUUCGAUGUGCGCACUAGGUGUUGACGUUAAUUGUUUUCCAGGUUUGAUCGGCUCUACGUUUAAAUGUUAAGUCUUUAUAGGAUUGAAACUUAAGGUUUACAAACUUUUUGGAAAGCGUCUUGCGUCGCGUCCUUUUUGGGUACCAGAAAGUAUUUACUUCGUCGGUGAAACACAUUGGUGUAGCAGAAAUUCUUAGACGAUUCUAUGUUGAUCUAUUUAGAAAAUUAGGUUAUCUCAUGGAUCGAUUAGAGGUGGCUGCUAUUAAGCUCAAAAUGGAUAAUUUUUUUAAGAAAUAACCUUAUAUCUUUUCUUUUUUUAAAAAAAUAUGUGUGUGAGGGUGGUGGGGGAUCCGAACCUCAAACUUCUUGUUUAAGAGUAUACACGUUUUGUAGAUUUAGCUAUGCUCUCUUAGGGAUUAAUCUAAAAUCUUUGGUGUAUGCCAAGUCGCGUACCACUUCAUAGUUGUAGAUAUAGGUAUUAAAGAAUAUACCAUAUUUAUAACUGAGACUUGAUUAACUAUGCUUGGAUCAAACUUUUUUAGCCUAAUACAAUUUUUCAGGAGCAUUUGAGGAAAGCUGAAUUGUUGAUCAAAUACAAGGAAUUUAAUAUUCUAGUUUAAAACAUUCCGUGGAGUAAUAUGAAAAUGGUUCAAAACGAAAUGAUAAAACAUUGACUUAGCAGUGGAUAAAAAGCUGAAAAUGGUUAUCACUUUGAUUCUUUGACCCUUGAUUAAAUGUGUCAAAUGUGUCAUGAUAAUUUCUAAUGGUUCGUGAAUCUGGUUCUUCUUAUUCACUGAUUUGUCAUUGGCAUGAUAACAUUUUGCUUCUGACUGUAGUUUCCUAAAGUUGCUGUCUAGUUAAUUUUGCAAAACAGGAUUUAAAAUUAACGAUUUUGGGUGCUUUGUGCUUUCUAUGGUUUCAGCUCAGCUACAGCUCUCUGUUGGCAGUAUUUGUUAACCCUGUUCGAUGGAUGAUGUGAAAUUAGCUAAUCAUACAUCUUCUUCACAUUCCUCAUUAAUCUCUCAAGAGGAUAGUCAUUCUCUUGAUGAAAAUCCAAACCACCUAGUUAACAAUGGAAUUGUUGGUCCCAGCCAAGUUCUCCCAAAUUCUGUUGCUAAUGGGAAGUUGGAAGGUAAAAUUGAAUGCUCUCCAAGUCCAAUUGAUGGAACUGUGAUAUCUGAGAGUCCACAUCAAAUAUCUGAAAAUUCUGUAAUGUCAGCCAUAGAAGGUGGUCCUAGCCCGAGAGAUGCAAAUAUGAGACAAGAUGAGGGUAUUGCAUCCAAUAAUUCAGGUUUGAGUUCAACAGUUCCAGAUGAUAGACUAGAGGAACAAAAUCCAACUACCUUGAUGGAAGACCCCAGAACUCAGUCAGUUGAAGAUAUGUCUGAGAAACGUUCUCAAGAACAAUCUACUGUCCAUAGUGGUUCUGCUAAUGAUGUCAUUAUGCCAUCUGUUAUUUCUUCGGUUGAGGUUCUGCCUGAGAAAUGUCCUCAAGAACAAUCUACUGUCCAUAGUGAUUCUUCUAAUGAUGUCACUCUGCCAUCUGUUAUUUCUUCAGUUGAGGAUAUGCCUGAGAAACUUCCUCGGGAACAAUCCCCAAUCCAUAGUGAAUUUGCUGCUAUCAACGAGGUCACUCCAUCUGCUGUCUCUUCAGUUGAGGAUAUGCCCGAGAAACUUUCUCAGGAACAAUUUCCAGUCCAUAAUGACUCUGCUACAGUCAAUGAUGACAAUACGCCAUCUGUUCUAUCUUCUGAGGCAGUGGUUAUACAGAAUGAAGGUGCUGUACAAUUAGAUAGGCUCACAGAGGGGGAGAGAGUGUCGUGUGGAAAAUCGGAAUCUGUUGAUUCUCCCAUAGAUGGGAAACAAAGUGAUAUAAACAGAGGCCUUAUUGAUACAACUGCACCAUUUGAAUCAGUUAAAGAAGCCGUUUCAAAGUUCGGUGGGAUUGUUGACUGGAAAGCUCAUCGAAUCCAGACAGUUGAGGUAUAACUUGCUAGACUAUUAUUGUGAUCCUUUCACAGUUUAAAUGUUGUGGCACCCCUUACAUGAUGCAUUGGGGUGGGUUAGGUUUUCCUAAUAUUGUUGGAUAAAAUAACUGUCUUUUGUUGCUAGCCUAUCAUGAAAAGGGUAUUAAUUUAGUUGUCACGGCUGUGUACCUUCAGAGCAAAAGACACAAAAAGUAUUUCUCAUUGGUUAUUAGCUUAUUGUAUGUAGUAUCUGAUGAAGCUGUGCUCUUAGCUGGUAAUAACAGCAUACUUCGAAAAUGCAUAUCUGUGGCAUGUUACUUCAGGGUUCAUUUGUGAUUACAGGAUGGUUGUAAUUGGGGGACAAGUUUAAAUGUGAAGUGAAGCGGAGUUUGUCUCAUUAUUUCACAAUUAUGUUUCCAGAUUCUUGUUGAAAUUCUAAUUCUUCAAAAAUAUUCUAAUAGAUACUGUUGUAUGUGUAACGCAUUCACCUUGAUUGUGCGUGAUUGGGUAUAGCCCCACUACGAUUGUGCAUGAUUGGGUAUAACUCCACUGCUUGUUGAAUUUAAGUAAUUGAAUUCAUUCAACCCCCCGAUAGAUUCAAAUGAUUUUUCUAGUAUAGCUAAUAGUUAUAUCUUUUAAAUGUUGCAGAGACGUAAGCUUGUGGAGCAAGAACUUGAGAAAUUACAAGAGGAGAUUCCUGAAUACAGGAGACAGUCGGAAACUGCUGAAGAUGAGAAAAAGAAAGUUCUAAAAGAACUGGAUAGCACUAAGCGAUUGAUUGAAGAACUAAAGCUUAAUCUAGAGAGGGCACAAACAGAAGAGCGUCAGGCAAGGCAAGAUUCUGAGCUAGCGAAACUCAGGGUUGAAGAGAUGGAGCAAGGGAUUGCUGAAGAGGCUAGUGUAGCAGCCAAGGCGCAGCUUGAGGUUGCUAAAGCCAGGCAUGUAGCUGCAGUUUCAGAGCUUCAAUCUGUCAAAGAGGAGUUGGAAUUACUUUGUAAAGAGUUUGCUUCUUUAGUCAUAGACAGGAAUGCAGCAAUAGCUAAAGCUGAAGAUGCUGUUGCUGCAUCCAAGGAAGUUGAGAAAGCAGUAGAAGAUCUAACCAUUGAGCUUAUGGCUAACAAGGAGUCGUUAGAGUCUGCACAUGCUUCUCAUUUGGAGGCAGAGGAGCAAAGAAUAGGUGCAGCUAUGGCCAGAGAGCAAGAUUCUCUUAACUGGGAGAAAGAGUUGAAGCAGGCCGAAGACGAGCUUCAGAGUCUUAAUCUGAAAAUUAUGUCAGCAAAGGAUCUGAAAUCAAAACUCGACACUGCCUCAAAUUUGCUAAUAGACUUAAAAGCUGAAUUAGCAGCUUAUAUGGAAUCGAAACUGGAAGAGGAGCCUGAUAAUCAGGAUGGUAACACAAAAGGCGAGGGAGAGGAUCCGGAAAAGAAAACACACACAGAUAUACAAGCAGCUGUUGCUUCAGCAAAACAGGAACUUGAGGAAGUAAAACUCAAUAUCGAGAAAGCAAGUUCGGAAAUAAACAUCCUGAAGGUGGCCGCAACAUCAUUGAAAACAGAGCUUGAAAGAGAGAAGUCUGCUCUAGCUACCUUGAAGCAAAGAGAAGGAAUGGCAUCUAUAGCAGUUGCAUCUCUUGAGGCUGAAGUGGAAAGAACUAGGUCAGAAAUAGCCUUAGUUCAAAUGAAGGAAAAAGAGGCCAGGGAAAUGAUGGUGGAGUUUCCUAAACAAUUACAGCAAGCUGCACAAGAAGCUGACCAGGCCAAAUCAGCGGCUCAGGUCGCUCAAGAGGAGCUACGCAAAACAAAAGAGGAAGCAGAGCAAGCAAAAGCUGGAGCAAGUACCAUGGAGAGUAGAUUGCUUGCUGCUCAGAAAGAGAUUGAAGCUGCAAAGGCUUCAGAAAGAUUGGCCUUGGCAGCAAUCAAGGCAUUACAAGAGAGCGAAUCAGCACGAGAUACCAAUAACGCAGACUCUCCAGCAGGAGUUACACUCUCACUCGAGGAAUACUAUGAGCUUAGCAAGUGUGCCCAUGAGGCAGAAGAACAAGCCAACGUCAGAGUGGCAGCUGCACUGUCUCAAAUUGAGGUAGCCAAGGAAUCCGAGUCAAAAAGUGUUGAAAAACUGGAAGAAGUAACCCAAGAGAUGGCUACCAGAAAGGAAGCACUAAAAACAGCCAUGGAGAGGGCUGAGAAAGCCAAGGAAGGAAAGUUGGGGGUGGAACAAGAGUUACGAAAAUGGAGAGCUGAGCAUGAACAACGAAGGAAGGCUGGUGACACUAGCGUUGGAUUAAUGAACCCGAUUGCCAGUCCAAGGGCGAGUUUCGAGGGAAAGAACGAACCGUCUAAUUUAGUCAGCGUAUCUGAUGCCACAGUUACUGAUCCCUCAAUUUCAACUAGCCCAAAGGGAAAUAUGCAAAGAAGUUUUACUACAUUGGAUUCGUUCUCGGAAGCAAAGGCACCAAAGAAAAAGAAGAGGUCGUUUUUUCCUCGAAUUCUCAUGUUUCUGGCAAGAAAAAAGACUCAAUCAAACAAGACAUCGCAAUGAAAUGGAUUGGUUUUGGGAGUACAGAUAUCAUAAUUACACUGUCGAUAGUUUUCAGCUCUGUUUUCAAGUUGGUUUUGUUGAUGGAGAUUAUAUUCAAAUGGGUGAGUUUGGAAGAAAUACGUGAUUGUACAUGAUGGUGAUGGUGAUGGUUAUUUUUAUUUAUAAUUUUUAAAAUUUUUAAACAUAUUUGUAUGAUGAAGAAAAAAGGGUGUUCGUGCGUGCUAUUAAAAAGAAAUGUUGCCGUACACUGCCGAUGGGAUUGAAAAAGAUGUAAUAAGUUUGUACGUUUUGAUUUUUGAAUGAUGAGGCUGUUCUCCUAACGUUCUCUCUCGUGUAUCAAUGAAUGUAUAGGCUUUUUAAAAAAGCUACGAGUUACUCCUGAGUUUACUCCAAUUUAGUCCAUCAACUUGAACUUUACACCCAUUUCUCCUGUCAAACUCACUCCUAUUAAAUUUCUAUCCAUAAAUCACCUCAAAUCAAAUUAAUUUAUAUAGGUAGCAAUUUUAUAAAUAAUAAAUUAAGUACAUUGUGAUAUUUUUAUAAAAUUACAAAUACAUUGUCACCUUUAUAAUUUAUUAACGAUAGGUUAUUAUUAAUAAAUUUUACUAUAUUUGUAAUUUUUGCAACAUGAUUUAUUAUUAAUAAAUUUUACUAUAUUUAUAAAUAUAGUUAAAAAUAUUGUUCUAUAUAUUAAUAUUUUGAAUCUAAUUGCUAUAUUUGUAAGAAAAAAUUAUAAAGAAAAUGUCAACAAGAGUGUUGGUAACAAUCAGUUUUAGUGUACAAAUACGAGGACAAGAAUUUAACACAAUUGGUAAUGAAUGUAUCAGUAACAACAAAAUUUAUAGCUCAAGUCUUCCAUUUUCAAUUAUUAUUAGAAAAAGAGGAAAUUGUUAGAAAUAAAACAUUUUACAAAGUAUUUACACGUUUAAUAAAUUUUAUUUUUUAGUAGUUUUAUUUGAAAUCUAAAUAUGAUUUAUCAAUUUUUCUAUUUUUAAAAAACACCUACAAAGAAUAUGGAAGUGUAAACGUUUUAUUUAUUAAUUUAAACAUCUUUAGAUAUUUUUUGUUCUUAUUUAUUAAGACUACACAUUCAUAUCUUCCUAGAAUUAGGGUUUUAAUGAUGCCCAAACUGUGAGUUUAAUAAAAGUUUAUAAUACAAAAUUAAAAAUUUUAAAACUUAACGAUCAUAUUUUCAUUAUUGAAUGACCAAAUGAACACAAAUUUGAAAUUUAGGUUGAGAUACUUGCUUCCUUGAUAACAAUGGAUUAAAAAUCUAAGACAAGUCCAUCAAGGAACUUGAAAUAGAAUACAAAUUACAAAUACAUUUAGGGAACUCAUUAAUAGAUGUUCAAAACUACCUAAGGCAUCUAUAAGGUUCUAAACAUUACAAUGCCACUUUAGAAAGGCAUCCAACUCCAUCAGAUAAUAUCAAUAGCAUAUUAUAUAUGCUCUGAGGAACUGAAUUUCACCCUCUUAGCCUGCUGCUAGAUAUGCUGAAUGAACUGACUUUCAUGGGUGUUGCAAUCACCAACGGAGCUUCCGGCGAAUCGGUCACCGCAAAUUUUUCAUGCAUAAAACGACUAUCAACAAUGGAGUCAUCUUUGAGAACAAUCUUGUAACAGUAACAGCUCUUCAAACCUUCUUGAUGGCGGUAGCAGUCGUGCGUCCCAUUUUUCACUUGUUGGAAGUUCCAUAUCACACUGAACUUGCCCACAGUUGCAACCAAAUGGCGCUCCUGCUUCCCGUCUUCGGUGACCUAUAAUGAUGGAAAUGUAAAAUUUGUACAAAAAGAUUAUUUGAAAACUGCUAAAGGAUAACUGCGAGAAACUUAGAGACGUGUUGAGACAAUAAUAAGACACGAUUUAGUGACUCAAAUGCCUAAAUUGUCUUCAGCUUCAGUAAUACUCAAUCUAACACUCUCAACACAAACUUUGCAGGUUUCAACUCCACCAGAUUAGUUAACUAACUCGAGGCAAAUGGCUAAUGUAUCUAUGGCUAUUAAAAACAUGAAUAGUUGGCAAUGAGUUUAAAUGACUUAAUCUUCUAUCCUUCAACGGAAGAUUUAUUGUCUCGAAGAACGUGGUAUAUUAUGAAUGACAACAUUACAAGAACGAAGAAGAAAAAAAUGGAGAAUCUAGUGAUCUGGCAUAACAAACAAGGGAAGAUUAUAGACAAGAAAAUGAAUGGUAGAAAACAAGAAGCAGAGGAAACAGGUGAAACGCAAUUGUAUUUGCAGCUGACAAUAAAAAAAACAAAGGAUAAGGUUAUGGACAAGAAAAUGAAACAUACCAAAAAAACAAACAAAGAAAACAGGUGAAACAUGAUUGUAAUUGCAGUUUAUAGCGGAUAAAAAAAAAGCUAAUAAUCAAAUAAGACGAAACAUGUAUACCCAAGCAAUAACAAUACAGUGGCUCAUUUACUCGUACCAACUGCCCACACUAUAUCCUCACUCAAAAGUACAUGUCAGCCGAACAUUAAACUAAAAUUUGAAUAAGCACUUCUCAAAAUUUAAACAUCAAAAUUUGCAAUCUGUUCAUGUCUUCAUGCUAGAUCAAGAAACGAUCAAUCUACUAACCCUGCGGCCCAUUGAUGUGAAAUUUCAAUGGCACAACAAGCGUUUGACAGUUGGGCAAAACAUCCUCUAAUAAAAAGACAAGCGAAGCAUAAAACUAUAUAAAGUCCAGUCAAUUAAGAGUGAGCUAGAACAACGAUAACUUCAAGAUUAAUCCUGAUAAAUGGAGAAAGACAAGAAACAAACAUACCCAUGAAAAUUGAGCAUUUCGAAACUUAUUAUCUACUCCAGCUAAAUGAGAAUCCAGAGGAGUCAGUUUCAGCAAUCUUGGAGCUGAAAUCCUAUUCCCCAUUCGACCAGAAAAUCCAGUCUUCAUCUUCCCAUCCUUAUCAGUAAAGAGAGUGCAAAUAAGAAUCAGAUAAGAAUCUGUUGUCCCCAAAAUCCAUCUACCGUCAUAGGUAACAUCUACAUGUGUAAUAGGUGAACCAAGGCCUGGAAAAGCGGUUUUUGCUUGUCUCAUUGAAUUGAUAGAAUACAACCUAAUUUUUCCAUCAAGCGACCCAACAACAAUAGAGCCAUCGCCAGUGGUUGCAAAGCACUGGAAAUUGGUGCCUCUAGAAAACUGAUGCCCUUGUGCCCAAUUCAAGACAGGAGUGCUAGAAGUAGCAAGAUUUUGAACCAUUCCUUUCCUAUCUCGCAUAUCCCAUCUACAAAGCCUGUUGUCAUCCAAACCCAAAAAUGUUGAGCCUGAAGGAUCCAACUGAGCCCCUUUAGAAUCAUUUGUAAUAUCCCUCAUUGAAAUAUCAACUCCAUCUUUUCCGAACUUCCAUUCAGUAACAAUUUUCCCUGUUUCAAUGUCAAGCUGAUGAAGUCCAGAAGUAUGGGGCUUCCCCUCGUUCAUUGGACUCAUCAAAAGCAUAUUGGUCUCAGCCUUCAUAAGAAGGGCCUUCUUCGGGGUUGAGUAUGCCAAACACGAACCGCCUCCACGAGGACCCCGAUUUCCAUGAUCAAUAUUCACAUACAUACCCUUUCCCUGAAUUCCAUGAGAGAAGUUCUUGACGACCUGAAUUCCUGAAUCGCCAACCAAGAAACUGUUGUCUAAUGCACCUAGAGCUAAACUCUUAAUCCCACCAUCGGCAGCUUCCUCAAACUCCUCCAUUAAAUCGUUUGCCCUGACAGGCGUAGCUGAAUUGGGACUUUUUGAGAAAUCUUCCUCAGCAUCUUCCCACAUUGAAUCAUCCGCCACUUCAGGGUUUGCCCAACCAAUGAAAUCCUUCCCAUAAACCUUCAAUCUAUUCUCCUCCGUAUCCUCAUAUCCAUAGGUAUUCUCAAAUAAACACCCCUUAAAUUUUUCCACAAAAAUCUUAUAAUCUUCAUCGCUGAAAAAUUUCAACGCCCAGACACCCUGCGCAACAAAAUCCACACGCCGCUGAUCUCCGAAUGUUUUCAAUUGCACUUCUGACGACACUCUCACUCUAAUUUUCGAUCCAACCCUCAAAAACCACCAAGAGUCAUCUUGCCCCUCCUCCUCCUCAUCAUCAUCAUCAUCUUCUUCCUCUUCAUCACCAUUGUCACCCUUAUCAAUUCUGCAAGACUUCAAAAAAGAGUAAGUAGUGAGUUUUUCGGAGGUAAUCCAUUUCGCUUUAGGAGUAUUGCCAUUAAUAUGGAGGUAAAGCUUCACUGCGUUCUUCAAAGUUGGUUUCUGAGACGAUCCGUACUUGAGCUUAAGAGCCCUGAGUUUCGCCUCCACUUCAUCCACUGAAGAUGGCGUCUUCGGACGUCGCUCUGAAGAUCUUUGAUGCUCUUCUUCAACAUCCUCGUAUUUCUCCUCAUCUUCUACAUUAGUUACCCCGUUCUCAUCUUCACGAUCGGAAUCUGACAGUUCCAGACCCUCGCGACUUUGAGAUGCUCCCAUUAUCAAAGCCUUCAAGUUUGGAUUACCGGAAAUAGAGAUCGAAUCAAAUGGAAAAUGAAGCAGAAUCGAAAGGACAAAUGGAGACGUAGAAAUGAGGAGGCGCCAAUUUCGAAAUUUGAAAAUCUGGAGCGUUUCUGUCUGUUCUGUAGUGACACUUUUUAGGGUUCCUCUUUCACAAUGACGCCGAUAACCGGUUGCCUUUCUCUUUGUAACUGAUUCGACUCUUAUCUCAUCUUACCAACUUUAUGUGGGCUUUCAUUUAUUUAUUGGACUUUCUUUUGGGCUCUCAUUUCGGCCCAUAUUUCAACACAACCUUACUACUACUUACUAGUGUGAAUGUGCUCUAUUUAUUCGCAUUUGUUGUUAUUUAUUAUUGUUCUAUAACCACUAUGAAACAAAUGAAUGAUAUAAUUACGUUUUGAUCAUUCAAGACAGCCUUGAUGAAACAGAUGUAAGUGUUUGAUGAAGAAAAGUUGAAAGGUAAGUGUUGAAGAAGAGAAGUUGAAAGGGGAAAAAGGCCUUCCCAAAUAUCAUCUCAUUUACUAGAAAAAUGUUUGAUUUUUCUUUUUCAUAUAUAUCAGUUCAUUUUGAUGUGGGUACAUUUAUUUUUUUAUUUACUAAAAUUGAGAAAUGUUUGAAAUCUAAGUAUAGUUAUUCCAACGAAAUUAAUAUCUUUUGAUUGCUCACAUUUGUCUUCUAGUAAUAAACAUGCUCUGUAUUCCUAAGUUAAGAUGGAUUCAACCAGCAAGAUCAUAUUUGAUUUCAAUUAUUCUUUGUUUUUAUUACAAGUACAUUAUGGGACAUCUAUGGAAAUAAAAGUGAUGUCUCAGUGGCUAUGUUUAUCCUCUAGAGAAUGAGAAAACUAGAGAUUGAGAACACAUUGAAAAUUUAGAUUAAGGUUUCUCAAAGUAUUACAAUAAAAUGAGGCCAUUAAAUGCUACACCAAGGAAAUCCAUCGAACAUUUUACAUAAUAGAAGUAAACACAAUUAAAUAACGUAAAACUAUUAAAUUUCAAUACUAAAUAAUAUUCAGCUAAGGCCACAUUUAGAAGUCACAAUGAAUAUAUGUGUAAUCUAAACGAGAUUCUAUAAGUAAUUAACUGCAACACUACUUUUUACAUUAACGCUAAUGGAUUACUUAACUAGAUAAUGAUGAUGAUUACUAGAGGAGGUCAUUAGAUGAUGGAUUACUAGAAGUUGUCAACUCACAAGAACAAAUAGUCCAUUUAGCCAAAACUAUGUUUAGUGAAUAGUUAUUCAAAUAUGUUUAUACCAUUUUUCUUUUCUAUAUAUAAUUUUAAGAGACACUCUAGAAGGGUACUUCAAACAUUUCAAAAGAGUGCUUGCAACAGAUAGGGGGAAAAGCACAAAAAAAGGCAACAAUUCAUGUAUAUGAUAAUUUAGUUAACUGAUUUAUAAUGUCGAUAAUCAACGUUGAAGAGUCACAAUAAAUUAUCACAAGGUCAUAGAUUCAAACCAUGGUGGUCACCUAUUUAGAAAUAAACUUUCUACGUCUUUGCUUGACAUCCAAAUGUCGUAGAAGUAUGUUGUGUGCAUGUAAGUUGGUCUACACUAACUAACAUAUUAUAUAUAUUGUAUAUAUACACACAUAUCUCUCAUUGUGCAAGUGGUUAUCACCUUAAUCUUAUCCCCUCAACCUACAAGCAUGCAUAAACAAACCAGCAGGAGAAUCUAAAACUAGGCAUGAAUUGUAAGCACAGAGUAAUGGCAUUGACUUGAAAAAAGGGUGAGAAUGAAAGUGCUAACAGCUCUAAACAUAGCAACUCAGACAAAAUAAAUGCAACACAAAAAAGAGAAAACGAACAACAGAACACUUAAAAGAGCAAUUUGCAUGCCUUGUGAAAGGUUUGGAGCCAUAUUGCACAAAGAGAAAAAUGAUUUGAACAUUAAAUAAGGAGAAAUAGUUCCCAACAUGUUAUGAUAUCCUACAAGAGAAUUGGACUAAUACUUUUGACACUGGAAUUAUUGAUUUGGAGACAAUUGAAAGCAGCUUCUUUUAACUUUUAUUGUCUAAAUACCCAUCCAUAUAUCUUCCAACAUUGACAAUGUGUGGUAGCUUCAGGAACAGCAGUUUCCCUCUUCUGUCCGCUCAUAACUUCGCAGGCUUCGGGAAAAUGUCGGGAGUGAAUUUCUGUGCCGCACUGAUACUCCCCUUGAUUUGAAGAGCACCCCUGCGGAGUUAACACAUUUCUAUAAAGCUAGGACUAAUAUGGUAGGACUUGGGUUAAAAACGUAUUCAAUAAGAAUUUCUGAACGAAACACCACUCGAGUAUUUCAGGAGUUUAGUAUGAAUUUAAGGAUGGUGGGAAGCAGUUCAAGCCGACUGAAAAGCACUUGAAAAUUGUCGUAGUAUUCAAAAAAUGAAUUUCGAACUGUGAAGUGCUUUUGAAGGAAGCAUCUAACUAGUGUUUCUACCAAAAUGUGUCACACUUGAUUCACGCAACUCUUGGUCACAAACUAAACAUUAUGACAAAUUUGAAAAGCAAUUCUAACAGAUAACAAACAUCCUUGACUUCAAAUUCAUGGUUAAAUUCACUCAAAAUAAGCAAUUUGAAGAAUAGGCAGAAACAUAACCCAAAAUAACGAUGAUAAAAAUGACCUAAAAUACCUCAAGAAAGCCAUCUGAGGAUUCAUCUUCCCCAAAGCAAUUUUAAUGAAAUCUUCGUCCUUGAAGGAUAAGGUGGCGUCUGGUUUUCCUCCUUCGUAUGGACCUGAGCUCAAAACAGACAUAAUGCUGUUUUCAAUUUAUCAGCCGAAACAUAUAAAUAUGCAAUCCCAUUUCUAAAAGAUUAAAUUUGUCUGCUACUUAGAAGAUGACAAAUGCAAUUGCAAAUUGAUAGCUAUAAUGCCACAACAGAUUCUAAAAGUUUUUUUUAUUAUUAUGUUUAGAUUAAGAAAAGCCUCGUAAUGACAGCAAAAUUCAUCAGAAAAUAUUAGGAGAUGAAUUCAUCGAAAAAUAUUAGGAGAUAAAUCCAUCGGAAAAUAUUAGGAGAUAAAUCCACCUUCCACCAUAAUCUAUUUCUUCCUUGGAAUGAUCACUAACGAGAUUGAAAGGAGACAGAGUAAAAGCAUACAGAAAUCGGUCAAAUGACGUCUCACACAAGAAAAAUCUCCAAAUCCAAGAAAUAGAAAUUAGAAACCCUAACCUUUGAUAACCUCCCCUUUCUUGAGAUCAAUAGUAUAAACCACCACAUCAGUUCCGAUUUUCUGCCAACAAUUCAAUUCGAAUUCAAAACUUCAAAACACCAGCAAAAUUAGAAGAAAAAAAAGUAGAGGAGAGAAAGAGAGAGAUAAUAGACCUUGGGAGAAAUAUUAAGCUGAUAAACAUAGCCGACUUUCUUAGCGAUCUCUUUUCCGGCAUCGGUAGAGAGAUGCUGCUUCAUCUGAUCCAAUAGAGCAUCGGAUUUGAGGGAAGAAUUAGAGGAAUUCGCCAUUGGCAACGACGUGGAGAGCAGAAAAUGAAGAGAGAGAGGUGAAGGAAAAUGGAACGUGGAUGAUGGGAUUUUAACAUUGUGAAAGAGAAAUUGAGAAGAGGAGUAAAUUGAAUAAUGAGUUGAUGGGUCUGACGAACAAACAGCCCCCAAAGCAGCUGCUAUGAACACGCAUCCCAACGCUGAUAAGCACUUUUGUCAUUUAUGGGCCUACUCCAACCUUAACGAACUACAAAACUUUCAUACUUAAUGCUUUUGAUUUUUUCAUCAUUAUUUUAUUUUAGCUUUCUUCCUUUAUCCUCAUAGUUUAUUGGUAUUUUUGGAUGGAAAAAUAGACACAUUAUCAUCCCUAUUCCCUAAUUCCAUAUUUUAUAGUUAACUUUGAUCACAAUUUAUUGCAAACAAAUUGAGAUAGACACCCAAUUGGCGUAUAUAUAAGUUGAAGUCAUGAGGAUAGUUUGAGAUCGACAGUUUAAAUCUUUAGAUCUAUGUCAAUUAAAAGUACGCAAGACUGCCAAUUAAUGAUGGUAGCAUAAACAUGGAUUAAAAACAUAAAGCACAAGUUUGGUAUAAUUAGUUGAAAGUUUUGAUUAUUUAUGAAAUUAAAAUUUUAGACUAAUAUAAACUGUUUGAGUACAGAUGGAGAAGGGGAGAGGAGAAAAUGGAUUCUUGAAACGACAGCCCAAGUCUUGGGCUUGGGCUGGGAUUUGGAUUGGAUGGCAAUCGGCCCACUUAGUGCGGGCUCAUAUUCCCGUCUACAGUUUUCUAAUGGGCUAUCUUCCAAAAUCUCGCUGGAAGGCCUUGAAAGGGAACGGGAAAUGGACUAUGCUGAACCCUGUUUUGCGAGCCAACCAAUUCCCACCUGCCAAAGUUAGCAAAAAUAAACAAAAAAAAUAGUUAUUACUCUCGAAAAGUAGAAGAAGAAGAAAAGGCAAAUAGUCACUAUCUAAACGAAUCGUUUUGACCUGAACUUGGUGACUAGAUGAUGAAUCAUGAUCAAGAUCUCGAGCUUGGCAAGUUCAUUUCCUGGGCAGGCAUGAACUCCACUGCCAAAUGGCAUAAAUGUAUUGGGUUUUGGUGCAACCUGAACAGUAACCCACAUUUUAAUUAAAAUAAUAAAAUAGUAUUUGAAUUUAUAAAGUGUUUAGUUUUAGUUUGAGUUGUUUUUACCUCAAAUCUAGAAGGGUCGAAAUUGUGAGGAUCAGGAAAAUAUUCUGGACUGUGAUGGAUGUUCCGAAACAAAGGCAUCACUUUCCAACCUUUUGGAAUCAAGUAUCCUGUUACACGUCAUUUCACAAAAAAAUUCAUAUUAUUUAUUAUAUUAUUAUGUUCAAACUAAAAGAAAUAAAAUUCAAUUUUAUUUUCUGUUUUUUUUUUUUAUUCUUUUUUCCUUUUACCUUUGUAUUCCACAUCAGCUACAGCCUCUCUAAAAGUGAAUGAUAUAAUGCUGGCCAUCCUUAAGCUCUCCAAUACCAUCUGUGUUUUUAACAAAAAAAUCCACAUAAAUCAAUCUCUUAAAAAUCAUUUAUUAGUUAAUAAUAAUACAAAUUCAUUCAGAAAAUUAACCUUGUAAGUGAUUGGCAUGUUCCUUGUCUGUACCCAAUUUAACCCUUGAUUAUUCUCACAAUUUAAUUUUAAAAUUUCCUCUUGCUCAGCCUGAAAGAAAACCAAAAAAAAUUAUGUAGGUGAAUAGUGAAUAGUGCAUAGUGCACUCAAAAUAUUACUCGUUUUAUAAACUGUCCGUUAUAUUGUGGUGGUCGACUAUACCGAUACGUACCUUUAUGGAUUGACGAAGCUUGGGACGGUCAUGGAGGUACUUAACAAUCCAAGUCAUGACACUGGCAGUGGUGUCUUGAGCAGCAAAAAGCGCUCCUAUUAUGUUAUCUGCUAUUUGGGAAUCACUUAUUUUAACUUCACAUUCAUCAUCAAUGGAAUUGAGAAGGCUCCCCAAUAAAUCCUUUUCUCUCAGCCUUCUUUCUCCCCUCUCAUGAAUUAUGUCACCUAGGAUUUUAUUUAGCCUCUUUCUUGCCUGUUAAGAACACAGAAUUCUUUUAUUUAUAUAUGUUUUUUUAAAAUAAUAAUAAUAAUAAUAAUAACAAUAAUAAGAUAAGAUAAGACAAAUUUUCUUUUUGCCUUUAUUUUAUUUUAUUUUUGUUCUGAAGUUUGACUUACUGAGAGUGCCUUUUUGUAUGGAGUUCCUGGAAUGUUGGUGGGAAAAGAAUUGUAGCCUGCUUCCAAUAUGCUGUAGUUUUUUUUAAGGUCAUCUUUGUAAGCAGCUUCCAAAUGGCCAAAAAUGGUCAAUAUCCCAACUUCAAAUGAUAUCUGAUUAAUUAACAAAAACAACCCUUUGAGUCAUAAUUGACAUGCAUUUUCUUAAAAAAACGAUUCUAGAUUGAUGAAGCUUAUUAACAAACCUUUUUCAUUUCAUGAAAGGUGUUAAUAACACCGGAGGUGGCCCAGGAGUCGAGGGCGGAGGCGGCCACGGAGUCGAUAUCGGGGACUAAGGUACGGAUGGAGUCCAAAGAAAGAGAGCUCUGAACCAGCUUCCUUAGACGGCAAUGGUAAUCACCUUGGUGAAAAAACAGAGCAGAUGGGCCAAUUAAAAGCUCUUUGCUUUUGGGGUAUGUUGGUUUAAACAAAUGAGCCUGUGUCACUAACACAAAUCUCGCUGCCUCAGGACUAGCCAACAUCACACAAGGACAUCCAAGUAUAUGGGUCUUAAAAAUCUCUCCAUACCUUAAAAGAAACACAAAAAGGACAUAGUUCAACAAUUAAGAUAUUUCAUAACUUUGAAAACGAAAAAGAAAAUGUUCGAACCUUUUUUGUUUGGCAGCGAAAAAAAAAUCGGGGUGUUGAGAAUAGAGUUGAAGAGUUUCUCCAAUAUAAGGCCAUCCUAAAGAACCAGGAGGGAGCUUAGUUCCAUCUCUAAUGGCUGCCUUCUUGUCUCUCUUUAAAGAAAUGUACCAUAAUAGAGUGAGAAAAAAGAUCAAAAUAGAUAGAAAAACUACACCCAUUUAAUCUUUCUCUAUAUGAAAUUGAUUAAAUGGUUUUUUUUCUUUUAAAUAUUUGGUUUGUAAUAAUAGUGAUUGUGCCAAAGCAGGGGGGUUUUAUACUGAGGCAGAGGAGGGAAAAAAAAAAAGUGGAGAUGUCAUUUUUGAAGAUACAGAGACCCAAAGUCUGUUACAAAUGGCAAGUUUUUAAGUAUCCAAUAGAAUGAGGACAAAUAUGUAAAAUAAUAUAUCUAUAUUAUGUGUAUCUUAAAAUGCAUGUGUUUCCAAUCUUUUCACCAUACACAAAUAUAAUUAAAAAUUGCUUUUUCUUAAAUUUUAAUUUUGUGUGACAGAAAAAAUAGAAAAUACAUACAAAGUUUUUUUUUCUUUAUAUCAUACAUAUAUAUAUAUAUAAAGAAAAGAUGAUACCAAAGACAAGACCGUGGGGUUCAUUAAACCAAACUUUUUUAUGAUCAGUUACAUUGUGUCUCACCUAGGUAUGAUCCACACAUUAAUUUUGGAUUGAAACUACUAUGUAUUAUGUUAUGUAGCCUUUGGUCAUGUGUGUGUGUAUAUAUAUAUAUAUAUUUCUUUUAUAAUUCUAUAUAUAUUUCAAAAUCAAUAUACAUGAAAAAGGGAAAAUUGGAUAAUUGAUAAACACAAUAAAUAACUUUCCUUAGUUGUGUAUAUUGUGAACACUCAUCACUUAGUGGUCACUUUCAGUUUCAACUCCAUUCAAUUUUACUGACCAUGUCCACGUGUGUCAUUUCCCCCUAAAUUAGUCGAGCGUUAUUUUUUUCUUUUUAAAACAAAAUUUCUUGCCCUGGAAUUUUGUGGGUGGUUUUCUUUUUACCAAAAGAAAUAACAGUCAUCUGAGUAAGAGUUUCUCACGAAAAAACUAACAAAACUCAUCAAUAUUGUAGGAUAGAUGAGUUAUUAUUUUCGUUGUCAAUUGAGUUUGAGAUGAUAUUUUAUUUAAAUCUUAUUAUUGUUGUGUGAUGAAAAUAGAAUGCACAAAAAUGUAACGAUUCUUAGUACGUCAUUUCUAUAGAUAAAUUUUUAUUAUUCUCUUUUAUUACAAAUGUGAUCUAAACUGGAAGGCGUGUGUAAUGAUAAAAAUAACUCAUGUACUAUCUUUAGCAUUAGUGUUUAUGUUGUUUCGUAGUUCGUACAUACUUUUAAUUUCACUAGAUUUGAAGUCAUUUAUUCAUCGUUAAUUAACUAACAAAUAUAUGACGUAAGUCAAAUCAAUUAUAAUAAUUUUAAAUCUCACUUUCAUUGAUUGAACAUGAAAUUAGUUGGCAAACAAAUUCUUUCUUUUUAAAGGACUUUCUUUUUUAUCCUUUUCUUUUAUUCGUCUCCAUGAAGUACUUCACACGACGUUCGCUUGUCGUCCCUUCUCAUGUCUCUCUUUCUCUGGUAUCUUCUCUUUUUUCUUCCAUCUCUACCUUCAGUUGCUAACAUGUGUUGUCGCCAUAUCUUUCUCGUGGCAUUGAAGUUGAACUAACUAUGCAACAUUCAUAAAGCUUGUCCUUAUCGGAAUGAAACUAAAAGCACAAAUUUACACACGUUUUUGCUCAAAGUAAAAAUCAAUCAUAUUAUUUUGUAGGAAUAUAAAAGUUAUUAUUGUUAAAUUACCUUUUGACCCAAAAGUUUAAACUAGCCAUGAAAAUAACAUUAUCCUAUCAUCUAAGAGAUAUACAUGCUAGGUUUCAACCUGAAUGCAUUUUUGGUAAUGGAUCAUGAUAUUACUAAAAAAGAGAAAGUAUAAGGGUAGAGAUUGCCAGAUUGGAUUCUGAUAUACAAGAACUAAAACAAAUACACAGAGAGGAAGAUGAGGAAAGAGUCCAAACAAAAGAUAAGGAUGGAGCUUUGGUAGGAGAGGGUGUUUGUAACUGAAGUGAUUUAAUUUAAAUAAAUGGAAGAAGGCAAAGAAAGUUGUUAAUAAAUUAAGGGAAUGAAUAAGGGAAAAGAAACAGAGAAUAAGGAUGUCAGGACCAUUAAUAAACAGUUCAUUACGUUCCCUUUUUUUCAUGCAUGUCAUGUGUUUCAACCUGUAAACCCUACUAUGUUUCAUACGUACUAAUCUUACGUGGGGCUUUCUCAUUUGUCCUAUUUAAUGGUACUAACAAUAAUCUGUUUAAUACCCUAAACCCUAACCCUUUGUGUAAUAGGGGUUGUAUUUGGGGGCUUAUGCGAGCAACAAAUUACUUUAGAAGACGGUUAUCCAUGUGUGUGGAUUAUAUGAUAACAAUGGGAUUCGAUCUCCAAACUAAAUCACAGUAUAUAUGAGAGAAAUAGCUUAUAUAUUUUAUAAGAAGUGUGAGUCCUCUAUUUGUUUUUCGGUGUCAGAAUUCCAACGUCUGAACAAAGGCUUGGUAUGUUUGAUUAAAUAGAUGGAAGAGAAAUUAUAAAAAAGUAUAUAUAUUGACUGUGGGUACAUUACAUUAAUAAUUUCAUUUUAGAAACAAAUUUGAAAAAAAAAAAAGAGAGAGUUACAAAUACUGUUUAGAAAGUCGAUUGGGAAUGUUCUCUCUUGGAAAGAUGUGGACUGAGAUCGACUUCAAGAGAGACAUUCAUUUAUACCAAAUGGUAAUGUGGGGUUGCUAAAUAGAAUAAUGCAUAUGAUAUAUGGUACCAUUAUAUUUAAUAUUAGACUAUAUACAAACAUAUAUAUAUCACUGGUACACUUCUACAAAUUUCUAUUAAUUAUAGAUUUUUAUCUCCUAUAUAUAUUUAUUAUUGACAGAAUUGUAUUAGAUUUUAUCAUUUGCUAGAAGACUUUCUAUACGUGUCUAUCUUAUUUUCAAUUAUAACUAUGUAUGGGUCAAAAUAGCUCAUAGAAAAACCUUUCCAAAUAAAUUAAAUCAAACAAAUUUUAUAAAUAAAGAAAGAAAUGAUAAAGAAUAGAACAUUUGAUCAAAUGUUUACCCUUUAUAUAAAUCAAAUAUAAUAAAUUUUGGCUUUUAAUAGUUUUGUUAUAAAUAGUUAAUCAAUUUUUACUAUUUUUGAAAAAAAAAAACCAUUUUAAAUAUCAAAUUAUCAAUAAAAUAAAUAUUGUAAAGGAGUAUUUUCAAGUAUAAUAAAAUGAAACUAAAACACUUACCAAAUAUAACCAAGUUGAGUGUAGCCGUUACAUACAAAAUAUAUAGUGAUGUAUUGAUAGAUAAUAAUAAAAGUUUAUCAAUAUCUUUUAUCACAAUAAUUAUUUUUAUUGUAAUAAUUAAGAAGGAAAAAGAAAAUUGAGUUAAUCCCGGGAAAAUUUGUCUAUACACAACUCUCUAGACUCUCUAUCUAUGUAUGGAAUCCAAUUUAUUUUGAAAAAUGAAAAUGUUUGAUGUAUAUAUUUUGAAAACAUGUUUUCCAUUCUUUCAUUAUUUCUCAAAUUUAAUUAAAUGGGAAAACUACCCUUCCCUUCCCUCCUCUCUCAAACACAGAGAAUCUUCGUCCUCUUCGUCCAAUCUGAUGGGAAAAAAUAGUUUCUUAUACACCAUGAAAGAAUAUUAACUUUGAAACUAUAUAGAAUGUUUCUUCGGAAACAAAUGAAAAUGAAAAAGAAAAAAGAAAAAAAGCAUAUUGUAGUAAAUGACGUGCUGUCAAGUGAUAUGGAGGUGGCUUGGGUUUAUCCUACUUGAAGAGUAAUUUUGAACUAAAGGGCAACAGAAAACGAAAUCAAAACUGAGGUUGAGUUAUGAUGGACUAAGGGAGGGGAGGUCUAUUCAUUUGUUGGACGAUAGUUGAGUCCUUGGCACAACCUUCCCUUAGACUCCAAAUCUUGCUUAGCCACAUUCUUAAUUAAUCUCAAGAAUCUACUCAAUUAGGUUAUCAAAUAAUUGAAUUUGAUUUACCUAAAUCAAAUGUGUGGGUUAACUUUAAUCGCAAUCGCAAAUUCUUUAUCUUUCUUAAUCUUACGUUAAAAGAAAACAAAUUUAUUAUUAGUAUCAAAUAAAAGGAUUGUAUUAGCUUUAAAUAUAUAUAUAUAUAUAUAAUUUAAUUUUUAUUUUGUAUUAUCCUCUUAAUAAUUAUCAUGGAAUAAGAUUUUUAUAAAGAAAGAAAGCAUAUUCGUGGAAAAAGAUUUAAUAACUGCUAAGAAAAUUUAGAGUAAUAUAACGUAUUAGAGUUAUUAAAUUACUAAUGUAGAGUUGCAAAUUUGUACCAAUAAUGUGGCCUCAACUGUCGGUGCAACUUUGGUGUGCAUGCACUAUUCAAAUUAUUUAACAAGUAUUUUUCAUUCAUGAAAGAGGUCAUUUUUUCUUAGCAUAUGUUGAAAAAAUUAAAUAACGUAUUUUUUUUUACGUUGGAAUGCAUCCGAGGUUAGUUGAGCUAAUCUUUUUAUAAAAAUAAAAAUAAAUUUUGUUAGAAUGUGUGAGACAUGUUUUUAAAUUUUAAAUAUUUGUUUAGAAUUUUCUGGUAUGUGUCAAACAAGAUUUGAAGUCUCUAUAUUCUUUAAAAGUAGGAAAAUUGCAAUUGAUAAACUAUUUCAACAAUAAUAGUUAAGGAUAUAGCAAAAUUUAAAAAAAAAAUGUAAAUAUAGCAAAACUAUCAUUAAACUUGUAUCGUUGAUAGACUUUGAUAGACUUUGUAUGGUCUAUCAUUGAUAGACCAAUAUUUGCAAUAUGGUAUAUUAGUGAUACACUUAUAUCAUUGAUAAAAUAUUGUUAUAUACUUAAUUAUUUUAAAUCUAAUUGCUAAAUUUGGUACUAUAUCUUAAACUAUGAUUUAAUAAUUUAAUUUUUUUAUCUCAAGAUAAUAAUUUAAAGAAAAGAUUUACUUUGAAGAUUAUGAGUCUCCUCGUUGCAUGGGAUUUGACAAAAUCUUAGUUGCUUAUUUAUAGCCUGCACUUUGGCAUCUUUGGGUGUGCGCAUUGGGUCAAAAUAUUGUUCUGCUGAUUUGAAAUUAAUUUUUGUUAAGUUUCCAAUAUGAAGAAAAGUCUUUCACCUUCAAGAAGAAGAUCAUUCUGAUUAAGGGGAGAUCUCUAUUAAUACAAAAAUAUUAUUGAUUGAUUUAGGGUUUAGUGAGAUAGAAUCACUUAUAAUAAUGUUUAGUAAGAUAGAAUCACUGUAAUAAUAAAAUUGAGCUGUAAAUUAAGUAUACAUAACCAUAAGGAUGUAAUUACGGUUCAUUUUUAAAGUAAUAAAAAAUUUCAUAUCUCGAAUUAAGGAACUUAGACGUAGAUGUUAUGUUAUUAAACUGGGUUAACAAUGUAUGUGUGUAUCUUUGGUUAUUAAAUGAAGUAUAUCUCAAAGAUCAUUUGUUGAUGCAUUCAUUCAUUUAUCAAGUUUUAUAAUUUUAUUAUAUAAUAAUAAUAAAUUAAAAUAAACUAUAAAUAAACAAAUUUAAAUGUUAGUUUUCUCUAACUUUUGAAUUUCAAUGUGAUUAGUGUGUUAAAUCCUUGAAACCUGCCUAGCAAAUCACAAGAAUAAGAAUGAUUUUUUAAAAAAGGAGUAUAUAUAUUUAAAAUUAAUUUUGAACUUUACAAUUUGUAUUUAUUAAAUUACUUUUAAAAAACAACCCUUUAUUUAUAUAUAUAUAUAUAUAUAUAUAUAUAUAUAUAUUAUAUAUAUAUAUAUAUAUAUAAUGUUAAGAUUGAAGUUCUGAAUUUAGAAAGGAAUUGAGAAGUGAGGGUGAAAGUUUUUAUUUAAUGUUGGAUAUUUUUAUGGAUGAGAUAUUGCGUGGUGGGAAUUGGAGUCCAGCUCACGUGUGGGGGAGGGUGCCCUCGAAUUCUUAAGGUUUUCGACCACGACGUCGUUUUAGGAAGUGAAUUCUUUCUUUUUUCUUUUUUCCUAUAACUUCUUUUUAGUGUUUUUUAUCUUUGAGAUUUGAAGUUUCAUAAUUUGUUGUUGUUGUGUUGUGUGGGGCCGAUAAUGUAGACGUGUACGGUAAAGUCAUUUUUAGGGCUCCACGUGGUAUUCUCCUAAGGACGUGGGCCCCAUCUAUGCGGCCACCUUUUUAACUCCCCUCACUUUCCUUUCCUUGCGAUGCCUUCCACCAUCACCUCCCUCUCUGCCACCUCGACUUUUCUUUUGACUUCUUAAACAUCCCUCUGUGGUCCAUUCCCCCCUUUUUCUUUCUACAUUUGAAAAUAAAUUACUUUACAUUUUAAUUUUACUUGCACUCCAUCUCCCUUCAUUUCACAACAAAAACAAAAUUUGUUUAUGUUUGUAUAAUGGAUUAACUAUUAAUUCAUCCCUCUCUAAUACAAUCUAAAAUUCAUGUUUUUUAAUUAGUGUUUUGAACUUGAUUUAUGAUAUUAAACUUAUUCCAUUUUAACGGUUUUCAAACCCUCGACUCCAUCCUAUUUGAAUACAUUUUAACUCCUAAACAAAGUAUGAGGGUAGUACACUUGUAAAAAAACAUGGAUAGGGUGAUAAUAGAAUCUCACCUACACGUGCAAUUGGAACUAUAAAGUUGAGCAAACAUGGUUUUAAUUUUAAUCCUACUUAUUAUUUAUGUUAAUUUUGGAGGUUAGGAAUCAUCUUAUACAUUUUGUUGAAUUUGUUACGUAUAAUUUAAGUUUUUUUUUUAUUACUUUUUUAUUUUUGUAUUUAAAGAAAUAGAAAAAAGAAAAAGAAAAAGCAAACCAGCGUUGGGGUUUUCUUUUUUCUUUACAAAAAUAAUUAUUUGAUUUAUGUCCCACUACUAAAAUUAUUCCAAAAGUAUUAACGUAACCACUUUCUUUUUAAGUUUCAUCAGAAAACAUGAUUUUCUUUGUUGGUAGACAAAGGUAUGCUUUUCAAAACUUAUACAUAAUAAAGUUAUUAAAUUUACGAGAGAGAAAAAACUUAUUACUGAAAAUUAAAUAACCCUAAAUAAUAAUAAUAAUAAUGGAGAAGAUAGGGAGAAGACAAAAUGAAACAUGAAAGUCUUCUGCCUUUGUUUCAGUGAACAAAUCUCUGUAGGAUGCUGGGGGUUGUUGCGCGUGCAAUAUUACUUCCAAUUUCCAAGUAAUCUUCAUAAUGUUCAUUGAAUAUAAUCACAACCAAACCAUUCUAGCCAUUCUUUUUUAAUUCAAUAUAUUUAAAUUCAACAACCAAAUCCAUCUAUAUGAUUAAAAAGUUAAAAUAGGAUGAAUAUGGUUUCGAGUAAUAAAUUGAGACACACAAUCAAAUGCGAAACAUCAUUUCAUGUCUCGUAUCCAUUUCAACGACAGACAGUACUGGAUGUCGAUAUCACUUCAAACUUAAAACGGGAGAAGAAGGAUCCAAGAGAGUACAAAUGCACGUGUUUGUCCCCAUUGGAGAUGAAGUUAUAUAUAUAUAAAAUAUAAUGUUGGAGUGGUAAAGGUUAUUAGGGAUGGGGAUCUAAAUUGAUAUCGUAGAGAGAAGAGGUGAAGAUUUGAGAAAUGAUGAAGGUUGGAUAUGGUUUUGUACUGAGGUUAAUAUGGCCCAGAAUGGACACGUGUCAGAAAAGUAAGGAGGGUGGAGGAGAGGUAGGUGGCACGUGGUGGAUUCUUAUUGGGGGGUUUGGAUUUAUUGAAAUAAGAGAAAGAAUCUAAAAUUGGAUCUUCUUUGGGGUUAUCUGUCGAGCUGUCCAAAGGCUACAAUGUCUAAAGACGUACCAUCUCACUGACUCCACCAACAACUCCUCCAUAUUAACUCCCCCUCUCUUUCAAACUUGUGUUCACCUCGUGAUUUUAAAUUUUCCAAUUUACAAUUCAAUCUUCAUAUCAAAACUAAAUCCAAACCUUUUUCAUAUAUAUACAUAUAUAUAUAUAUAUAUGGCAAAAAGAAAUUUCAUUGUAUUGUACGUAUCUAUAAGAAUGUUUGACUUGUUUAAAAAGCAUAAAGUGUUUAAUUAUUAAUUUGAACUUUUACUUUAAAUAUAUGACAUUGAUGUUUUGAAUCUUUUGAGUCUAAGAUUUGAUAAAUUUUUAAAAAAAUGAGACACUUAACCGUUUGAAUGAUGAUAUACAAAUUGAGUUGUGCUACUUUAAAGUUUAAAGUAUUAGGUUGGUUUGACUAUGAAAAUAAGGUCUAUGAGUUAUGUUUAGGGUAGUAUAGUUGGAAUAUGAAGAGAUAUUGCUUGUAAUUUGACUUGGUGAAAUGGAGAUUAAUGAACCUAGUUUGAGUGAGAUGGGUGAGAACUAUGGUACCUAAAUAGAAUAAUGACUUGAGAGAUUAAUAGGACACGUGAUGUAGAAAUGUGCUCAUAUGUGUCAAUUUAACCUAAAAUAUAAGACUUUAUGUGGUUAGAAAUAAUGUGGCCGAUCACAUGUUGUAUGAUUUUGAAUCGACUCAAUAUGUCGUUGUAGAACUAUAGUGUGGUAUCACGUUUUAAGUUGUGACCUACAACCCCCUACACCAAGGCUAUAUGUUAUUCCCAAAAAGUCACACAUGUAUGUUAUCAAUUAUUGUAUAUAUGCAAAUUUGUUGAGCUUUUAUCUUUCCGUUACAAAUCAGUUAUUAUACAUAAAUAUCCUAAGUCCUCAUGUAUUUAUUAAAUGAGAAAUAAAACUAAGCUCUUUUAUGCAAUGUAAAGUAACUAAGUGAAAGAUUUCAUGGGUAUCAUCAGCAUCAUAAUGAUGUGUUUAUUUAAUUAUUUUCUCUUAAGUAAAUUCUUUACCAUGAGUUACAAGUUGUAACUCAUUAAACUUGAUAGUCGACCUAAUUUUAGGCUUUGUGGAAUUUUUGACAAACACAACACAUUUGUCCACAUCUAUUAGUAUUUGUCGGUAAACUUUAAUUGUACGAGUCUUUCUCUAAUAACAAUAUUAUUCCCUUUUUUUUAAAAAAAAAAAAUCUUAUUGCUUAAAAAAAUCGUAUCUCUUUUCUAUAUAUAAAGUCAGAAGAUUUUAUUUUAUAAAAAUAUGUUGAAAAAAGAAUCAAGUCAUAGAUAUAUAUUGAUUUGAAGGUUGGUCUAUUUUUUAAAAAGAAUAAAAGGAUUGAAAACAUAUGUUUUGACUUUUUUUUCUUUCUUUUAUUAUAAAUUAUUUUAAAAAAACACAUGAUUCACAAUUAAUAUGAUAAUAAUUUGUAUAAGAUCCCAAUUUUUCUUAGAAUUAAUUUCCAUAAUUAACAUCCAUACAAACUUGUUAAAACCUUCUUUUUUUUUUCUUUAAUUAUCAUCAUCAUUAAAAAUGUAGUUGAUAAAUCCAUAUUUAUAUAGGAUAAUUAUUAAGAGGCCAUUCAUGCAUUUACCUUAAUUGAAAUAAAUACAAUAAAUAAAUAAAUCACAGAUAUAAACUAUGGUAGUUUCUUUUUUCUUUUUUAGGUUGGAUAAUAUUUUAUAUUCUUUAAACCAUAACCAUUCAUUACAUAGAUUAGAAAGGCAUAUCAUAUCUUUUAAGGUUAUAUGUUACCUAAUAUCUAAAUUAGAAUAAAAACAACUUUGAUAUAUGAAUUAGAAGGAUAGAGUUGACAUGAUAUAUAUUUGAAAACCUUGAAUGGAAUUAAUGGUUUGUAUUAAAAUAGAAUAUAUAGUUGGUUUUAAUUUGUAGAUAUAUUAUUAGUAAAGUUAUGUGUAUUGAUUUAAAUUGAUGGAAGGAAGAAGGUAAAGUGUAAUAAAAUAUUUAAUGUUUGAGAAAAUAAAAAGGAGAGGAAGAGAUGUGUGUGUGAUUGUGAGGGUGGUGGGGAAAAUGAAUGGGAAGAUGAAUGGGGAACUUAACCCACAAAUGCACCAUUCAAAGUUCAAACAUAUAUCAUCACUCUUUUAUAUCCACAAUGUUUUGUUUCACAAAAUAUCCCUAUCUACUCUUCUUUGUACCCCUUCUCUUUUUAUAAAAAAAUAAUAAUAAUAAACAGAAAGAUUAUAAACAUGGCAAAGUAUAUCAUAACAUAUCUUGGUUGACUCAUAGUACGUAAAUUGUGAUAUGACUUUACGACCAUCACAGAUUGGCUUAGUGAUAAAAAGGUUAAUACUUAACUAAAAGAUCAUGGAUUUUUUUCACACCCACAUGUUGCAUAGAAUAAUUGAGGUAUGCAUAAGCUUUUUUUUUUUUUUUUUUUUUUUUUUUUUUUUUUUUGUCUACUUUGUGAGAUUAGGUUAAAAAAUUGGCCUAUAAAAAUGCGAUUAAACAACCCAAUUCAACAAUCCUAAGGGGACACGAGUAAGUGAGAAAUUCUAACUUUCUUUUACUAGCAUCAUAGUGUAGUCUCUUGAAUCAAAUAUACGAUACCCAUGCAAAUACUCUCACAAUGGUUUAGUUUCGAUCCACAUGCAAAUUUUCCAACCAACACAUGUUUAAUUAAUUAUGUAUCUUCAAAUUUUAAUUUAAAAUUUCUUUGUUAAAUAAUGGAUCUUUAAACUUUCAAAUAUGAUAUUUGAUCUGCUUUUCCUUUCAAAAUUGAGAACUCUAACUAAUUGACAAUGUAGACAUAAAAUUUAAUUAGUUAGUUUAUUUGAAAAGUAAUAUAUUGGAGAGAAUUUAAAAGAUGUACUUGAAAUGAUGUAAAAAGUAUAGAAAUGAAUGAAAGUGAUGAGAAAUAUAAAAGAGGUAUUAGAGAAAGAUAAUAAUGUUGAAGAACCAAACUUAUAGAUUAGCAAAAAAAUUAAUUAUAUUAAUCAUUUUUAUAUUUUAUUUGCCUUUCUUUUUAGCAUGAUUCAAAUUAACUUUUACCAUCAAGUUUGAGUUAUUAUAAAUUUGAAACACAUCAAACGUUUAGAAAAACAAAUCAAAUUUUGAAAACUAAAAAAAUAGCUUUCAAAACCUUGUUUUUGAAAUUUAGAAUUUGACUAAUUCAACUAUCGUAUUUGAUAAAGAUGAAAAUUAUGGUAAACAAAUAAGGAGAAAAUAGACUUAACCUUAAAGAAAAACAAGAAAAUGAUUAUCAAAAUGAGAAAUAACAUCUUCAUCAAUUGAAUUAUGUUGAGAUUAUCGAUUGAGUUACGUAUCAACAACUUUUGAAAAAAAGAAGAAAAACAAAAGAAGAAAAAGAGAAAGGCAGAAAUUAAAAUGGGAAUAAGGAAGGGACCCAAUUAAUAAUUUGUUGGAGCAGAUCCAGCUGGAAGUGUAUCUCUCAAAGUGAAUUGAAUUAUUGGGUACAUAAUGCUCCAAAGGCCAUGGCUUUCCCACAACCAAACUCAGUCAAUAUCAUCACAACCCUCUUCUCUUCUCUUCUCUUCUCUUCUCCAUCAUAUAACUAAUCAUAUACCUUUCUUCGUUUCUUUACCCUAAACUUCACUUUUUCUUUUCUUUCCUAAACUAUUCUUCCAAUCAUUCAUAUACAAAGAUAUAACAAUUUCAUUUCAAUCUUCCACUGCUUUGUAUCUUUUUGAAAGAUACAAUAUACGGGUAUAUAUGUAUUUUGAGCUUUUUUUUUUUUUUGGAUUUGUAGUUUACUCUUAUUCGAGGAGUAUUUUUAGGUUUAUUAAAAAUGUGUCAAUUUCAAAAUUUCAUUUAAAACUUUAUCCAUAGUCUAAUACUACAUCACUACCUAUGAACCACAUGUUGAGUUAAGAUUUUCUUCAAUCCACUUUUAUACUUUAUGUUAUCUAGUUUGCCAAAAAUCACUUUUGUUGGUGGAGUCUUUAGAAAUUAUUAAAAUGAUGUAUUGAAAAUAUUGAUGAAACAAAGUUUAGAAGACAUUGAGUGACAACUGUUCGAGUAUCUUCUGAAAGAGACCAGAUAUGAUUUGUCUUUGUUUGAAUAUUUUUUUAAUGGCUUUUUCUCUAUCUCUAUCUUGUUACUAUUUGAGGUCACUUUCACAUUUUCCAAUCUGUCAUCCAAUAGCCAAAUUUUUUCUUUUCAUGACUCCAAGAUUAUUAUUACUUUUUUCUUUCAGAUAAUCUUAAAAGAAGGAAUAAGAAAAAAGAUGGAAUACUUUUUUCAACUUCGAAGUAAAAAAGAGAAAGGUGAGAAAGAAAAGAAAGAAAGAAAGAAUAGGAGAGGAGAUGAAUAAACCCAAUUGGGCAACAAGAUUCCUAAAGAAGUCCAAGAUAGAAGGGCCCAGCCCAGACGUAUGAUUGGGCCAUAACAUCACCAAAUGGGACCCAUCCCAUAGUAUUGUAUGAAGAAAUUUGUGUUCAUAUUGCUGCCUAUUAUUGUACUUCCUCUAGUCCCUUUCAUUAUAACUCAUAUGGGAAUGCACCAAAAUAAACACGUGCUCUUACCUCAAAUUACAUUUCAUUUUCUAUGUUACACAAAAAUUUGUUAAUGAAGUUCUAUAAAUCCAACGUAUUGAGCUAUUUUGAUCAUGUAAGGACUUCUACGUUCAGUGGGUGUCACAUAAUUUUCAAACAAUCAAAUUAUGCAAUUUUUUAAUACAUACUUAGAGAUAGACUGCACAAUUCAUUAAGAUUAGUUGUCGGAGUUGCUUUGAUAUAAACAACAAUAUAUACAAUAUGACAGGGACUCAUUUCAAACAAUCAUUGAUUAAUUAAAUUUCCAUUAUGAUAAAUGAGACAAUGAAACAGAGACUAAUGAAACUGAACCAUUAUAUUCAUAAUUCCAUCUUCAAUUAUUUGAAAUUAAUUAUUAAAGAAUGAAAGAUAUUAAAUGCCAAUCAAUUAAUAUGUACGGAUAUAGCCAUCAACAAACAAAAACUAAAACUUUAAACAUUUGUAUUCUUUUUUUUUUUACUAGAGUGACCUACUAUAACAAGAAACAAUAUUUAAGAAGCUGUCUAAUCAUACUCUAAAAAUUUAAAAAAAGAGAGUGAACAAUUUCAAGAAAGAAAAACCAAAUGGAAAAUGGAAAGUCAUGGAAAUAAUUAAGAUGUGUGUUGAUGAGCAGCAGCAAAAUAGGCAAGCUGCAAGUUACUUGGAAGGUAUGGCCUUUAAUCAAUCAAAUUUAUCAUACUUCUCCUACUACUUUCCUAUCUGCUCUCUCUAUCAGGAUUCUGUCAUUUUUAAGUUGAUUUGAUUCUUUCUCUUUAAAUCAUUCUCGAUCAAAUGAUACAUCUGAUGAAAAAUCAACAAUAUUUAAGCUCUUUCGCUGUAUGAAUUUUCAAGGACUGGAACCCCUGGACCAUAUAUCAAACGGCACCGUUCAUUGAAUGAACCAACCAGUUUUGAGACGACCUCCUUAAAGAACACUGAAGCCACCUGAUAAAGAAUGUCGUAUGAGAAAUUAUAAGUCUAUACAAUAAGAGAAUAUUCAGCUGGCAGUAUGAAACAGAACAUAUUGAACACAUCCUCAAUAUAUUUAUUUACUGAUUGAGUUUAACAAAUCAAAAUGGAAAUUCUGACUUGAAACUUUUAGGUCGAGGUAUAAUGAGUUUACCAAUUGAGCUAUAAUUUAGUUGACGAUUACAAACGAAACAGUAUAAAACCAUAGGGUCAAUUAGUAAUUUUGAAUUUUGUUAAAAGCAGCCACUGGGUGGGUUGAGAUGAGGUUUACAAUAAAAUUGUCCAAGUUAAUGCUUUUACCUUUCAAGCUCUCACAGUAACAGGCAAAAUAAAUUUGCAAGUUUACAUGUUCAAGGCAUAGCUGGCAUUUCACUCGAUGUUAGAUGACAAAAAUUAAGGAAUAUAAUUUUGGCCUCUAUUCAUCAAAGUUAUACUCCACUACAGGUAAGCCACAAAGCAAAGAAGGCUCCAUAAUUGUUAUUAUUACUUUUUUUAAAAUUGAAAAGUUAGAGACUAAAUGCUAGACUUCUCCAGGAGUCGGUUGCAUUCCUACUCAACGCCCAUGAUAUAAUUGAAAUUUGAAAUUUGAAGUUUAAAAUGAGGAAGGAUGAUUGGAGAGGGUGAGAGCUUUACCUGUCGAUAAAGUGGUGACUGGAACUUGAAAUCUACUAAAAAGUAAAGGUUGCAAGUCCCUGGAACUGGUCCUGGAUUGAACUCCCAAGUAUUUAUCAAGUGGUCAAAAAGCGCACUUCGAGAUACUGUGGACUGUGUAAGUGGAAAGAGAAAUAAAGACAAUCAGUGCAAUGCUAUUAAACAGCAAUGGACAAUCAAGGGUGAAAAUGUCAAGUAAACAAUUGUUCUAGUCUUAUAGAUACAAAUAUGAUAUAUCAAUAAUUUUAAGCUAAUGUGCACACGGAUACAGUAAUGAAAACUGAGAACUGAAGGAGAAUAUUCUUGUUUUAAUAAUUACAAAAAAAACAAAUAUAUAUUCUAACAUUGUUCAAUUUAAAAACGACCAGGACAACAAUAUUAACAGGGCAAACGAAGGCUCUAAUGGUAAAAGGAGAGUGCUUGAUCUAAUGAUGUGAGCGAAGACAGGAAAACUGUCUUCUUUAUAGGCAAGCCUUUAAAAUUCAAUGUAUUGUUGUUUUUACUGCUACGGCAGCACAAAUUGAACAUGUGCUUGGCUAGUUUUUGAACUUUUUUUUUUCUUUUGGGAUAAGCUUUUGAACUUGUAGAGAAAGAUUUGGAAAAGAGAGAAGACAGGAGAGAGUUAAAAAAUAAAAUAAAAUAAAUAAAAGAAAGGGAGAAAGAGGGAGGGGGAGGGAGAGAGACAACAAAACCAAAAAGGGAGAUCAGGAGUCCAAUGGGAUGGAGUGCUCCUCCUCACAUGGUGUUACUAGCUAACCUCUAAAAUGCCAAAAAAAAAAAAUCGCGUUCAAUAAAAACUGUCAACCAAUUUUCAAAAUUCAGGAUUAUAGAGCGCAUGCUUCCUACUUAAACCCUUCAAAGAUAAAAAUGCACAAUGCUGCCAGCAACUAGAAUUCUAGAUAGACUACGACAACAUCAGUGACAUGCUGUUGAUUAGCUAUAUAUCAAUGUAGUGGCAACAGUAAAACAAAAAGUGGCCAUGUAGGAGAGAUGUCACAGGCAUAUAACUGUUUCUCGCAUAUGUCCAAUAUUCUUGAUAUACCAACGUGUCAGGCAACGAUUUAAAAAUGCCAACAAAUUUCACCAACACAUUGUAAAAAAAACAAUCGUCCACUUCAGGUACCAAUAUGCCUAUAAUUCCACCACAGUAGGUAUUGCUGAUUACUUCAUCUUUAUGAGCAAGUUAAAUUUUCGUUAUCAUGCCUAAAACAAAAGAAAAUUUUUCCUUCUCAUGGAUGGAAGAAAAUCCAAACAAAUUUGAAACAAAAUCAAAACCAAGGUGUAAUGCCGGUGUUGACACUUUAAAAGCAGCAAGCAUGUGAAGUAAAUGUGUGAAGGCAUGAUCUAAAGGUCGAUGUUCAAAAGCAUGCAGCUUGUACAGCAAAAUGGCUCACGCUUUUCUUUUCCCUUUGAACAAAGUCUAUGUGCACUUAAAGCUAGGGAUCAAGGCUAAGAUUGUAAAACAUGAUACAAUGAAUAGAUUAUGAAAUCCCACAUUGUAAGAUAAAAAGAAUUCUACACCGCCUAAUAUUUCCAAACUUCUUGGAUUUUUUUAAGCAUCCACUACAUCGUCAUGCCACCCAAUGUAACACAAACAUAAACUAAUUGACACACUAAAAUCCUUGGUUCUGAAUAUUAAAUGCGUCAUUAGCUCCACUAGCCAGUUGAAUGAGUUACCAGUUCAGUACGAGAAAUUCAUGAUACUGUCUAUAAGUUAUUACCUUUACAGAUUUUGGUCUGUUCAUCUCUACGUGUGAAAUGUAACUCUCAACAAGGAAUUUAAAACCAAUCUCCAGUUCAGCAUCAAACGAUCCAUCAGGAUACUUUUUAAGUACUUCAGACCGCUGGCACCAAGGAACAAAAUCAUGGUAUAAGUCUACAGCAGCAACUACAUCAAAUAACUGCUCCGGCGAAUACCUAAUAACAAAUUAAAAGAUGUAAUUAGCUCAGCAACAACCGCUAACAAUGAAAAAAAUGAAGUUUCACGAUCAACUGAUUUAAUUGGCCAACAUCAAACGUAAAAGGAAGGAAACUAAGCCAAAUACCACCUCAAAUGCUUCAGAUUCUGCAUAGCAACAUAAAAUAAAUAAAUAAAAACCCUAAUCAACAAAGCUAGUUCAAUAUCACCUUAAAUGCUUCCGACAUUAAUGUUCCUCAGGUAGCUAACUCCCAUUCUAACCAAAUCAAAACAUAGAAAAUCGCUUCCCAUAGAUAGCGCAGAAGAAGAUUAAUUUGUUUACCCCAUUACGCGUCUCUCCUCAUAAAUUUUGGACAAAACGCCGGUCUCUGCCCCAUCUCCACAACCAAGAAAUCGCCUCGAUUGUACAGCACUAAUAUCACGAAAGUUCUCGGAAAACAUCUUACGAUCCUGAUCGAACAGUCCAUGAAUCGACGAAGUCUCAACACCGGGAAUACACCUUAAAUGUCGAACGUUUCGAUACUUCCACGGCUCGGCAUUACACCUUGCGUAUUUGAUAGCACGUUUGAUACCACCUCUACGUGAAAUCAAUGAUUCAAGAACCUUCGAGUUAGACAGAAACGGCGGCAUUGCUGUCCUCGGUGAUAAAAAAAAGAAAUCGAAUCUCCCUACGCCUGCAAAAGUAUCACACAGCCUAAGCAACGAUUAGGCACUUCCCGCCUCUUCUCGCAAACAAAAUACAAAUCGGGAACGAACGAAAUUCAAAACCUAGGGAUUCAAUUCAACGAAACAAAAAAAAAGAAAAGAAAAGAAAAGAGAAUACUAACUCGAUGAUUGCGACGAAGAUUUGGGGGUGAAACAAUCAGGAGAAAAUUUUCGUUUGGCCGUUAAUAAAUCUGAACGGAAGAAGACCUUCAAAUGUUCUAUAAUACACAAAUGGGAAGGCAGAUUACUCCUAUUCCAGACUUUGCCGUUCCCUUUUGUAUGAAGGAAUAAGAAAUGAGAAAGAGGGAAAUCGUGGAGCUGAUCCGACCCGACCCUAAUCCAAUCCGUCUUCGAUUUGAACACUGCGUUUAGGUGUAACUGCCCACGUGAUUGAUCAUCGAUUGACGAUUAUUUGACCCGGAAAUGCCACGUGGAAUUUUAAAAAAUAUUCACUUUUGCGUUCUGAAGUAAAUAUUUUUGGUCCACAAAAGACAAAGAUCGUAACCCAAUCUUACAUGAUUUUCCAUUUUUUCCCUUUUUGGAUAAAUGGGAAACCAAGAUAGCUACCCUAAAAAUACCAAACUCACAAUUGAAUUCAAUGUGCCAUGGUGUGACCUAAUUUGGGUUUUAAGGGCGUAGAUAGUUUGGGUCUAUCAUUCAAAUUUUGACCUUGAUUUAGAGGUCAAGCUUUUCCAUUUCAUGAAUGACACAUGAUUGUUCUAACUCAUUUGGGUUAAACAAAAUUUUAUUAUAAAUGCUAUCAUGAAUCAAACAAAAUUUUACUAGAGGCCUUGUUAGCAUCGAAAAUUUUGUAGUGAGAACUCUAAAUUUUUUUCAUUUUUUUUCAUUUUGUGGAUUAUGUUUUUUUUUUUUUAAUUAUAAGCUUGUCGUUCUUUAACAUGUGAAUUUUGGCAUCAACAAAAUGAAGAAGGAAGGGGAAGGUGAGUACUAAUUUAUCUAAAAUUAAGUAAUCUAACAGUACCUUUUAAUUUUUGUGUAAAAAAAAUGAUAUCUUAAAAUAAAUAUAUGGAUAGAAUUUCUAUUCACAUUUGCAUGUGGACAACUCCAUCUAUCAAUUUAUUUAUGGAGGGCAAAAAUCUAAACUCAAACAUUUUAAGAUGGUUUAAGAAUUCACAUUUUAUGCUAAUUUACUCAUUGUUUAUUUUGUAUUAUGUUCAUAUUAGGUAAGAAAAUAUUUGAAAUUUUCAGUUAUUUUCAAGAGAAAAAAAAGAUCUCUAGAAAAAGCUUUAAUUGAGAUGUCAAAUGUUUGGUUAAGAGGUUGAAACCCAUUUAAAGAAAAAAAAGGUGCAAUAUUAAAAAAAUCAACUAAUCACUAAACAUGACCUUAGAUUUGAAAUUUAAAAUACUUUUUCUCACUUUUAAAAUUAGACCAAUAAAUAUUAAAAAUCAACACAUCCAACUUUAUUCUUUUCCAAUUUAUCAAAAUGAAAAUUUAGUAAUGUCGUCGUCUCUUAAGGUUCUUGUCAACCACAAAGAUUGAAACAAACUUCAAAAGAAUCCAAACCUGUGAAGGAGAAAUGACCAAUCGCAGGCUGUAGGGAAAAUCUUGUUAUCCUCAUUUAAUGGACAACGCAACAGAAGCAAAACGAUGUGAAUAAAACGUCUAUUUCAAUUGACAAGGAAUCAAUUGCCCAAUAAUUGUUCCAAUAAAUAAACUCAUGAACAAUUGAGGAAUAAAAUUGAAAUUUUCUGACUAUUUCAUUCGAAAAACUAGAAUAAAUGCUUCAUAUUCUUGAUGAACCAAAAGAAAUAUAUAUACACACACAAAUGCUGAAUGGCAGUACCAUAGACAUCUACCCAGUCAAAAUCAUAAUUGCUGAUGUACUAAUUACUAUACGUAACUUCAUGCACCAGAAGGUAUUAGGUAUUAGAGCUUACAUUACCAGAACAAACCCAAGAACAUCAAGAUGAGCAUUAUUGACUUCACCAACAAUCUCCCAUCUUUAGUCCUUCCCGAGUAAGAAAAGCAGUCGACAAGUCUUUUGGCAUAUUUUGGAGACAAUCUGGGAUCUAGCUAUCUUCUGGCUGUAAGAUAAUUCUUGUUAAACACCAUCUCCUUUUCAUGGAAUUUAAGGAACAACCUAAAAAGAAAUCAGUGAUCAUCAUUUUGGAGGAAGAGAUGGUAGUUAAGUUGAUAUCACUUGAAUUACCUGGUCAUUGAUCAAAGCAUUUGUUUCUGAUGCGUUGGCCCUUUUGGCAUUGCAAUCAAUGCUUCCCUUUUCAACUUCUAUAACUUCAUCAACAAAGUUCUGAUCCGAAACUUCUGAAGUGGCAAUCAUUUGUAGAGCUUAUUGUUAUAACAGUUAUUAUCAUCUAAAAUAAUUCAGUCUCAUAUCAGCGAAAUUACGAUUGCCUUACAAUUUGCAAUAAAAAUCAUAAUUGGGAUUUGGACAAAGCAGAUUACAAUAAAGAGUUCAGUUUGACUUGAACUGUAUCAAUUUGUUUUGACUCGGAACUUUCUGGUAGUAGAUACCAGACACUGAGCAAACAUCUUCCAAUGUAGAAUCACUAACUAGCAAACUUAAACUUGAUAAACUAAAUUACAAUUACAACCAAGGGGAGCCACAAAUCUGUCAAUAAAAUAUGGAUAAUAUAUAAGGUCUAAAGCCAAAAGAUUUACCUUUAUUAUUGCUGAUAUAUUGUUGGGACAAAUCAGAGUCGGAAGCACGUAUAGGUCCUGAAUUAUUAGCUGCUCCUAAUGACAGCGAGUUUCUUCCUCUUGAACCGAUAGCUUGACUUUUGCAAACGACAUUUUUGUUUUUACGAGCAGCUCUAAAGUGAUGUAUCCAAGGAUUAUGUGAGAGAGCUUGGUAUUCAUUCAAAAAAUUUGAUCGAGAUUCAGUUGGUUCAAAAUUAAUGUUCUUCCAGCUGCCUCGUCGAAGAACCUUAAACUGAAUAAACAAAAGCAAGAAAUGAGCAAAUUGAGAAUUCACAAGCCCAUGAUCAGAAAAAGAGUUAAAACUCGUCAAGGAAAUGCAAUUGGCACUGAACCUGGCCAAACUGUGAAUGGCCGUGAGAGGCGGACUGGCUUUUGCUGAGCAAUUUUGUGCGUGAAGAAUUAUCCUUGGUGGGGCAGGAGCCAACAGAAUGCCCAGAAUCAAACAUUUGGCUGACAAAUGAUGCUUCCAUGGAUUCAAGAAACAAAUGGUGCUUCUCGUCGGUCCAAUCAGAAGGUACAGAAUCCGUCAUAUGAGUGCCCUAAAACCGAAACCGCAUUAUCAGCAAUUCCCGCGGAAAGUACAUGGUCUAUCUUAAUAAACAACACAAAAACAAUACUAUUAGUGAUCUUAAUGACAAAUCAUAAUGUUGAACAAUCAAAACUCGUGCUGAAUUUCCAGAAUUAUUCUCCACAGUUUCAAACCCCUUACACAGCCCUAGUAAUUCCAUCGACAAAGGGCAAGAUCGAUCCAAACAGAGCCGCACAAAAUAAAAAAACAAAAACCUCCGGUCACGAGAGGUAAGUGCGAAAGAAGAACUGUAUUCUUCCACUUCCUCUUUCUUUCAAUUGUUUAAUUCGUAUAUAUAUAAUAUAUAUAUUCACUUUUAACACGAAAAUAAAGAGAAACAGUGCAGUAACGGUGACAUAGCAUGAAAUUGCAGAUACGAAACAUCACAUAAGCAAAACCUAAUCGGAACAACACAACACAUAAAAAAAAACAACGAUAAUUGAAAGUAUGCGAAAGAAGUAAGUAGGGUAAGUGCCCGGCUAGAAGAUUCAAUCGGGCGGGAAAACUCGGUAGACUGGUCCUUGACGAAUUCAGAAACAAGUGAGUCAGCACGAGUUUCUCUAGGGUUGAGACUGUCCAAAUUUGGAGGCAACAAUUCCAUGAAUGGGGAAGAGGAAGAAGGAUGGGGAAUUGACAAAAAUAGGCCAAAAAUGGGGUAGAAAUAGAGUUUUAGGAUUGAUUGUAGAAAAGUUGAGAUUUAGGAUAAAUUGGAGGUGAAAUGACGAAAAUACCCUCUUUUAUUUUCCUUCCUCUUUUCUUCUUUUUCCUUUUCUUCAACCCGAAGACAGAAGGCCGUUCAAAAGAAAAACGUAAACUCGCAUUUGAACUCUCCCGCGUCUGCAGUUACCCUCUUCAACUCUCUCCCGCCUCCGGUGAACGUUUUUCUCUUCCGUCCAUUUCUUCUCCACUUCCAUCCAUUUCUUCUUCACGACUCUCCGCUAUAUUUUCCGAUUUCAACUUGUUCACCGAACGUCUCCAUUUCUUCUGCACGGGUCUCCAUUUCGACUUUCAUCUCCGGCGGACGCUUCUCCACUUCCAUCCAUUUCGAUUUCAGGUUUGUUUUCACCGGACCUCUCCAUUUCUUAUCCACUCCUCUACAUUGGCAGUGCCGUAUCCAUCAUCUUUGAAGUCAAGUGAGUAAUAAAAUCUCAGUUUUUUUUUUAGAGUUAGUCUGUUGUAGCUUAUUUAUUAUUACAGUAUUCCAUCUUGUUUGUUUAAGUUGUCUGUUAAGAUGUGAGUUUUUUGUUUUUGGCACAUUUUGGAGAAGAAAUGCAUGUCAUAUGCACACAGACAUAGAGAACCGUGGGAGCCAUUCUGUUUUUAGGAAGAAAAACCAUUUCCUUUGCAAUGUACUGUAAUAAUAGAAAAACCAUACCUUGGAGUUUAGAACUUGAAUUCGAACAUAUAUUUGGUAUCCCAUAUAAACUCUGCAAAGUUACCAGUACAAUAGAUAUGUGCUAAACAUGCAUUCUAAAUAUUGUAUUCUAAAGACAUUAUCAUAAGCUGCAUUGUUGAAAGACCAUUUCCUUUGCCUUGAAGUUUUCCAUCAUCUCUCACCUAUCAGCACCUAUCUCUCACCUUCCAAAAUUUUGAGUAGAAGUCCCAAUAUAAGAGUGUUAACUUCCUAAACCGUUUAGAAUGCAUGUUUAGCUAGUCUACUAGGUGUUAAGGCUAUAGGGUUAGCAAUUGUAUUAGACUUAGCAACUUUGCCUUGAAGUUUUCCAUCAUCUCUCACCUAUCAGCACCUAUCUCUCACCUUCCAAAAUUUUGAGUAGAAGUCCCAAUAUAAGAGUGUAAACUUCCUAAACCGUUUAGAAUGCAUGUUUAGCUAGUCUACUAGGUGUUAAGGCUAUAGGGUUAGCAAUUGUAUUAGACUUAGCAACUUUGCCUUGAAGUUUUCCAUCAUCUCUCACCUAUCAGCACCUAUCUCUCACCUUCCAAAAUUUUGAGUAGAAGUCCCAAUAUAAGAGUGUAAACUUCCUAAACGGUUUAGAAUGCAUGUUUAGCUAGUCUACUAGGUGUUAAGGCUAUAGGGUUAGCAAUUGUAUUAGACUUAGCAACUUUGCCUUGAAGUUUUCCAUCAUCUCUCACCUAUCAGCACCUAUCUCUCACCUUCCAAAAUUUUGAGUAGAAGUCCCAAUAUAAGAGUGUAAACUUCCUAAACGGUUUAGAAUGCAUGUUUAGCUAGUCUACUAGGUGUUAAGGCUAUAGGGUUAGCAAUUGUAUUAGACUUAGCAACUUUGCCUUGAAGUUUUCCAUCAUCUCUCACCUAUCAGCACCUAUCUCUCACCUUCCAAAAUUUUGAGUAGAAGUCCCAAUAUAAGAGUGUUAACUUCCUAAACCGUUUAGAAUGCAUGUUUAGCUAGUCUUCUAGGUGUUAAGGCUAUAGGGUUAGCAAUUGUAUUAGACUUAGCAACUUUGCCUUGAAGUUUUCCAUCAUCUCUCACCUAUCAGCACCUAUCUCUCACCUUCCAAAAUUUUGAGUAGAAGUCCCAAUAUAAGAGUGUAAACUUCCUAAACGGUUUAGAAUGCAUGUUUAGCUAGUCUACUAGGUGUUAAGGCUAUAGGGUUAGCAAUUGUAUUAGACUUAGCAACUUUGCCUUGAAGUUUUCCAUCAUCUCUCACCUAUCAGCACCUAUCUCUCACCUUCCAAAAUUUUGAGUAGAAGUCCCAAUAUAAGAGUGUAAACUUCCUAAACGGUUUAGAAUGCAUGUUUAGCUAGUCUACUAGGUGUUAAGGCUAUAGGGUUAGCAAUUGUAUUAGACUUAGCAACUUUGCCUUGAAGUUUUCCAUCAUCUCUCACCUAUCAGCACCUAUCUCUCACCUUCCAAAAUUUUGAGUAGAAGUCCCAAUAUAAGAGUGUUAACUUCCUAAACCGUUUAGAAUGCAUGUUUAGCUAGUCUUCUAGGUGUUAAGGCUAUAGGGUUAGCAAUUGUAUUAGACUUAGCAACUUUGCCUUGAAGUUUUCCAUCAUCUCUCACCUAUCAGCACCUAUCUCUCACCUUCCAAAAUUUUGAGUAGAAGUCCCAAUAUAAGAGUGUAAACUUCCUAAACGGUUUAGAAUGCAUGUUUAGCUAGUCUACUAGGUGUUAAGGCUAUAGGGUUAGCAAUUGUAUUAGACUUAGCAACUUUGCCUUGAAGUUUUCCAUCAUCUCUCACCUAUCAGCACCUAUCUCUCACCUUCCAAAAUUUUGAGUAGAAGUCCCAAUAUAAGAGUGUUAACUUCCUAAACCGUUUAGAAUGCAUGUUUAGCUAGUCUUCUAGGUGUUAAGGCUAUAGGGUUAGCAAUUGUAUUAGACUUAGCAACUUUGCCUUGAAGUUUUCCAUCAUCUCUCACCUAUCAGCACCUAUCUCUCACCUUCCAAAAUUUUGAGUAGAAGUCCCAAUAUAAGAGUGUAAACUUCCUAAACGGUUUAGAAUGCAUGUUUAGCUAGUCUACUAGGUGUUAAGGCUAUAGGGUUAGCAAUUGUAUUAGACUUAGCAACUUUGCCUUGAAGUUUUCCAUCAUCUCUCACCUAUCAGCACCUAUCUCUCACCUUCCAAAAUUUUGAGUAGAAGUCCCAAUAUAAGAGUGUUAACUUCCUAAACCGUUUAGAAUGCAUGUUUAGCUAGUCUUCUAGGUGUUAAGGCUAUAGGGUUAGCAAUUGUAUUAGACUUAGCAACUUUGCCUUGAAGUUUUCCAUCAUCUCUCACCUAUCAGCACCUAUCUCUCACCUUCCAAAAUUUUGAGUAGAAGUCCCAAUAUAAGAGUGUAAACUUCCUAAACGGUUUAGAAUGCAUGUUUAGCUAGUCUACUAGGUGUUAAGGCUAUAGGGUUAGCAAUUGUAUUAGACUUAGCAACUUUGCCUUGAAGUUUUCCAUCAUCUCUCACCUAUCAGCACCUAUCUCUCACCUUCCAAAAUUUUGAGUAGAAGUCCCAAUAUAAGAGUGUUAACUUCCUAAACCGUUUAGAAUGCAUGUUUAGCUAGUCUUCUAGGUGUUAAGGCUAUAGGGUUAGCAAUUGAUAUUAGACUUAGCAACUUUGCCUUGAAGUUUUCCAUCAUCUCUCACCUAUCAGCACCUAUCUCUCACCUUCCAAAAUUUUGAGUAGAAGUCCCAAUAUAAGAGUGUAAACUUCCUAAACGGUUUAGAAUGCAUGUUUAGCUAGUCUACUAGGUGUUAAGGCUAUAGGGUUAGCAAUUCUAUUAGACUUAGCAACUUUGCCUUGAAGUUUUUCAUCAUCUCUCACCUAUCAGCACCUAUCUCUCACCUUCCAAAAUUUUGAGUAGAAGUCCCAAGAUGCUAGUGCAUCCAUGUUAAGUAAGUCUCUUAUGCAAUUAUAUUUAAUUAGUUUUUUUUUUUUAUGCAGGUCUCAGUAUGGCUUCGACAUCAACUAACGGUCCCAUGUACAAGAUUGACCCUGCUCAUCAUUUUCAGUCUAUAGUAAGUAGUUUAGCACAUUUAGAAAACAGUACACGUACAAUAAAUUUAUGACCUCCUCUUUAUCUAAAUCUUUAACAUGGAAUUGGUAACAAUCAAUUGGGUUGACUUUCAUUGUCAAAGCUCGUUCUUGUUUCUUUUGUAGAACUAACUCUGCCCAUUUAGUCAAUGUAGACGUCACUUUAAUGCCUUCUUCUCGACGCUCCCAAAACCAACGUUGUAGCAAAGCUCGAACAUGUUCAAGGAAUGAAGCAAUAGGCAAAUCUCUAGGUUCUUUCAGUAUAGAAUUCAUGGACUCUGCUAUAUUUGUUGUCAUCAUAUUAUAUCGUCUUCCUGGACAGUGAAAACGAGACCAACGUGUUAUUCCAACAUCGUUUAAAUAUUUUCCUGAAUCAUUAGGAAAUGCAAGAAUACUUCUCCACGCUUCUGAGAACGUUGAUUCACGGUAUGUUCUAGAUGCAUUGUAAAACAAAGUAGCUAUAGUGUCAUUCUUGUAUUUAUCAUUCAAAUUUUGAGUCAAGUGUUGGACACAAAGUCCAUGGAAUGCGGAGGGAAAAACCGAUGCAAUACACUUAGAAAAACAUGUUUUUCGAUCUGUCACGAAGCCUAGAUUAGGCACCUCUCCUAUUGCACCUUUCAAUUUCUCUAAGAACCACUGUAUUGAAGCAUCUGUUUCUCUGUCCACCACUCCAAAGGCAAGAGGAUAAAUUUGAUUGUUACCAUCCAAGCAAACAGCAACUAUCAACUGACCCCGAUAUUUGUUCUUAAGGAAUGUUCCAUCCAUGACUAUAACCGGUCUAAUGCAGUUUAAGAAUCCUCGAACACAUGGACCAACAGCCAUAAAAAGAUAUUUGAAGAAACGAUUAUCUUCAAGUUCCAUGUGAAAUAUUGUACCUACAUUUGCAAGUUUGAGAGCUUCACCAUAUCUAAGCAAUAGAUUAUAUGACUCUUCAGGACACCCGCGCACUCGUUCAUACGCAUUUUCUCUAGCGCGCCAUGCUUUUUCAUAACUCAUAUUUAUGCCAUAGUCUUGCCUCAUGUCUUCUAUGAUAUCACGCGGUUUGUAUAGACGACCGACUCCCUUGAACUUUGACUUUAUUAAUUCUCCAACAACCCAAGAUUUUGCUUGCCUAUGGUCACGAUUCAAAACGUCAAGAGAACACGAAUGAACUUUGACAUACUUUUUAAUCUUAAAUAUAUUUGAAUCCUUCAAUCUCAUCGCUCGCAGUCUCCAACCACACUUGUUGUCAAUGCAUCUAACAAAGAGAACCUCUUUUGUAGACUUUUUUACUACAAACUGAAAAUUUUUUUUCAUUGCCAAGACACUUAAUCUCAUUGACAAAUCUUUUUUGGAAAAAAAUAUUUGUCCUACAUCAAACUCCUCACUUGUAGAGCUUUCUUCGGACCAAUCAUUCAUGUCUGUCUUCAACUUUUGGCUAGAAGAGCUGUAACGAACUUUAGAUUUUCCUUUGCAAUCUUUUGUAGGACCAUCUCUAUGUUGUGGGAUGUCAAAUGAUUCACUAUUCAUCUCUACUGGCUCCCAUGUAAAAGUCUCAUCUUUCGAAUCAUAUGACUCAUAUGAUUCCCAUAUAGCCGAAGUGGUCCCUAUCACGUUAUCACACAAGCCAACUUCAACUUCACGAACAUGGACUUCAUUCUCAUUUAAUGUAUCCAUUACAAUUGGAGGAUGAGGGUUUAAGUUAUGAGCUUGGUUGCUGCCAGAUACUGAAUUGUAAUCUUUGCUUAACACUUUUUUGCUUUGAUUACUUUUAGGCUCAAAUGAGACGUAUAAAGGGACCUUUAAUGGAUUUUCACUAAGAAGAUAAAACUUCAAAUCACGGUCAUUGCUUAACUCAAAUGUAGGAGCUUCGUGUUCCACUUUUAUCUCAUAUAUGCAUCUUAUCAUUACGUCGAACUUUGAAGGGUCAACUUCUGCAAGGUCAUAUAAUUCUGCCUGUAAAUCUUUAUGUGUUAUUUCUUUACUGACAACGAUGCCUUUUAACAUGCCUCCUUCGUAUUUUCUUCGCCUCUCAUCCCACAUACCACCGUAACGCACUAACAUGGGAAUAUGUGACAUCCUUAAACCACCUUAUACUUUUCAAUUGCUGCAAAAAAUGAUUUGAAGUUAGCAUUUGACAUAUCACAUAAACAAAGUUUAUUAAAAAACAGUAGGUAAAUACUAAAUAAAACGUGCAUAGUCACACCCUACAUGUUUACGAUCUUGACAGCUACAAAAUGUUUAGGAUAUUGCGAGAUACAAAAAACAAUAGCUAAAAGUCACCCUAAAUCAAUUCAUUUCAGAUUAAACAUUUCAAUUUAAGAACCUGCAAGAUGUCUGCGAGAUGUUUGCGAGAUGUCUACCAGAUGUUUGCGAGAUAAAAUAAUAAUAAUGAUAAAUUGCUAACAUCAUUUGAAACAUCUAUAAAGCAACCUUAAAUCAACCCUAAAUCAACUUGAAACAAUAAAAAAUAAUAUUUGAUUUAUACAUUUAAGAUGCAAAAAUAUAUAUACAUAUAACACAACACAAUUCAGAUUCGGAUUUAAAAAUUAAAACAAACCACAAUGCGUGAGAUGUUCGCCGGAGUAGAUGAUGAACGACACCGGAGUAAAGCGGAAAGUUGACAAACUUUUGAGAGAGGAGAAGAAUCGCAAAUGAGUUUUUCUUUUUUCUUUUUCCUUUACAUAAUCUAUGAGAAGGAGGAGAAAUGCUUCUUUUUUCUUUACGUAAUCUAUGAGACUGCAAGAGAAGGAUUCUUCUUUUUUUUUCCCUUUACGUAAUCUAUGAGGAGAGGAGAAGAAGGCUGCGUUCGCAAUUCUGUUUUUUUUCUUCAGGUGAAUGACAUUGAAGAGAGAGAGAGAGGGGUUGGAAAAGAAGAGAAGAGCAAAUGUGAAUUAAAAUUAAAAGAGGGUAUUUUCGUCAUUUCACCUCCAAUUUAUCCUAAAUCUCAACUUUUCUACAAUCAAUCCUAAAACUCUAUUUAUACCCCAUUUUUGGCCUAUUUUUGUCAAUUUCCCAAGAAGGAUUAUCUCCAGAUUUGCAAUGGCGAGAGAGAGAUGAAGGGAAGAAAGAUGGAAGCGGGCCAGUGGGAGAGAUAUUGAAGAGGAGAGAGAGAGAGAGAGAGAGGCGGUGUUCUUGGGACGAAAGAACCUUCACAGUUGUCAUGGCUUUACACGUGGCAAGGGGCCUACGAGUGCCACGUCAACGAAGUGUUAAUUGACGCUGAGGAAUCGCGCAGAUAUUAUAUGGACCAACUGAAAUAUCUUCCACCCCCUUUUUAUCACGACUACACUUCUUCUUUACCACCAUCCCUCCCCCUUCAAUGCCCCUAUUUUCAUUUUAUGCCAUAUACCAAUUUACCAUUUCUAUCAUUCUAUCCCUUUAUUUUUAUUCUCACUUCAAAUAAUUUUGAAACCUUGAUUCUAAAUUUAAGUACAAAAGGUCGAAUUUAAAUGGAAAUUAAUUUUUAUAUUUCAUUUUCUUUCUUCGUUUUAGAAGAGACACACUUUUAUAAUCUCACUUUAUAAUAACAAAGAAAAAAAAAAGAAUAUUUAGUAUAAUAGAUAUUAUACAAUAAUACGUUUAUAUAUUCUAUUUUGGUGGCUGCACUUUAUUGAAAGGCAACAACACAGACUUUGGGGUUCUUUUUUCUUUCCCUAGAGACUCCAAAUUUUUUAGGCCGGUAACUGUCGUAUAAAUAUCUUUGUAGAAUGCAAUGAAGAAAAAGGAAACACAUUAGUUUAAAGCUAUGCAGUUGCUAUUUAAAAAAUGUGAGGAAAGAGUUUUAUUUUAUUUUCUUUGGUUUAAUUAUUAUUGCACAACCAUAAAUUUUAGAUUAAUUAUAAAUUAUUGUCUCGUUUUCUAAAUUAAUGAAUUAUUCAAAACUAAUUAAAAGUUUUCACGUGUAUUCAUCUAAAAUUGUAAACGUAAAAUGGUGAAUUUUUAUGAUGUUGUGUGCUUUUGUAUCGAGGUUAGAUUAAAUUAAUUAUUUUGAUCAAAUUACAUUAUAAAAUUUAGACUAAAGUUCAAUUGAGACUAUAAAUAUAUUCAAUCUAGCCCAAAUGCUAAAUAAGGUACAAAUUCAAGUAGUUGGACCUAAGAGGUAGGUCCAUGAUCAACCAAGCUCAAUUUCAUAUGAAGCUCACGAUAUAACUAAUUAUAUAAACACGGGAUUUUUUUGUUUUUUUUUUUUAAUUUGAAGGUGGCAAAAAUUUAGAUUAUAGAGAGCUUAUGAGUAUUCUUUGGACUAUCAAAAUACUCUCUAGCUCUUGAAGUUCAACUACAUUCACUUCAUUUUCAUUACGUUACCAACCAAGAGGGAAUCGAAUAAUUAAGCUAUAGAGAUUGAACCACAUAUGCACCAACCUACAUCAACAUAAGCUCAAUUCCAUUGAAAACAAAAAGUGUACUCCAAAACCUCACGUGAAAAAUUAUAUGUUGUCAUGUGAUAAAUAAGUGAGUCGUAUUUAUUGUCUAAAAUAUUUGUAGAAAUGUAAAUUUAAUGUAUUUUUAGGUAAGAAAAUUGAAUUUUUUAUGGAGUCUUCCUUUAUAACAAAUUAAAAUCAAGUAAAAGUAUGAUGAUAUUUUUUUUAUUAUGGGAAAAUAUGUCGGUACUCCAUAUUUUCUCAUGUGUUUGAUUGAAAAUUACAAUUUGAAUUUUAAUUUGAAUAAUUUUUUUUAAAAUACUUGAUAGUAUAUUUAUAUACUCCUUAAUAUUACACUAUAUAUGAAUUAGAUAAAUUAUUUUAAAGGACAGUUUUCUAAAAAAUAUUUAUAAAUAUAGUAAAAUAUCAUCGUCUAUUUGUGUUAAACUAAGAUAGACUACUAUAUGUGUUGAUCAUUAUAUAAAUGGAAACAAACAGUAGUCUAUUGUAGAUAGACUGUGAUAUUUUGCUCGUUGAAUUUCAAUUUCAUUGGGCACCACCAAUUUUGCAAUGUGUCAACUUUGAGCGAGUUCACGAUUCCAUAACACACAACAAUAUAAUUUUUUCAAUAAAUAACAUAUGUCGAGUGACUAUCAUUAGUAGAGGUUAUUACUAGCAUUUGCUAUCAAUGAUAACAAACAAUAACAUAUUUUUAAAAUUGAAAACUAGAUGGUAGACACUAUUAGUGGUAUAAACUGAUAUAAGCUAUCAACUAGUUAUAAGUGAUAUUUUUCAAUUUGAGAAGUUCAAGAAGAAGCAUCAGAAUGAUGAAUCGGAUAUGCUAUUUAAUUCAAAAUUGUAUUAGUAUAUUUUAAGUUGAAAGCUAUCACUUGUAGCAGCUAUAAAUGAUAGUUACUUAUAACAACUACCAAUGAUAACAAUAGAUAUAACAUACCACUCAUCCUUUUCAAAUGGAAACAAAUAAAGAUACCAAAAAAACUCAAAUGUUAAAAGUAAAGCAAGAAGAAGAAAGUGAAACAAUACAUGUUAUAUUGUAGUUCGUUUUUUACGUUUUUUUAUAGUGAUCAUUUCAUACAAUUGGACAUCUAUAACUUGUCCUUUUCCAAAUUCGACUAAUUCAUCUAACAUCGUUUCAUUCGAAUCAUAAAUUUCAUAUUCGAUUAUGAUCAGAAAGUUUUAAAAAACAAAUGAGGAGCAUAGAAGGUUAGAUUGAUAUCCAAGUCGGGUCACUAUCACUAAUAGCUUCUACCGGUUAUAACCGAAAAAAAAACUUUUUAUUUUAACAAUUAUAUUUUCUUGUGAUUAUUUUUUAUUUCUUAUUUUUCCAUUAGGCCCAAAAAAAGGAUUUGGGCUUAGGUUUAAAGGCCCGUAUAUUUGCCUCCAAAUCCAAAUAGAAGGGCUUGGGUUUGGUUGUAGCUCAUAGCAUGAACCCAGCCACAGCCACAGGCCAGAGAAUGCGGAUUGAAGAGAAAUCCUGUAGAAUCUCCAAUCCAUGAGAUUGAUGAUAAUGUGAGCGACCGUUAACUGUUCUUCUUCCUCCGUUUUCUCUAACAAUUUGGGAGAAAAGCCAUGCUCCGAAAUCGCACACUACCAUUUCAUUCUCAGUAGUUGCAAAUUCAAGCUCCUUGUUUCGAUUGAUCAAGGGCAUGGCCAUGGCGUCCAUUUUGAAACCACCGCCAUUUCCGCCCUUUCACUCUCUAAAUCCAAACUUCUUCAACUCUUCACCACUGAUCUUAUGUUUUCCUACACACCCAAUCAAUUCGUUUCACCCAUCUACUCGUGCCCUCAAAACUGGCCCUGAAGGCAUUAGACUUCGAAGCCAUCAAGAAUAUAGUUCCGAUUUGCUGCGGAAACCGGUUGGUCCAUCGGCGAAGGACUUGGCUGGACCAUCGGAGGAUGACGACAGCAGUGAGGAGAGUGGAAAUGAAGACGAGGAGGAAGUGGAGUGGGUUGAUUGGGAGGACAAGAUUUUGGAGGAUACUGUUCCUCUAGUUGGCUUUGUUAGGAUGGUUCUUCACACUGGAAAGUAAGCAACCAUAUUCUUAGUGAAUUUUUAACUGAAUUUGAACUUCCUGGUCAAAUAGAAAUUAUGCAACUCUAUUCUUAGUGAAUUUUUAACUUGCGUUUGUUCAACUGGAAACGUGUCACUUGAAGAUGAACGGAACUAUAUAAUUUGAGAUUGAAGUUACGGAACUUCUACGGAAUGUUCAUCAGUUUCCAUAGCACAAGAACAAGAAUCACGAGUACCGUCAAUUAAUCUCUUCGAAGUUCAUUGAUUUUAUUCAAUUUUUUGGAAUUUGAUUAAUAAUUGGAAUACCCAAAGACUUUGAAUCUAAAAAAUUGAUGAAAAAAUGGCUCUUGCAACAGUACAUACUCAACCUAUGUCCCUUAGCCCAUGGAUAUUGCUUGCAGUACUCGCAAUAUUAUCUUUAUGAAAAAGGGUUUCACAAUAUGAAUGAUUAAGAUUUCUAUCUCUCUCAAAAAGAUAUGUAGUCUAAGCCAGUAGUCAAGUCAAUAUAUCUUCUCUCUCUUACUCAUCUGAUUAGGUGUUCGUAGCAUGUAUGCUGUUAUCUCUUAGUAAAAGUUUCAAGUUGCUAUUAUUUCAGCAUAUCUCCUCAGAGACAAAAUUAUAGCGUUUUGUAGUUGUUUUUCUUCCCUUGGAUGUAUGAGAUAUCAUGACUGUUGGUCUUGCAAUUACAAUGGUGGAUAAAAAAUCUGAAAGAGAAUAUUUUGUGUCUUGGAGUCAUUAGCAUGAUGAAGUAGAGUUUAAUCUCCAUUCGUUAAUCAUCUUUAAUCAUACACUUGCAGAUAUGAAAAUGGGGAUAGGUUGAGACCAGAGCACGAGAAAACAAUUCUUGAGAGGUUGCUUCCAUAUCAUCCUGAGAGUGAGAAGAAGAUUGGAUGUGGGGUUGAUUAUAUCACGGUAUAUCUCUCUCCAUGCAUAUUUGUACAUGUCAUGUGUUUUGAGCUUAUUUUUAUAAUUUACAUUUAUGUAAAAUAAAACAACUAAUUAGUACUCUAGCCUGUAGCCUUUUUUUCUAUUUCCUUGGACGAAAGAAAGCUCGUCUUGAACCUGGUAAAGAAAUUAAAUGUUCACAAUCAAGUUUUUUAUUACUUCUGAUGAAGCAUGCUGAUUAUCGCGGUUGAUGAGAUCAACUUCAAUCAGUCCAUGAUCUGUACCGUGGAUGUUUUUACAAGCUUAGUUUGUAAUGCUAAAAUAUUUGUCUGUACUGUUCAACUUGUAAAGACAUAAAUUGUUGUGGAACAGAACACUUCUAAGAAAGGAAAACUUUCUUUUCCUUCUACUUGUUAUGUACAUUAACUGUGGAUUUUUUUUUCUUUCUAAAAGACGUGUUUCCUGUGAUAUAAACGAAGAAUGCAUAAUAGCGAGAAGGCAUUGAUAAGUGGCAACGGUUUGAAUUUUCACUUGAUUGUAUAUAUGUGAUGCUGCCGAAAGGGUUAUGCCUUGACUUGAAAAACCUGCUUAUGGGCAGUUCCAUUUUCGUUUUUUGAACUAUUUUCUUUGGAAUUAUACUGGGCAUUGGAUAUACGCCGUAUUUGUCAACUGAAAUGAUCAUGGCAAUUUUUUAUUGGUGGUGUUGUGGUCGGCAGGUUGGAUAUCAUCCUGAUUUUGAAAGCUCAAGAUGUUUAUUCAUAGUCAGAAAAGAUGGAGAGAUGGUUGACUUUUCAUAUUGGAAGUGCAUCAAGGGUCUGAUCAGAAAGAAUUAUCCUCUUUACGCAGAAAGCUUCAUUCUUAGGCAUUUUCGGCGACGUAGACGCAAUUCCCGUCGGUAACACAUGUAAGAUCUGUUAAUCAUACUCUUGUAUCAUUCAAUUUCAGGAAUCCUUUGAAUAUCAAAGCUUGAGAUUGGACCAGCCACGCUUGUGUGGUUCUCUUUUGUUUAAUGACUUGAAAUUAACAAAUCAAGAUGGAUAUGGGGUGAAUAUAGACUCUUGCUUAGUAAAAUUCAAUUUUGUAAAUUCCAACAGUUGCCUCCAGUUUUCCUUGAUCCAAUUCAUGCUUAGUCUCUCCCUUUUCUCUAUUUGUUGAAUAUAUGCUCAAGAUCCUUGAACUUUAUAGCUUUUUGUACUUUGGCCGAUAUUAUGGUAUUGAAACUCAAUUGAAUUGGGGUCAAGAACCCUUCAAUCCUGCAUGGGGUUCAUAUCAUAUUAGGUAAAUGAGUCAGAUAAAAAGACCUGCUUGUAUUCCAUCAUGGCCAAAGCACAAAAAGUAUACUGCAACUAAGACGCAACUUCGCUUAACUUCUGCAUUAGAAUACCUAUUGGUCAUAUGGGGACAUUCCCAGCUUUAACUUUGGACCUAAAUUUUAUAUUUCGAUAUUUCCAUUGUUGAAUGAUUAAAAACACUGUAUCAUUGGAAUCAAUCAGAUUUUGUCAUUUUUAUGCAAUGGUAGUGAUAAAUGGAAAAAUCUUGGUUGCAACGCAUCUUCUGUGUAACUUGACCUAACUAACACCAAAAUGUAUCAUUUUUUCUUAAUCCUUUUCUUUGUGUGUAAAGGAUGAGCAUAAUUGCUCAUGAUAAAAUAUCACUUGGGAGUGGGAAUGUGGGCAGUUCAAGUCUUCAAACAUCCUUUGCCUUGAUGGGCUAUUGAAACCUGUAAAGCUGUGUUCAACGACUUAUUCCUGAAUUGGUUUCCAUUUUUAUUUUGGGGACUAAAACUCGAUAUAAAUAAACAAAAUUCGGGCUAUUUAGAAGUAUUCUAAAAUAUACACUUUCUUAUUUCUAAAACCAAAAUUAAGUGAGAACAAGUUUGGAUAACUAUUCUUCAUUCAAGUGGGGAUUUCGUAGUUUUGAAGUACACAAUAAACCGUACCAUAACAAAUCAUUUAAAAAUAGCUUUUCUGUUCUAAACUAGACUACAUAAAAUUGAAUGACAGCAACCGUAGAAAUCGAUCAAAACAGAAGUAAUUCUCUCAGUUGUUAAGCAAUACAGUGGUGACUCACAACAUGAUGAAUUUCCAUGACCUGACAAUUUAUGCCUCAAAGCUUGUUAGUAAUUCUUUCAAAUACCCAACUUCAGUUUACUUUGUUCCCUCUUGAAAGCUCCACCCCUUUCUCAUACUUCAAUUGUCUUUGUUCCAGUGCUGCUAUUGGAACGCUUGAGAACUGUAUGUCUGUUGGCAUUUUCGAAGAGUAUUUUAAUAGACGAUCUCAUCGGAUAUACAUAAAGUUUCCAGCAUUCUAAUAGAACAUUUCCAAAUGCUGGGAACUACAUCCAUAUUUCAAUUCUGGUGAAACUGUCUAAGAAAGAAAUAAUGCCAUUCUAAAUGUUCCACAACCAGCAGCAGCAGAAGGCGGUAAAAUAAUAUUGAAAGACCUAAGCGUUCUUAGCAAGGAUAGCCAGGAGUACAUUCAAUAUCUUUCCAGGAUAUCAUCUUUCUACGAUCCCUUCCUCUAAACGAUCUGGCAUGUAAACUACCACUAACAGGUUUGCACAAUCCAAUGUCAAUUACGGAACUACUCUUUCUCCUUUCCGAGAAAAGAGAUGCCUCGCUGAUGCAGUAGUUAAACAGCAUAGCAAGACAGCAAAUCUGAUGAGACAAUAUAUAGUUCUCUUGAUCCAAAGGCAGCAUCUUAAGUAUAUGGAGAUUCACCUACAAAUCCAAGGACACAAAACUAUUAAGUGAAAAUUACCAAGUCAACAACCACUACCCGAUAUCUGAAUAGGUUGUCAAAUUCAUAAAAAUGCCAGUAUGUCAUCGUAGUGGUUAAUUAAGUGCUUUUAAAAUAAGAAGAUGAUGGAGUUCAGAAAUGUGAGAAGAUUAAAACAAACUCUCUUCCUUACCUCAGCUUCCAUGGCUCGAAGUUCGUUAUACCAAUCAGAGUCGUCACACUCCUCACGGUUUUCUUCAGAAUUCAUCGUGUAGAGAUUCAAAGUGAAGACAGGAGGCCUAAGAGGGUACUCCAUGCUGAUUUUAAUCUGCCAUAACAUUAAUGAUGCCAAGAUUCAGAAAAUCAAAAUUGGAUUAUUCACGUCUCAAAGAUUUCAUGCCAUCACUGGAAGAUUCAGAAAAUCAAUAAAACAUAACUUUUGUAAGGAUAAAAAAAAGCGUUACCUUGGCUUGCAAUUUAAGAUUUUUGGUAGGUCGCUCAGUGUUCCUGGUAAGAAUAAGGCAAUAUUCCUUGGACCCGUAAUCUAUCCAUUUCUUUGUUGUUAUGUUGUUGGAAGGAACAGAUGCUACAUCAUCUGCUGCAAGCUCAGCUUGCACAGGAUCAUCCUGGUCACUGUCAACAUCUAUCAUCAACUCAUAAUCUUCAUCAUGUUUAUUGAAACUUAGCAUCCUAGAGUAAUUAGUUUGAGGUGUAAUGCUUUUAGAAAUUAAAGUCAACUGUUUGGAAUGCUCAAGAUUGGGUGUUCUAACUUCAGGAUUAUUUAAGAUAGGCGUAGAUGAAACAAGAGCAGGGAGUUCUCCAUCUUCCCUAGCACUGUCAAUCUCUUCUCUUGAAAUGCCAGAUUUUCCAACCAUGUCAACAUCUACAGGAUCCUGAACUUUCUCUUUCUCCAUUGUAGUCAAAGAUGAUGCCUGCUUUGUAGAGUAACCUACAAGCGACCAACCUUGCAAACAGCAUGAAGGUUUAUGUGAAACCCAAGGGACUUCAUCACACGUCAGAACUGGCCAUUUGAGUUUUUCAAGUGAAUCAAGCUGUUCCCUGUUAGUCAAUGCAAAAAUCCCAAUUUCUCAACACAAACUACAAACCACAAACCAUACUUGGCUGAACUAGUGAUCCUUCCACCAACCGAAAAAAUUCCAUUAUGCAAAAUGCAACAGAAGUAAAAGUAAACAUGGCAAAUAUAGUUUUGAGAAAAUACAGAGUUAUUCACACAAGCAUAGUGCAUGAAAUUGCAGUGAUCAAAGCAACAAGACAAAGGAUGGUCGAUUUCAUCUCUAAGCUACAAAUCCUUCUUCUAUCAUUCUUCAAAGUCAUUCAUAAUCUAAAACUUCGAAUACAAAUCAACGACUCACACAAGAGCCAGCUGAGCCUUUUUCCGAGAGCGUAAUCUUUGCACUACUGUCUGUAUUCGGUUCUGCUGCCGAUACAUUGAAAGGCCUGAUACAAUAUCACCUCUAACAGGUUCACCACUGACAGAUUCUUGUGCACUCACCAACGGUGGCAAUUCUGGCAAAAAAUCAAUCCCAGCCAAAUGUUGUGCCCACUUAUAUGGUCGAGAGGUUCUCUUAUCACUAAAUGCAAGUGUUUCACCAACAACAAGCUUGGCUGACUGCAUCAUUUAAAACAAAAUAGCAUACAAUCAAGGAUUUCCCCUCUUUUUAGUUGAAAAUGUAACUUAGAGUGGGGAAGGGGGCAGAAUAAUCAAAACAUAAAUGGAAAAUUCUGAAUUCAUACCUGGUGAGGCAGCUCAAGGCCAGUAUCAUCAGGGAACAAGUUGCAUAAGAUGUUAUUCUCAGGACCUUCAUGAGAUCCUUCAAUCCCAACACAAAUAACGUUCAACUUUAACAAGCAUUCAAACUUCAGAGAGAGCAAUUUCAUUGACUUGGGUUCACAUGUUUCACUGUCAUAUAUAUGAAGGAUGAUCUUUAGGGGAUGAACUUGAUAUAUCCCUGCAUGCUCAAUGUUCACCUUAGCUGGAAUCUUCUUUGGCCGUUUUCUCCUCCUUUGGCCAUCAUCGUCUUCAUCGGGUGCAUCAUCCUCCAACUUAUUGCUCUCAGCGUUGUUUGAUGCACCUAGAAUAUUUGCAAUGGCUGUAUUAUCAUCUUUAAAAAAACAUAAAGGAAGAGUUAUCUGUGGACAUUGUGCUCGACAUAUACUCAACAAUCCAAAGAAAGUAGUGUCCUCCAAAUUGACGUUUUCUAAAAAAUAAAUAUGAUCUGCAAUUUUGAUUCAUGUGAUGAUUUCAAUGAAUAAUCAAUUCAAUUUGUAUGUAUAUGCUGUACAUUACAUGACAAGAUGAUUCAAGAAGAAGUUACUUAGUAGCAUAUGCAUCCAAUUGAACUAUCUAAAAUUAAAAGAAUUCUGAUAAUCCAAAAAUUAUCAUAUAUGAUAUAAACAUAACUAUUGAACUAAUGAUUCGACAGAAAAUAAACACCAGGUACCAGUUUCCUUAUUCGCUUGAUGGCGUGCAAAAGCUUGGGCAUCUUUGAUACUUCCUACUAUCUCCAAUUCUAUAUUUUCGCCAAAGGCUUCCUUUUGUGCCAAGAACUGCGAGUAGAUUACAUAAAGAGGAGGUGGAAGUAGCUCUGCUAGUUGGUGUUGCUUUAAUUUUUUUGUCUGUAAUAUCCCCAACUGAUUUUGUACGGGCAAGGAUGCCUUUUUUAAGGACUUGAGGUGUGAGGGAAGACUUGACAAGAAUUUCUUUCUAUUAGCAAUGACUUCUAGUAGGCCUUUCUUAUGCUGUUCAAGUUCAUCUCGCCGUUUGCAAAGUUCUUUGCGCUGAUAAAAUGACGGAUAUUAUUACACUCAACAGUGACAAUGGGAAAAGAAACAUUUUCAUAAAAAAAAUAAAAUUCAACUAUGUACAUCCACAUCGACAAAGCUGGAAAAUUAGAACUUUCAAACAAAAACCGAAAUCAUGGAAAACACCAUACAUGCACCCACCCAGAAAAGCGGAGCUUAGUUAUGACACAGGUUUGCAGUCAUGAUUCAAAUUAUAAUGUUUAGGAUAUCUUUUAGAAGUAGUCAAGGGCAAACAAGGUGUAGCUAGAUUGCCUGCAAUUCUUAAAAAUAGUAGUUAACCCGAUGGAGUGACCAAAAUAUUCUUUUGAGAAUCACAUAAUCGACCAAAAGCAAGGUGAUGCAUCCUUCAAUUUUUGAAUAGGAGAUAUAGCUUUCAUCCUCUAAUUACCAGAAACAUUCUGUAGCCGUGCUAAUUAGUUCAAAGAGACAAUAAUAAACAGCAACUCAAGGCUACCUGGAAAAGCUCAUAGUCAAGCCUCUGUAGCAUCAGAUUGUGCGCGCUGUCCUUCGACCUCAUGGAGUUCUUAAUGUUUUCGGGUGCAUCCCGGAAAAACUCAUCCUCAGACACAAGUUCAAUAUCAGGAUACUUGGAUUUGAAGUCUUUGCAGGCCUUUAUUGCUUUAACAUAGUGACUCUUUUCAUACAUCAAGUUGUUAAGUUGCAGAGUCGUGAAGUCAACUGGAGCUUUUGCUCGCUCUGUUUCAGAUUUGACUCGAUCCUCUUCCAGCAAAAUAGAGCGAUUUGCCUGUGAGCAAACAUUAUCUCGAGGGAGUCAUCACUGGCUGUAAUUUGAAACUGAAAUAUACUACACUACAACUGACGUUCGUAGUACCAAAUAGCAAAAUAAAAAUGGCCAUUUCGGACCAAUGAGUGUUGGAAUUAGCCUAAAGCCCUAAAAGAGAGAGCGUACAGAACCAAGAACCUGGCGAAGAGUUACGAAGUGAAGGAACAUCUGGGUAACGAGUUCUCUGAGCUGAGUUUUAGACUCGCCAUGCUUCUUGAUGGAGAGCAUCUUGGUGACGAUGUCUUCCACACAACUUUUGCUCUCUCGGAGCAUUUCAAAGGGAGAAAUUUUGCCCGUUUCGCUGUCUGGCGGCAGGGGCUCGGUCUCGUCUUCUAUGAGCAUUCCUUCCUCUAUCUCCUCGUCCAUCUCUGUAGACCGUUGCCGCCUGAUUCAGUCACUCGCAAUGCUCUGGUCCGAGCUUGAAUGGAGGGUGAAGCCCAAAUUUGUAUCGACCUAAUAGGGAAGCGACUCAGGAAUGGCACGUCGAGCGAUCGGCUACCGGUCGGGUUGCCUUUUCCUUCUUCUAUUUUAGUUUAAAACUCCUAACAUUAAAAUCAUUAUUAUUAUUAUUUUUGUAACCUUAUAGGGACGGGGCCUAGAGUGAUUAUUAUACUCUCUCCAAUUUUAUACUAUGUAUUUAGGUGCAUGCUCUUUUAGUUUGAUUAUGUGAAGUGAGAAAUGGUGAAAGUGAAAUAAUAAAGAAUAAUCACGUAUAAAAAAAAAUAAGGUGAGAAAAAGUGAAAGGAAUGAGAGAAUAAUAAAUAUAAAAUUGAAUAAUUCUAAUCUUAAGAUUUUAAUAAUAUUUGGGACAAACAUGAGAGUGGAACUCCUUUAGGGUAAAACGGUCCCAUAGAGAAUGAAACCUAUUUUUCAUUGCUUGAACGCAAUCCAACCGCUGUCCAAAGUUUAUCCUUAUUUUUUCUUGUUCGCGUCUUCUCCCUCUCGAGCCAAACCGAUUUUAAUAUUUUUAUAUUUUGCAAAACCUUUUUAAAUUCAAAUCCAUUUUAAUUUUAAGUUUACCGUGGUUGCAUGUAUUAGGCAAUAUGAUGGCUAUUUUUUCUUUCUAACCUAAGUAUCUUGUCUUCAUUUGUUUUGGGGUUAGGCCCUCUAUUUUACAUGUUGUAUUUUUGUUUGAUUUCUUUCAAUUUCAUAAAGAUUUUUUUAAUAAAAAAAUAGUAAAUAUGUUUGAAUCAUUUUUGCAAUAUAUAUUAUUUAUUCAUAUAGCAAUUAGAUGUGCGUAUUCGGAUUCUGAAAGUACGAGUCCGUUGCACCGCCGAAUGAGGGUUGCUUUAUUUUAGACUUUUAGCAAAGCUUCGAAAAAUGGCGGUAGAAAGUGUGCCCUCGUAAACACUGGUUGUAGUUCUUGAUCGGAGUUUCCUUUUCUGCUGACACGAUGGGGUCUUGCAACGAAGAAUCUGAAGAUGAACCUGGAGUCUCUCCCAUUAGGGCUCUCGGCUCUCUCUUUAAGUUGACCGAAGUCUUUCUCUGGUAACCACCCUUUCUCACCUCCAUUAUCGCCGAAAGAUUAGGGAAAUAUAAACUAGAAGAAAACAGCUGAUUUUACUUUGAACACAAUGCUCUGUUUUACUCUUCUUCUUUUUCUUUUUGAUUGUUUUGGUAUUGACGAUAAUUUUAAUGGUUGCGUUACAGGGACGAGGAGACGGAAGUAGCUAGACGAGUGGAAAGUCGUGUAAGUCUCUAAUUUUGUCACUGGUUCAAAUUGCGGCAUUGAUAAUUAUUGAAUUCUCUUUGCGCCUUGGUUACUUUCCAUCCAAUCUCUACUAAUUUCGUUGUUUGUUUUAACAAGUUAGCUCUUGAUGCUGAUGAUGCCAAUAACGGAAAAUCCGUGGAGAAAAUCUGUUCUACAAUCAGUGGCAAGUGUUUCAUUCAUUAUCUCUUUAAUUAUUAUUUUAAGUUCUGAGAUAUCUGUGGCAUAAUCAUGCAUGUUGAUUGGUGCUAAAGAGUCAAGAUUGCUUUUCUUCGGGCAGGUAUCAGCUUAUUACCGGAGGAUAUCGAACUUACUGAACAGAUGAAUGCUUUGGGCCUUCCUCUUUCAUUCCACACAAACAAAGAAGUAAUUCAACAUACUACUUCUGUACAUUACUUAGGUUAAAUUAUGAUAUUCCUCCUGUAGUCAACAUGCUGACAUUCAUAUACCUCCAGAAGUGUAUGUUUGAUUAAUUAAUUUCAACGGUCUUUAUCUUUAGUGAUUGUUAAAAAACGGUGAACUACAUUGCCAAGUUAGUCUACAGCAAUGUUGUGUCAAUUCUACAUUAGUACCAAGUUAAGGUAUAGUUUAGCCCAUUACAUAAAUAAGCUAUUGCACAUUUGUUUCAUCCAUUAUUUUGGCCAUAUACUCUUACAAUUAUUGCUUAUUGGAAAUUAUCAUACAGUAAGUGUAAUAUGUGUUCUGUUGCAUUUCUUCUAGAACAGUUGCAAGUAUUAAGAUGAGAUUCACAUAUCUAUUGCAUUACGAGUAUGGCAUACUCAGCAUCAUUUCUCUUUCAAGAUGUUGAGGGGUUGGCUUAUACAUGGCAUGGAAAUAUGAGUUUUCUGGAAGAAGAAUAGCUAAAUGGGUUGAAAUGUUUUUGUGAAUUACAAUAACACCAUUUUGUUGGAAAUGAUUUUCCCCCUGAAUUUAUCCUUAGUUGUGAUGUUUUGGCAUGCAGCAGAAGAGAAUUGGAAUUACCAUGGUUAAAAGAAAAGCAAAUGUCAAGCACUCUAGAAUUCAGCAAGGAUUUCUAGACAAAGAAGUGGAGUUUCCUAAAGCGAGCAGCAGGGAGGAGAUUGUAGCUAAUAGUACUUUCAAUGAUGACGCAACAGGUUCUCUAUGCAGCUAUUCUAUGGUGAAUCAAAGUGAGACUUCUGAUCGUGAUGUGGUGUUGGACACCAAUGAAAUCCAUGUUAUCUUUGAUGGAGAUAUUUCACGUAAUUCAAGUGGAGUUAUCAGUGGUGCUGUUGAAGAACAAUUUUGUGAUGUUAUGUGUGAUAUUGUGCUGAAUAAUGGGGGAGACCAUGAAUUAAGCUCAGACGAUGCUGUGCUGGGGGAUCAUACAAAAGUUAGACUGAGUUCAAUUGGUUUUGAUAAGGGUUAUUCUCCAAGACUGCGUACCACAGGUCUUGAUGUCGGCCAUGGCAAGCAGGAGGAAGUUGAACCACCUAUGGAGUCAGAAGGUUCUUCCACAACUUUCCAAGAUACUGAAGUGCAGAAGAGUGACACUGAUAGUGGCAUUGUACUACCAGAAGUAGCUGAACCAUGUUUCCUUCGUAUGGAACCGGACUGUAAUGAAAAUGACCAAGUUGUUGGAUGUAUUCAUGAAUCUGGAGACUGGAUGGUGUACUGGGAUUCUUUUUAUAUGAGAAACUACUUCUACAAUAUAAAGUCACAUGAGUCUACUUGGAAUCCUCCUUUAGGGUUGGAACAUUUUGCAUCAUCUGAUGCCAAUUUCACUCCUAAUGAAUCAACUGCCGAAGUUUGUGAAAUGGAUGUAUUAGAAGAUGUAAAAUCAGAAGAUAUUUGUAGGGUGCUCGGUGAUACCGAGUGUAUGAAUUUACUUGGUGAUAGUGUUCACUGUCAACCACCUGAUGCACUGUUGGAGGGCUCUAGUAGUUUAAUUGAGGGCAUCGAAAGUAGUGCAUUUAUCGAUACUUCAAUUAACUGCUCUAAGGAUGAACCUCAAGAGUGGCUGAUGAGUUGUAGAAAUACCAGGGAAAAUAUUGGAUGCAGGUUCUUGACCAGUCUAUGAUUUCUGUUCCUAAUUUUUUUUCUCUUUUACCUAUUCGAGUAAUUUGUUUGGAGAGGAAUAUUGAUUAGUAUUGUGGUUUCAGUUGUGAAGGUCAUGCCAAGCAAUCAUGUGGUGAGAAUUGCACCAAUGGUUCCCAGUUCAUUGCUGCAAAUGGAGCUUCUGAACAAAUGAUGUUCAGCCAUCACAAACCUAGUAACAUGCACUCACCCGAGAUAGAUUGCAUCACCAUAGACGACGAUGAAGGCACAGCAGGCUUAACUACUAGCAGGUACCAUUUAGAAUCAGAAUUGUGACUGGACCUAUUAGCUUUCUUAUCAGACCACAAAUUUCUCUAAUGUUUGGGCUCCCUUGCUGUGUUUCCAGUGUUUCUCAUAUGCUUCAGCAGGCAGAUCAUAUCGAUGGUGAUAUGCAUUUUGCAAAUGGACCUAUCAUUUGUACACUGGGUACUGUGCAAAAUCUUUCUGUAAGAAAUAGGAAAAGGAAAAUGAAAAGAACACGCAGACGUGGACAAUUAUCUGAUAGAAAUGAAGGUUUAAUUUUCUGCCUUCACCGUGCCUGCAAAAUUAUUAGUUUUGACAUCAGUAAACAUUUUAUUCACAUUCGACUCCAUAAAGUUUCUCCAGUUAGGUCUUCUUGCCAGCAUAAAGAGGAAUAUCAAAUGAUUCUGGCAGAAGUAAAUAGACAGAAAGGUUAAUUUGUAGAUUGGUUAAUUAUUAAAAUAUGGCACGUUUCCUUUGAUUGCAACCUUUUCUAUGGUACAAUACAUUGGUUCUAUUCACAAUUAUUUUUGGUCUGAAGAUUGAAGAUCAUAUGAACUUGGCACUCCGGUUAAGAGUUUAGAUUAUUCCUUAACAUAUGGGUUGUAAAAUUAGUAACUGUACCUGCAAAAUUAGUGGUUUGGUGCCUGCAUCAGGAUUAUAAACCUUAUUUACUGCUUCAACAAUGUGUCUGACGAGUAUGAUAUAUGACCAAUUUUGGCUGGUGGUGCUUUCUGGUUGUAACUCAUAAAACAAUUGCUACUGUCAAAUUAGUCUCUCUUGUUAGCAGAAAAGAUUUCUUAGAUGGGCUCAUGUUCGAAAUAGAGAAUGAAAUGCCAUAAGAUUCUUUUCUCCCUAACAGACUAGUUUUCUUAUGCAGGAUUUCGUUCUUUUGCAAUCACUGAAGAGUAUCCCACAAGUAUUACUAAGUAUUGGUGUCAGAGGUAUCAACUUUUCUCCAGAUUUGAUGAUGGUAUAAAAAUGGACAAAGAAGGAUGGUUUUCUGUAACUCCAGAGCCUAUAGCUAGGCAUCACGCCUCACGUUGUGGUAGCAAUAUGAUCAUUGACGGUUUCACCGGUGUUGGUGGAAAUGCCAUCCAGUUUUCCCAAAGGUGAUGUUUGGUAAUCUUUUCUUUGUCCAUCUUCAUAAGUUUUCAGGGACAAUUAACCCUUUCGUGUAUCUUAUAAGCUCCGGUAAUUGGUUAGGAUAUUGAGUAGUUUAUUUUUCAUUUGUAUCAGUGGUUAAUGAAUAAGUGGUUCUGAUCCAAUUUGAUAUGUUAUUCUCUUUUACAAUUUCUAUAAGAUGUUUAUUAGAAUAUUCCUGACAACAUCUUUGUUUAAUUAAUGUUAAUGAUAUUGCAGGGCCAAACAUGUUAUUGCAAUUGAUAUUGAUCCAACAAAGAUUAGAUAUGCCCAACAUAAUGCUGCUAUAUAUGGUGUUGAAGAUCAAAUAGAUUUUCUAAAGGGGGACUUCUUCCGUUUAGCCCCACACCUCAAGGUAUUGACCCUUCUAGAAUUUUUUUUUCUUUUUUUUUCAUGUACAUUCAAAAUUCUCUUGCUUCCGGUGCUGAGAAUCAGCAUUAUCAACGUUUGCACUUUAGAUAGUGACAGGUAGUUCAUUGUCAGGAGAAGGUAUUAUCUUAAGUAUCGUCGUUAUAUCUGCCUGAAUGAUUUGAAACUGUCAUAAGAUUAUCAAUUUUUCUUACCAGUAAUAUAGUGAAUGCAAUUAAUUUUGGCAUAAGUUGGAAUUUUUUGGAGGACAAGUCCAGAAUUUUGUGCAUCUGUCUUUUGAAUUGUGGCUUUGAUCUUGCAUAUUCUAUAAUUCACUUUUUUAAAUUAUACAAAAAAUUAAACUUUCUAUGCUAUACUUCCAUCUCACUUUUCACUAUACUAGAAUGUUAUCGGAUUCUACCUGCUGCAGGCUGACGUUAUAUUCUUAUCACCUCCUUGGGGAGGCCCUGAUUAUGCCGGUGUAGAUAUUUAUGACCUGACCAAGCUCAAACCACAUGAUGGGUAAGCUAUCUGACUUCGAUAGUUCGUGGCGAGUUCAGGUUGCCCUACUAUUAUUUUUACCAUCCUCUGAGCUUUGCUUUUUGCCUGUACCUAUGCAGGUAUUUUCUCUUCAACGUUGCUAAGAAAAUUGCUCCCCUCGUUGUCAUGUUUCUUCCAAAAAAUGUUAAUCUCAACCAACUAGCAGAGCUGUCUCUUUCUUCUGAUCCUCCGUGGUCACUUGAGGUAAGAAUAUUCUUUUUGUUUUCAAUAUUCGUUCUUGUGAAUUCUUGGGAUGCUUAACAAUUGACACUUAGUUAUUGAGGUUGGUUUGGUGCUUUUUGUGGAACAAAAGAAUAUUAACAAUUGCAGAGUUAAGGCAGUAGUUCCUAUUGUAAGUUGAAUUUGAAUUUUGCAUAGCUUAUGAGUACUCACCUUGUCUCUCAUUACAUGCAAACGCUUGCAAUUUCAAACCAUUGACCAAUAAUUCAUGCAUUUGCAUUCAAGCUUUCACACACACUUGGAUCAUGAAUAUGCAUACCAACAUCUACACUCCUCUCCUAGUCUGGAGAAUGAUAACUUCUUUUUUUUUUUCCUCCCUUUUCGAUGCUAUUUUCCCUAUAACACAAAAUUCCUUCCAGAAUAUUGCAUCUUACAACUUAUUUUAAAUUCUAAUUAUUUGCAAUUGUGUUCGUAGGUUGAGAAAAACUUUUUAAAUGGCAAGUUGAAGGCGAUUACUGCUUACCUUAGCAAUGGCAACAUAAACAAAGACAAUGUCACCUAAUGCGUGAUAUCAUAUACUCCUUUUGAGAAAUUCUCCAGCAAUUUUGAUGGCUAAGGUAUAAAAUGAAGUUGGUUGUUUCAGUUUAUAGUUAUAUCCUAAUGGGUAUAAGGUAUAAAAUGAAGUCGCCCUGUAUUUUCUCUUGGAACAUUAUAUUAAACUAAUGAAACCAUUUAAGUUGUCGUUUUUGCUGGCAUAACAGAUGCUUAAUUUAUUGGCUUGACAAAACAUUUUGGCGGACAUGGAGGAAUAGUUCAUUGUACAGUCAACAAAACUCUUAUAAUGGUGAGACCCUCUUACAUUACCAGAAAAUGGUUCACAGCUGGUUGGGGAAAAACAUUUAAUUUUUGUGGUUGUAUUUAUGAAUGUACUGGACCCACUAAGAGGAAGAAGGAAAAAGAAAAAGAAAAAGAAAAGAACACCAUGACAACUAGUAACUUUGUAAACAAUAUGAUGUUAAAUCAGUCUCAAAUUUGGGGUUUCAAGUGAAAUAUCUCUGAAUUAAAUUGAAUUGAAUUGGCGAUGAUUUGGAAUCCAAUCCUAUUGGAUGGGAAAGUUACUCAGUUUCAUUCUAUAUUCUCGAUGGCUACAGAAUUUCAUUUGUAGAUAAGAUAAAAAUAUUUUGCAUCUUUUUUCUGAAUCUGUGAUUGAAGUUGGAAAAGUUACAAAUACUAAUCAAGAUGAUUAAUCUGAUAUACAUUUUGAAGAUGGUGUUCUAAUUUCGCGAAGAGUGUUUUAGUCUCAUUGUUUGUAAUACUCUCUCUCUCUCUCUCUCUCUCUCUCUCUCUCUUCAAUCAUGGCUUCCAAAUGCUUACAAAUAUUCAACUGUUCAAUAUUUACUGUAUUUUUCUUUUGUGGUUCUUAUUUUGGAUGUACAGAAUGUGUCAUUAUUCUCUCAUGGGUCAAUGUUCCCAUAGCCCCAUUGUACAAACUACAAAGAUGGGAUAUUUUUGUAAGCUUCAGUUAGAUCAGAUAGAGACUAUUACAAAUACAAAGUUAUUUCCAGUGAAACAAGAAGGUGAUCAUGGUUCACGAGCCAACCAACUGCAUCCAAGGGAUUUGAAGAUAAAAGAAGAAAUGACAUUCCUUUACUAUCAAACCAAACCAAUGCCGAGUGCUCUAUUCCUGGUCAAACAUGGCAUGGCAGAUAAGUGCUGCAACAAUCAUUUACGUCCGUUGGUUCUUACAUUAUUAUGUAUAAAUGUUAGAUGAGAGAAUUAUAUUUUCGUCCUUCGAGAAAAACAUCAUCAUAGGUUGGUCUAGUGUCAAAAAGAAAGUAGAUAGUCUCAAUAACUAACUAAAAGGUCACGAGUUCAUUCCAUGAUGACCACUUAUCUAUAAAUUAAUUUUCUACGAGCUUCAUGUAUGUCAAAAUGUUGUAAGGUUAGAUAGGUUAUUCCGUAAGACUAGUUGAUGUGCAUGAGAUGAUUUGGAUAAUCUAAAAAAAAAUAUAUAACAAAAAACGAAAGAAUAUAACAAAAUAUAUUUUUAACCUCUAAAUUUAGGAGUUUAAAUUUGAGCCACACAGCUUAUUUGUUGCAUUAAAAGGGGAAAAAAAGGGAGAACAGCUUAGGUUUUUUUUAUUCUUGAAGGGCUAAAAGUCUAAUUUUUUAAUUCAACAUAUAGGAGGGUAAAUAAUUUGAAUAGCAGAAGAGAGGUGGAAGGUUCAACACUUUCAAAUCUCCAAUUAAAGCACAUAUAAUACUGAAAAUUAAUAGCAAUAAUAGUAAUUAAACAUUCUUUUACCCAAAUAUAUAGUUUGGUGGAGGGUUUCAUUGUUCUCUGAUUAUUCAAAUUAUGCUGUAUGCUUAAAUUCGACUGAUUUUAAGAAAGGAGAAGACUUUUAGAUUUUGUUUCAAAUAAUGUAAAUUUUUAAAAAUAACAUUAUUGUUUUCCAUCGUAACUAAAAAUUCAAUUUAAAUAAAGAUAAAUUCAAUUUUUAAGUUUAAGCAGAUAAUUAUAUUAAAUAAAGAUAAAAGUAUUCUAAAAUAUACAGUAUAAUUUUAUACUAUUACAAAAUAAUAAUAGUUCGUCUAAAUUAUAAAACUAAGUGAAAAUGUAUCAAACGGUGUAACAGUGAAAUAUAUAAUAAAAUAUAGUAAAUUUUUAGAUUUGAUGAUCAAAAUUUAUUGAUGUCCAUAAUGGAUGGAUUCAACUUUUUUUAUAUAUAUUUUAAUUCAUUUUGCUAUAUUUAAAAAUGUAUCUAAAUUGUUUAUCCAAAAAUAACAUUUUACUGGUAAACUCAACUAGUUUUAAAUUGAGAGUUGUUUAAAUUAUAAUUCAUCCCAAAUCUUCAACCAAAUAAGCCUUUUAAACUCUCUGUCUCACUCGAUCUUCCUCUCUUGACAGGAAGCUUCUCUUAUUUAACACACAGCCUAUCUUUGCCAGCCCCUCCCAUUUUUUUAGCUUUGAUACAACCUUAUAUCUUACAAUUGACGUUUCAUAUAUUUAUUUAAAUAAUCAUUAGAUUCACACCAAUUAAUUUUGAAAUAAUUUCUCUCAACUUCCGUAGUUUUCAAGUUUCCUCUGAAUCAUUAAAUUUAUUAUCACUUUAUGGUCAAUUCAAGCCUUAAUCAAAUACUAUAAUACGUUUGUGUAAAUAUGAAGCGUACGUGAAGAGACAUGAUUUAACAUCUUAACUGGGCAGUAGCAGAGUUGGGUGGGGGUGAAGCCAAAAAUUUGUUUUUAUCUACAAGAAGUGAUUGAUUUUCGCACCAUUUUAGCCCACAACAGGCAGCAGUACCACACCCACACCCACACACAUUAAUAUUAUUGUAGCUCUCAAAAUAAUUUCUCCACCUCCCCAACACGCAACCCUAACGUCUUCCAUUCACCCUCAUUAUAUCAUAUCUUUCUUCUUCCAUCUCAUUAGUACCCCACUGUAGAUCGUACCAUAGAAUACUUUAAUUGGGCACAGAGGAAAAUUACAUGUUGUGGCCUAAAAUAAGAGGUAAAAUUUGGUACUUUUUGUUUUUGUUUUCCUAAAACCAAUGAAAUCCUGCUUAUAUUGGUAAACUUACUGCUUUAUUCUUAAUAUCUACUAUGAGUAUAUAACAUAUACUAUAGAAUAUCAAGCAUUGAACAUGAUGGGUUGUGUAUCAUAUUUGAGUAGUUUUCUCCAUUGCAAGUAUCAAUGACUUUUAGAUAAAUUCAUAACGAAUGAUUUUUAGAUAAAUUCAUACGGUGUUGAUGCAAGUAUAACUUGAUUAUUUGCUCGACCUUCUGAGUUCUGCUUCAAUGGUCCUUGGCUUAUGGACCCUACUUGUUCACUGUUUCGGUCAAUUUCUUUAAUGUUUAUUUUUUGUCAACAAUGGCUAUCAAUUAUGGUCUUUUUAGCUACUUUUGUUUAGUAUUUGUAAUGGAAACUCAUAAUUAAGCAUGCUUGAUUCUGAGAUAAUGGUGCUUCUGCAUGCUAUUGUUAUUGAUCUUUUCCUCAAUGUCCGCCAUUUCUUACGCAUUCUUUAACCUUUUUUUCCCUUACAUGAAGGAAUAGGGAAUUUGAAAGUAAUUUGAGUUUUGUCUUCUUGUUUAAGUUUUUUUUUCCUUUGUGGGUGUUGAUUGAGUGAGCAGAUUGAGAGGAGUUGGCAAUGGCAAUGGUGGAGGCUGGAUUUUCCGUAGGAUCGCGCAUUAGAACGCGUGAUUCUAGUCCUGAGUCUGUUGUUUUCACUCUCGAGUCGAAUUAUAGCGUUUUCUCUUCUACUUCUGCUAGUGUUGAACGCUGCUCUUUCGCCUCUGAUGCUCACGAUUAUGACUGUCGAAACUCUGAAAUUUCCCUGGUAAUUUGUUUACUUCCAUUUGAAGUAAAUUGCUUAGUUGGUUCGUUUGCGUUCUUCUUUCGCGGUAAUGGAAUGUGUAGGUUUUAAUAGCUUGCAUGAUAGGAACGAUUCUUUGACCAGAGAUGAGAUCGUCUCAUUCUGCAUUUUGUUAAGAUAUCGAUAAUAUGAAGGAACAUUGAGGAUUUUUGUUCGAGCUAUAAGAUUUUGCAUGCAUAGUUGGAGUUUGAGCAAUUAUUAAGUACAAUAUACUGAAUCUUUUUAUUAAACUGCAGCACCUGGAAGGGAAUAUUGAGGAAUGUAAAGAAGAAAACAAUGGUUCAGAUUCUGAUCCGAAGGCAAUCGAUUCCUCUGUGGGAAGGGAGCUCAAUCGUCUACCUGGAAAAAGAGAGAAAAUGAAAGGUAUAGAGUUGGUUUUUAGGCUUAAAAAUCAAAUGUGCAAAAAGAAAAAAAAAGAAAGGUAAGAUUAGAAAGGAAAGUGUUGGAGAGAUUGACAGAAACGGAAAAAGUUCUUUGAGAGUUUUCACGUUGAGUCAUCUCAAUCUUUUUUCUCACGUUCUCCUUCAAUGUUGGGCAGUUGAAAAGGAAAACAGCUAUAUUGAUGCGAUGGAUGGAUGCCAACCAUUAAAUAUGGCUAGAAACUCCUUUUCUCUCGCUCUUAAAGGUAAUUUGUAAUCUCGGCUAAAUGAUAAUUGAUAAUUGAUGCUCUGUCUUGAUACUUGGGGAAAAAUCCAACUGUCUUUACAGAAUGUCGCGAUCGAAGGACUAGAUCCGAAGCUUUAUUGAAUAAAGUAGACAGACAAAGAGCUGCUUCAUUGGAUUUGAAUACUGUCACUGUCUCAUCUCCUCAUUUGGCAAUCAUGAGAAAGAGCUCUUUCUCUCCUAUAAUGUCUGAUACUAGUAUGCUACAAAGUCCUGCUGUGACGAGUUGUAGGCCUGCCAAUGCUGAAAUCCAAAAAGGCUGGAGCUCAGAAAGAGUUCCGUUACAUAAAAAUUAUAGCUCAAAACAAGCGACUACCGCAUUCUUGCCUUUCAGUAAUGGGAGAACAUUGCCAUCAAAGUGGGAGGAUGCAGAACGGUGGAUCGUCAGUCCUGUUUUCAGAGAUGGUGUAGUCAGAUCUGCUGUCCCUCCACCUCAGAGGCGGCCUAAGUCAAAAAGUGGCCCUCUUGGGUUUCCUGGUAUUGCGUACAAUUCAUUGUAUUCACCAGGAAUGCAGAUGCUUGAAAGCUCAAAGGAGGCGAAUUUCGUGUCAUCACCUUUUACACCAGGAAUUGUUGCCGCAGAUGGGUUGGGAGUUCAUUCAAGUGGUCAUGAAGCAGACAAACCUGUACAGAAUCAGCCUUGCAUAGCACGUUCAGUUAGUGUGCAUGGUUGUUCUCAAACGAGGAGUGAGUCUUCAUUGACUACAUCAGUUGGUAUGAGUUUAGUUUUCUUUGGAUGACACCUUCAUCAUGUUAUGACUGAAUUAAUCAUCAGUUUGAUUGAAAUAUAAAUAGUUUGUCCUUUUUUCCUGGAGCACGUGAAAAGUGAAUUUGAUCGUGGAUAUUGAAAAAAGAAAACUGAACCAUAAUGAUUUCGAUAAUUUUCUUAUCAUUCAAAAUUGUCCAUUCUAAUCUACUAAACAUUUAAAUGUAGCUCAAAACUCUAGCGGAGUAAAAAACUCAACCACAAAUAUAUCUUGUGGUGUUUCAAGAAGGGAUAUGGCUACCCAAAUGAGCCCAGAUGAUGACUUUAAAUCAUCUUUGGAUAGACCACCUAUCUCUAUCGCCACUUCUUCUGUCCAACCCAUUGGGAAACUUAAGAGCCUGUCUUGCUCGAAAUCAGAAGUCAGGGAUGUUGAGGUUGAUGGACGUGUUACCUUGACUAGGUGGUCUAAGAAACACAAAUCUCGGAUUCCAUGCAAGGGCCAAGUUCAUGAUAAAGAUGCUGAGCCUGUGAUCUGUGCUUGGGAUGUUUCAGACACAACAAGGAGCAUCUCAAAGUACGUAAAUUCAUCUACAUAAUCACAUUUAUAUAAGAUGGUAUUAUGCUCCACAAAAUAAUAAUGAAGAAUUUUGAAGUGCUUUUUAACUAUUGAAGAAAGAAAUUAUUGCCUACAAGGGAGACAACUUUUUUUUGCAUACCAUGAAGGUUGGGACCGGGGUGUUUGAUAGAUAUUCACACUGCCAUUAUAUUAAAUUUAUGGCAAGAAUUCUAUGAAUUAGUGAGUUAUCUUGCAGAACAUAAUAUAAGAUUAUUAUUGAUUGUUGCAUCCUUCACUUUUUUACCAGAGUCAUGAGAGAGGAGGCAAAGAUUACAGCGUGGGAGAAUCUUCAGAAGGCAAAAGCUGAGGCUGCUAUUAGGAAGUUAGAGGUAGUCUUCAACUCGACCUAUGACAUUGUGGUGUGUGUGUGUGUGUACAGAUAUGUAUGUACGUAUGUUUUCAAAUAUCGCUUGCAAUUUAUAGAAUAUACUGUUUUCUUUAUCCUCACAAAAGGCUUUUUUUUUUAUUUCAUGCAAUUUUUCUCUAUAUUCAUGAGGUCUAUUGUUUUAGUAACACUAAACGUUGAGACUUUUCUUUUUAAAUUUAUUGCUUCAUUCCUUUAUAAGUUGUAGUCCACAUUGUUGCUUGGUUAUACCGUGCUGUGCUGAUCAUUUUUAUAGUUUGCCAUGCUUAGUCCUUUUGUACCUCAUGGAACUACGUAAAUGCAGUCUAAGGUUCUCAUAACUGAAGGUGAUAGGGACAUUAAAAUUCAGUUACUUAUUUCAAAAUAUAUUUCAGAUGAAGCUGGAGAAGAAGAGGUCAUCAUCCAUGGAUAAGAUCAUAAAAAAGUUGAAAUCUGCUCAGAAGAAAGCUCAAGAAAUGAGGAAAUUCGUGCUAGCUAAUCAGAUGAGCCAAGUUGAUGUAUCUUCUCAAGGGCUGGUAUCUUCUGGCAGAAGCCCUCAGAGGACUUCAUUAAGUGGUUGCUUCACUUGCCACGCUUUCUGAGGCUGGAUCAAGGAAAUUACUUCAUAUGUCAGGUAACCGUAACCUUUCUGCUAAAAGUAAGUCUUUAUUCAUUCUUCCUCCCUGCAAUAUCAUCUCUCCAAACCAACCAAAAGAAGGAAAAGAAAGAGAAAAGGAAAAGGACAAUCUCAAUAUCCUUCCAAAGGGGUUUUGAGAAAAUCUCUAGUGGCAGAUCUUCUUGAAUGAAAUCUGGUGACCGACAAGCAUUGCCAAUGGCCGACCAAGUCAAAAGUUGGUUGAUGUUAAAAGCAUGAAAUUUUUAUUAGGGAUGUAGGGUAUAUGAUACAUAAGAAUGUCUCUUGAUUGUAGCUAGCUAGGAGUGAUGAAUUUCCAUCUUAUGACCUAUUUCUAAUCCAUUCAUAUUUUUAGCUUGAGUUUCACUCUUCUCCUCUUUGUAUGUUUCGGAAUUUACCACAGUUGAAAGACUUGAAAAUGUUAUUUGAAAGUUUAGUAAAUGAAAUGAAAUAAAUGUAAAAGUUUAGGGAUGAAAAUAGAAUUUCAAUGUCAAUGGAAAUGAAAAUUGAACUGUAUUUCAACUCUCGGGUAAUUAACAGAUGCUAAGCAUCAAAAUUGAUAAAACUAUUUUGCAAUUGCAAAUCAUAUAUGACAUUGAUAUCAUUCGCUAUACCAUUACACUAACAUGAAGGUAAAAAGAAGAAGAAAAAUUAAUUUUAAUCUUCUUCUUGCUGUAUUUUUUAGUAGUCCGGUUCUAUACAGUCGUCUCCAUCUUCAAGAAUUUCCUCAGGUACGCUUAAUUUUCCUAAGCGAGUGGAAUUAACAUAGUCCGUAGGAAUGUGAGCGGUGAGUCCUGGCAUAAGCAGUCCAAUAAACCUUACCCCUUUCAUUGCCAAACUCUCGUAGUAAUCAUAACCCUUCACAAAUGGGAUUAGAAAACUCCUUACAAGCUCCAACCAUGCAUUUACGUACUUAGGUAUUAGCCAUAGCAAUGAGAAAUAGUUCUUGUUUGGCUGUUCCUUCACAAUCUGUACCCAAAAAGAAGAAAGAAACAUUCAAAUAUUAUUCCUCAUCAAGUCAUUUCCUGACAAGUUAGAAAAGAGGGUUAUUUAAUUUUGUUCUUACUCUGCCUCUGUAAAGGCUGUCAAAAUAGAUGCAUCUUCCGAAGUGUUUGUAUUUGAAAAGAAUGCCAUCAGCAGGAAGUCUAGGCACCAAAUCACUAAAGUACACGUAUCUGUAAUACUCGAAGUUGUAUUUUUUGAUGAUGCUUACCAUAAACUCUGCAAAAUGUCGGUCACCGACUCUUGGUUGCCCAUAGCUGUAGAUAGCCUUUAUCUUCUCUAGCACCAAUGACUCGUCGUGAAGGGCAAGUAUCGCGACGAAGAGGACAGCAAGAGCUGCACCUAAGCUGUGGCCGGUGAAGAUGAACCUUGCAUUGGCAUUGGUUUUGGCAAUGUCGAUGAGUUUUUGACGGAGGGUGUAGUAGGCAAAUUGGGGGGCACCGGUGGUUGUUGGAGUGAGUUCUUUAGGCCAACCUUUGCGCUUCUGUAGGCCGAGGGCUUUCAUGAAGCCACUAUGAAUACGACCAACACCAUGAAUUUCGUACCAAGAGAAGUCUAAAUUGACUUGCCAAUCGUAUGCGUCGAGUGGGGUAGUCCCUCUGAAAGCCACCACUGUUGUGUUUGGAUCUGAGACUGUGGUUUGAAACAGAAAUGCUUGAGUGGAUGCUCGGCUUUGGAAGUCUGAACAUUUCCAAAUCAGCUUCAAUUAGAUAAUCCUCAGGAUGUAGUUUUCUUUUAACCCAUUUAUCCAAAAUCUUACAUGAUACGACUUCAAAUCACUUUCUAUCUUAACUACGCCAACCUAAGCAGAACCUCCUAGCAAGAUAUUUAUAGUUUUCUUUCUUGUUCUUCACAAUAUUUGGAGUGAAUCAAUUCAAACCUCAUAUCUCGAGACUAACUAUCUUAGACUAAUCAAGCAAAUUCAUAUUACAAACACAAAUCGUCCUAUUUUUCCAUGAACUCGGUAACAUGUGAGAAAUCCAACCUUUCCUAGUGGUCAAAUAUAUAUGUUUUAGUCAAUAUCAUGAACUCUACUUUUGACUUUUUAGCAUAGUAAUUAUUGGAAUUGUGGUCACAUGAAUUCGACAGUUAUUAGCACCAUAAGUCCAUAUAGUCUUACCAUUCCAGAAAUUGUAGUAACCGAGUAACUUCAUCUGCAAGAAAAAGAAAAAAAAACAUAAUCUCUUCAUAUUGAUCAAUCUAUAUUCAUAUAACAUUCAGAAUAUAACCCUUUUCAAAUAACUAGUUUGGACAUAUGAUUAAGAAAAACGCUAUAAACAUAAGUUUGCUUCCCCCUUCGUUUAACAAUCUUUUACAUUUUGUUUUCUUUAAAUGAAAGUAAUGCAUUAACGACAUAUUUAUAGAGGUAGAGAUAGAUAUUCUAACUAUUAAUCUUAAGAUAAUUAACAAUGUUUCUAUGACCCCUUAAUUAAUUGAUGAUUUCUACUAACUGAUGGAUAGACAAGUAACGGUUUUUACCUUCCAACGGUCGUUGACGACAGAUUGGACAAAUGGAAGGGAUUCAUAAGAGAGUUUGGAAGCCAUAACAGUUAGGACACUAUAGUAUCUGAAAGUGUCGUCAGGAUUUAUGGAAUUGUCCAAAUCUCUUCUCCAAUCUGUAAAUCCCACAACUGAUGUGUAAUCUGGCGAACUUUUUUUAGGCUGCACCAAAGUCUCUCCUAUGCACAAAAUACUCAAACCUCUCAUUUUCAUCCAAAUGUAAAUAAUUAACUAAAAACAUUUUAGUUUCUAUAAAUUAUUAUAUGUAAGAGGAUAGCGUUUAUAAGCUUAACUUUUUAAAAAUUAUAAUACAAAAACAAAGAUUCCGUUUGCUAUUCACUUCAUUUUUUGUUUUCAAUUUUUGAAAAUUACACUUGUAUGUAAACCUUCACUUUUCUUAAAAAUUGUGUUUGAGCUAUAAACUUGAUUUUGAGAGUACUUUCAAAGGUUGGAUAAAGAAAAAGGAAAAAGGAAAAAACAUUGUCAAAUGAUACAUCUCUUAGGGACUUAAAGAAAGCACAAUAAACCAUAUGAGAAUAAGGUGAUUAUAAGAAAUAAUACCUCUGAUGAAUUUGAAGAAAAGCUGAAGAAUGGUACCAUUGAAGGAGAUGAAGUUGAGGAGUUUUUGGAGA